rnacentral:lncRNA from 1 species
CACCCCCCCCCCCCCCCUUUUUUUUUUUNNNNNNNNNNNNNNNNNNNNNNNNNNNNNNNNNNNNNNNNNNNNNNNNNNNNNNNNNNNNNNNNNNNNNNNNNNNNNNNNNNNNNNNNNNNNNNNNNNNNNNNNNNNNNNNNNNNNNNNNNNNNNNNNNNNNNNNNNNNNNNNNNNNNNNNNNNNNNNNNNNNNNNNNNNNNNNNNNNNNNNNNNNNNNNNNNNNNNNNNNNNNNNNNNNNNNNNNNNNNNNNNNNNNNNNNNNNNNNNNNNNNNNNNNNNNNNNNNNNNNNNNNNNNNNNNNNNNNNNNNNNNNNNNNNNNNNNNNNNNNNNNNNNNNNNNNNNNNNNNNNNNNNNNNNNNNNNNNNNNNNNNNNNNNNNNNNNNNNNNNNNNNNNNNNNNNNNNNNNNNNNNNNNNNNNNNNNNNNNNNNNNNNNNNNNNNNNNNNNNNNNNNNNNNNNNNNNNNNNNNNNNNNNNNNNNNNNNNNNNNNNNNNNNNNNNNNNNNNNNNNNNNNNNUGCCGCUAUGGCCCCCCUCCCCCCCCCCCCCCCCCCCCUCUUGUUUAUUGUUUUCCUGGAAGAAGGGUUACACAAUGGGAUACAUGUUGACAAGAACAAACAUCAAAGUUUAAAAACUUAUGGUAAAUCAUAGGAAACACAGAGUGUAACUGCAUCAGAACAACUCCCGAUUCAACUCUUAUGAAGUCCAACUGUCCAAGUACUGAUCCUUAUCAGGAGAUGAAACUGAUAUGGAGUUUUUCAUCGUGGGGAGAGUAUAGAAACAAAAAUAUGAAAGUAAGAAGGUUAACAAAAAAUACUAAGCAUAGACAAACUGAUGGUAUAUGAUAAUCUGUGCAAUGGUGGACUGGAAGUUUAUUGUUCAACACAUGUUACUUACACUUUCACUGGAGGACGAGAUAUAACAACUAAAACUUGUAGAUCUUCAUGUUCACCAGUGUUCCACACCUGUAAUUACAAAAAUAAAAGCAUACUUCCGGUCACACGUGCAUAGAGAAGAAGCCUAAUUUAAAAAGUUGUAAUACGAUUGACCUAUGAGCUCAGUUGAGGUUUUGUGACUGCAAAAGCAGCACUGGUAUAGGUCUUUAAACACGCUAUAUUAGCAAUUUUGUCUUAACUCAAGGCAUGCAUCUAGGAUGACUAAUGCAAACUACUUGGGCUUUUACCAAUGACAGAUGGCUGGGAGAAGUAGACCAAUUAUCAGAUUCAUCCACCACAAACAGAAAGAGCAUGGAAAGAUGAAGAAAAGCAAGUACAUUAGCCAUGAGGGGGAUAGAGCAUAUCUCACACAUAAAGAAAUUAUGAAGUGGAGACAAAGAUUAUCCUAGAAACCUGGUAAAAUAUUGACCGACUUAAUUCUUAAAUCUUAAAUCCUUUCAACAAUUAAUUAGUCAACUGAUUGAUUAUGAUUCAAGAAGUAAAAGUUAGAAACCCCUGUAAGUGUUUUUAUCUACAAAACUAGAUGCAACAUUAAGAAUGUAUCAGCUCAAAGUUUUCUUUAUCAAGUUAUUGAACUCUAUUUAACAUCUUGCAGGAAUAAUUUUAAGCACAAGUAUGAUAGAGAAAAAAGAGUUCAAGGCAGAAUGAUACCUGGUGAACAUCAUUAACAGGGAUAUGAAAGGUGCUAUUAGGGAAUAUAUGAAACUCCUGUGGGUUUCCUGGGUACUUUGAAUGUGAACUAGGAGCAAGAUAGAGAGUGCCUUGACCCUUCAAGACGACAAAAACUUCUUCACAUGAGUGCCUGUGGAUUGGUGUGCGAGAUCCAGGGGCAAAUGUUUGAAGCCACACCUCUAUCUAUUCAUGAAACAACAGUGAUGAAACCAAAGUAAAUUGCAACAGUCAAAACCAAAUAGUCAAUAUUUACUAUCAAUCAACUUCAUUUCAAUCUCAAAUUAGAUAGAACUGGCUAUAUAAAUCCUUUCUAUCUCUAUUCUAUUCAGGUCAGCGAAUAUCGUCAAAAUUAAGAAACUGCAAGCAGAAUAGCACCUCUUUCAUGCCGUGCAAGACUGAACCUGCAAUUGUAGUGUGAGAUAAACCUGACCUCCCGUAGUUGUGUUGUGGAAGCUCGCUAAUAUUCUUCACGAUUGGUAGUCCUGGAAAAUGAGGAAAAUCACAGCUUCUAUACUCUAACCAGGAUAGAAAAUUUUGCUCAUAAAAUGAAAACGUUAAUUAAUUUCUUUACAGUUCAAAAUAAUUCAGCAUAUUAUCAAUCAAUCAUUGGAAUUUCAGUCAAAGGAACCAAUAACUUGUUUCUUCUAGAAUCAACUAAUCCAAAUCAGCUUCUAAGCUCCCCAGAAUUUCCUCCAAUAGGAAAUUUUCCCUAACUUGAAGGCAGAAGCAUGAUUUUAAAUUAGUGAGAACAGAAUAUCAGUGCAUUGCAUCCACUAAACUACUAGUUAGUGAAAAUUUAUAACAAUACAUAUCAAAUUUUCUCAUACACAUACAGAAGAAAUGAUGAGAAGACUUGCCAUUAAUUGAGCAAGGAGAAGCUUCGGCUGUGGCGAACCACAAAAGAGAAACUAGUAUGACGACGCCAUGGCGGAUCAUUAUCGCGCCAUCAGUCUGAAAACUGGAAACUCCACUUUUCAUCACCGUACCGUCGUUUCGAGAAAACGUCCAGAAAGAUCCACUAGGGAUGAACGGUGAAUUUUACAUUCUAGUUUAUAAGAGAUUCGAGAACUGAUUUUACUGAAAUGUCCCCAUUUAGGUUUUAGUUGGAGUGUUUUUUUAAGUGGAAAAAGGGUUAUAUUUAUUUUUUCAAUCAAAGGUUACUUAUAAUAUUAAAGAUUAGAGUUAAUAACUUUGAUGGUCACUCAAGUAUCAACUCUUUUCACAGAAAGUCACUCAACUUCCAUUUUUAACUCAAAAGUCACUCAACACUUUUUUCACAGAAAGUCACUCAACUUUCAUUUUUAAUUCAAAAGUCACUCAAUUAUGACUUGUUUGCAUAGAAAGUCACUCAGCCUAUUUUAUUAUUAUUUUUCACUAAAAUUUGCUACUAUGGAAUUUUUAUUUUUAACCAAAAUUUUAAAAAUCAAAUACAUAUCCAUUUAAUGACCUGCCUCAUUUAACCCGAUCCGCUAAAAAUAUGAUAUUAAACUUUUUAUUUUAUCAUUAGUUCCCCAAAUCAUUCUAUUGUCUCUUUUUUCUCCUAGCGUUCUUCUUCUCUUUUUUUUUUCUUUUUUUUUUUCAACUUUUUAAAAACUUUAGCUGUCUGUAUAUUUAACAGGCCAUUUUGAGGGCUUGUAUUUGUUUUUAGAGUUUAAAAAAAGUUUUUAAAAAGUAAAAAAAAAGAAAAAUGAGACAAGAGAGAAUGAUUUGGGGAAUUAAUGAUAAAAUAAAAAGUUCAAUAUCAUAUUUUUAGCGGGUCGGAUUAAAUGAGGUGGGUCACUAGAUGGUUUAAAUGGUUAUGUUUUUUAUUUUUAAAAUUUUGGUUAAAAAUAAAAAUUCCAUAUCAACAAAUUUUAGUGAAAAAAAAUAAUAAAAUAGGUUGAGUGACUUUUUAUGCAAAGAAGUCAUAGUUGAGUGACUUUUGAGUUAAAAAUGAAAGUUGAGUGACUUUCUGUGAAAAGAGUUGAUAGUUGAGUGACCAUCAAAAUUAUUAACUCUUAAAGAUUAAUGGGUUCUCCGCCCGCGGACAAUGAUAGGUCAUUAUUACUAAUUUGUGUCACAUUUCGAUCCCGGAUAAUACAAAGUGGUUCAUUACUAACCCUAGUAAAGUUAGUUCCUAGUACAUUCGCAUUUACUUUCUUCUAUGCCUAUAUUUGUGUUGUAGUUAAAAUGGUGGGUUGGUCAAAAACGUCAUUCUUCACUCAAAGCCUAUCUGUCAUUCCAUUUUAUUAACAAUACGUACAUGCUCCGUCUUUGUGAUUUCUAACUUUGCCAUCAAGAACCUGCAUUCAACAAUCAGAUCAUCAUAGAUUAGCAUUUUAAUAGCUUCAGAUGAGCCAAAAUUUAUUUCUAUAAGGCUAAGGUUGUGCUCUACUGGUAGUGCCAUGCCCUUUCGCAUGGCUUGGAGUUCAGCUCUAAUAGGGUUUGUAAGUGGCGUGUGUUCGGUGAAGCCCACCACCCAACUCGAAAAAAGGUUAUAUUUAUUGUUACUCUCAGUGGCAGAGCCAGGAAUUUCACGAAGAGGGUCCAAAAAUUAAACAACAAAAGCUCUUUUUAAAAAGGGAAAAAAAUUGUUCCAAGUCAUGAGAUUUAAACACGCGAGCACUGACUCAUUAAAGAUGUCUAAACACACAUUCAAGACAUCUUAAACCACUAGGCUAUAACAACCUAUUAUGUCAAGAAUGUCCAAAAUAUGUUAUUUAAUCACUUCAUGUAUCAUUUUACUUGUAUAUGCGGUAUUUUUUUCCGACGAAGGAUCUGGCAUACAUGUGCCUACGCCAUUGGUUACUCCUUACACUCUCACAAAAAAAGUUUUAUAUAUGUAUAUAUAUUCUUUUUAGCUUUAGUUGUAUUUUUUAUAUAUAUUUGGCUCCAAUUUUAGAUACAUAUUUAUCGUUGAAUAGUUAAGCUUCAAGUCCUCACUCUUAUUAUUGUAUGUGGCACCUACAUGUAUAUAUAUUUUUUUCCAAUAAAAAAUUGCUCUUAAUUUAAUUCUUCUAUCCAUCUAAUUUUUUAUCCUACCAAUCUAACCCAUUAAUUCAACUCCUAAUAUCAUUUUUCAUCGUCACUUUAAAGAAGAAGAAACAUUGAUAGACGAUAGAGAGAGCUAGUACUGUGUCAUUUUCAAGAUUCACAAAAAUGCAUCCGUCCAGUGAUAAUAAAAUUUGAUAAUGGACGCUGUCAAAACCAUCAAUUUCAAUUUUUUUUUAUGGUUACAUGAAUUCUCAAUCAUUGAAAGUUGUUAUAAUUUUUAUGUAUGUAAAAAAAAAUUAUCACGAUCAAGUUGAUGUUCAGUGCACCACUUAUAAUAUAACUUAUAGUCCUAUACAAUGCAUGAAUAUUAAGAAUAAUUGACGAGGCAAAUAUUCGAGAGAGAAAAAAAUGUGAGAAAAUUUCAAAACGUUAAAUAUAAAAUAGGUGCAAAAUCAAUAUUAUAGUUACUAUAGCGAAAAGGGCUAUAAAAUUUUAAAAAUAGGGCGAAAUUCAUUGUUGACAAAACAAUCACAUUCGAUUAAAUAAUCUCAAGACACUUUUAGUAAGCCCAAAACAACAACUAUAUAAUAAUCAUUUGCAAAGCUAUGUAUGAAGAUUGAUUAAAAAAAAGGGGAUUAAAUUAGAGAAUCCUAAAUUAGUAAGGACCAAGAGCAACUAUAUUUAGUGCAAUAAUAAUCAUUUGCAAAGCGCAUGAUUGGAAAAAAGGGAUUAAAUUAGAGAAUCGUAAAUUAGUAAGGACCAAGAACAACUAUAUUUAGUGCAAUAAUAAUCAUUUGCAAAGCGCAGGAUUGGAAAAAAGGGAUUAAAUUAGACAAUCCUAAAUUAGUAAGGACCCUACUCUGUAAAUUUCAUACGUCUGGGCGACAGAUGCUAUGUAAAAGUAAAACCAAAGCAGGUGUCCAUUUUGGAUAGUUACACAGUCAGUUGCUCGUCGAUUGAUUGCUCUCAGAAAUGGCGAAAGAUUCUCCAAAAACUCCCAAGGUAAAUUUUCGAAUGAACAAUUAAUCUUUAUACUUGUCUGUUGAUUUGCUGUUUUGAAAUUACUUAUAGAAAAAGAUACGGCUAGUUGUAGUUUUUGCAGUAAAAAAAAAUAGAGAUCUGGAAUGUCAUGUCGCCUGAUUUUUUUUGGUAGAAAAAAUUCUGCUUUGUAGAAUGAUUCCGAUGGCUAUUCUAGGUUUUGAUUAGAGAGGUACUUUAUUUUGUGACAGACGUCGUCGUCGAGGUCCGCAACGAAUCCAUCAGUGAGCGUGUGGGCAGCACAAUGUGAAAAAUGCUUGAAAUGGAGGAGGAUUGCGACACAGGAAGAAUUUGAGGAAAUCAGAAGUAGGUUUACUGAAGAACCCUUUAACUGCCACAACCAACCCAAUGCUUCUUGUGAUGACCCUACAGAUAUUGAGUACGAUUCUUCUCGAACUUGGGCUAUUGACAAGCCCAAUCUGCCUAAAACCCCAUCUGGGUUUAAGAGAGAAUUGUACCUGAGGAGAGAUUACUCUAAGAUGGAUGCUUAUUAUUUCACUCCUUCAGGGAAGAAACUCAGAUCCUUUACUGAAGUAACUACUUUUCUUCAACAAAAUCCCGACUUCAGUGACGUUAAACCCUCAGAUUUCAGCUUUACCAGCCCCAAAGUUAUGAUUGAUACCAUACCCUCUACCGCUCUUCUUGCCAACUCUCACAAGAAGGGUGCAGCUAGUAGGUAGCACUAAAUGAGUGCAGUGCGUCCAUGGAUGGAGCUGGAGUUGUUCAUAUGCUUAGUAGAUGCAGUGUUUAGACUUUAGAGUCUUGGUAAUCUUAAAGGCUCAACUUAUUCGCCAUGUAUUUUUGUUAUUUUCCAUCUCUUUUUUAUGCAAAAUACAUCUCUACUGCUCAAUUCACUUUUUGUGGUGAUGGUUUUGAUUUGACCUUAAAGCUGUGAAGAAAGGAAAAUUUGUUAGCCUUCUUUACUUUGAUUUAGCUGCUAACUUGACUUCCCUUUCCUUCCCAUUCGAUUCUAACAUAGGAUAGCAGCUUUGAAGUUUUGCUUAUUUCCUUUCUAUAUAUGCUUGCCCCGUAUAAAAAGUAUAUCUUUGGUUGACCAAAAGAGAAUGCACAUUCAUUUGAUGCUGAUCCUUGUGGAUCAAAUGGCAAACUGGACAGGACCUGCAUGACCGGUCUAUAUGCCAAAGUACCAGUGAAAUAGCGCCCAAUAAUAUGAAUUGCCUCAUGUUGUUGUAAAAUAGAAACUAUGCGUGCUUGUGUUAGCUGUUCAUACCGAUGUAUAGCCUAAAGAGGAUGGAUUUAGGUUGGGGAGUUGGUUUUUGAGUUGCAUAAAUGGGUAUUGCUUCGGGGGUCAAUCCAUUCACAUGGAAUAAAGGAAUGUGUCGGAAUAUGAGGUUGUGUUAGUUAUGAUUCAUUGUUAACCUACCAAUAUAGGGUUUAUAUUUAUUUGUUUGUGACUGGGAUGAAUGAGGUUACCUGGGUAAGAAGAGGAUGAGGUGAUUUUCUCUUCCACGUUGGCAUUUAUAGAAUUUAAAUUAUUAUUAUUAAUCGUUUUAUAAUUAGAAGGGUCAAUUAUCUUAUGAUUUGAUAGUGGAAUGGCCCCUAUGCUAUGUUGUGUGGACUCUUCACUUUUGAUGUUGCACCCGUGUUGGAUUAUCCAAAAAUACACUACUUUUGGAGAAUCCGACACGUACCUGCGGACAUUUUUGAAGAGUUGAGCAACAUAGCCCCUAUGUUAGUAGAUAAAAUUGUAGGGUUCAUAUAUGAAUUACAUACUAAAAUAUUUCAGGCAGUUUUUUGUUCUAUUGUAUGUAGAGUAGGGGUCUCUGAGGUUCCAGUAAGGGCCAAGAUAGGUUUAGUAGGGUCUGGGUAGGCUUUUGGCCCACCGCCAUUAGAGAUAACAGAUCAGAAGAGUUUUUUAAAAUAAUGAUGUCAUUCUGGUGUUAUCAUCGCUGUGCAAGGUCUUGUUCUGAGGUUUUGGAGAAUCAGUAGUAGUAGUUUCGUCAAUCUGGGGUUUGAUAUGUGUUUGUUUGCUUACAAUAUGUUAAGAUUUUAGUUUCUAAGAACUUACAUAUGGUAGCAUGAAAAAGUUUGACGUUUAUAUCUCCAAUUUUCUGAGAGUUGAUAUUUGUCUCCGAUUUAUGGUAUCUCCUUUUGGUGGUAUGUCACGUUGUUCUGUUCUUCUUGUUAAAGGUGACUGUCUGCCAGUCCUCCUUCAGAUUCUGCAUUUCCUGUUGGUCCAUGGACUUGAGGUUAUUUGCUCUGGCUUUUUGGUCUCUAUAUUUUCUCUAUAUGUGCAGUUAUGCUGAGUAUGUCCAAUUCUACCACAGGCAAGGUAGAGUAUGUCUGCCCCUUGAUAAAUUAUCUCUUGUAUAAGUUAUUUAUAGGGACUUUGAUGCAGAUAUGUGCGUGCAUACAUGAAUUUUGACCCAAUUUUUGCCAGAAUUGUAGAGUCGUAGUAUGUAUUCUGUUGGUAGUUCGGUAAUCUAAUCUUAGAUAGGUGAGUAUGUUUUCAUUAGCUACAAAGCUUGGCUGUCAUUUUGUUUUUAAUUAUAGGAAAAUCAAGGCCCAUUUUGAAGGGUUUUAACAUGUCGUAUUAGUAUGAUUUCCACAAAACAGUCAAUCGUCUUUUUAGAUAGAUAUUCAUGGCUCAUCAUUAAUUUGAUAAUGAUCGAAAGGCCCGUGACUAUCUUAUCAUUAGACAAUAAAUAGGAGUAUUAAGCUUCUUUCCUCUGUGAUGUGUAAAUCGGUACCCAAUGGCAGGCAGCAAAUCAGAAUAUUGGUAUACAGUAAAUGGUAUGUUUUUCUGUCUGGGUUAGAAUUUCGGUAGUUAUUUGAUCUAUGACUAUCAUCAUAUAUAUUAUCUAGUGAAUUUCGGUGUUGACUGAUUGAUACUAUUAAUCUUGUUUGAUCAAGACGGAGAUGACCCAUUUUUAAUAGAAUAGAUAUACAUCUUUUAAGUAGUAUAGUAACUUUUGUUAUUUUAUUUUAAUUUAAAAUACUUCUUCAUCUCCAAUACAAAUUGAAAAACAAUUGUAUCCUUUUAGUUUACAAAGAUAUAAUGAGUCUAAUGCAAAUUAUGUUAUGCACUAAGAUAAAAACUUAAUUUAGAUUAAAUAGAACAAAAGCAAAAACAUCAUUAAUAGUUAGAUGCUAGUAAAAAGUCAUAGCAAAUCUUACAACUACUUGUACAAAAACAUAAGUAUGUAACAAUACGAUAUAUUAUGUUAUGGUGAAGAGAAACAUAUAGCAUGACAAUAUGAUAUUAAAAUUGGCCUAACAUUGAAACGAGUUUGAAUUCAUAGUCUAUGUAUUAUUUGCUAGGAUAUUAUUCCUAACUAAUUUCCAAAAUUGUUUGAAUAGACUAUGAUUUUUCCAGUCAAUCAUGACUUUACAAAAUCUCCCACUUACUUCCAACACUAAUAUUUGACCAAAAGUUAUAGAGAAAUUUCCAUAUAUAACGAUAAUUUACUAAAUGUAAUAAUGAUUAGUUCAAAAAUACAGUGGGAUACAUUGUAUUCAAAGGCAAACGAAAUAUAUUAUAUCUAUAUCAUUAUUCAUUAGCUACAAUAUCCCCAAUUAAAAAUCACUUUUUUUUUUGGUCAAUAACUAAGUAAUAUAGGUUAUUGUCUUUAACUCCAUAUAUUUAUUCUAAUAAAAUAAAGUUAAUUAUCCAAUUUUAGUUUCAAUUUGAUUGAUUCUAGCGAAAAAGGAAUUAAAGUAACUCAUAGUUAUUAUUAGGACAAAAAUGGAAUUUCAUUAAUUUGUAUUUUCGUAAUAUAUUAACCAUAAUUUUUGUGCCGAGCAUUGAUUUGGUACAUACUUAUUAAAGUUGUUUGUUUAUUGCAAUUUAAAAUUAGUAUAUGAAAUCUGUAGAUCUGCAAUAAAGUUUGAGUUGGGAGAAGACAACCCCAUCCCACAUCAUGGAAAUAGUAGCCAAGUUGCAGAAACAGUUUAUGGACUUCAUUUCAGCUUUGUACCGUGAGGUGGUUUUCUUUCUUUCUUUUUUUUUACUGAUUAGGGGAUUUUUCUGAUGUGAGUUUCGUUUUGCUUGCUCGUAAAACUCUUUUUUUCUUUUUUCCUUUUCAAAAGAGAUUCUUGGAUGAUCAGUUUCUUCAGCUUCAGAAAUUGCAAGAUGAGAGCAACCCAGAUUUUGUUUUUGAAGUAGUUUCACUUUUCUUUGAAGAUUCAGAAAAACUUAUCAACAAUCUGGCAGCAGCUCUGUGAGAAAUAAAUGUCUUUUUUUACUUUAUUUUGUUGUUUACCUGAAAUUGAAAUAUUGGAUCAUUAGUUUUUUUUUUUUUGGUCAAUUGUAGUCAACAACAGGUUGUAGAUUUUAAGCAAGUUGAUUCCCAUGUCCAUCAGUUCAAGGGUAGCAGUUCCAGGUAUCCAAUUUUCCUUUUUAGGUUUUUGUCAUUGACUAAACUACUUUAAUUGAUGCUUGAAGUUGUAUCUUUUUUGGACUUUUUUGGAUAUUUUGUACACAAGUGAUACAUCUUGAGUGAAUUUAUUGUGAUCAAAGAUUUAACCUACUUAUCUUUUAUGCUAUUCGAAUUUAGGUAAUUGAAUGGAAGUCUUUUAGGAGUUAGUAGUAUCCCGAUUAAUUGGUUGAUCAGAAUCUCUGUUAUAUUUUGCAGCAUAGGUGCACAAAGAGUAAAGAAUGCUUGUAUGGCUUUCAAAACCUUCUGCGAAGAGAAGAACAUUGAAGGGUGGGUAUAGCUUGAUGCUUUUACAAUUUUUGCCUUACUCUAUCUAUCUGUAUAAGGUUUUGGGUUUUCAGAAGAUUUACAUAAAAAGAUUUGACUUUGUAGACAUUUAGAAAAAAUGUUGUUGGAAAUUUUGUUUUUUACCAUGUAAAUCAUAUGUCAUUGUGUUUUUGUUAAUUCAUUGGUGUAUUGCGCAUAGUGAUAAAGGGGUUAAUAGGUAUCAAUGCGUAGAAACAUGAUAUUAGAUUUACAUACAGCCAACAUCCAACGGUGUGUCCUUCUGGUCAAUGAAGUGGGCUAAGAACCAUGAGGUCUCCGGUUAAAAUCCCAGUAGAGACAAAAACACUAGGUGUUUUCUUCCCACCCUAGACUUGAGAAACAUAAGGUCUCAGGUGGCAGACAUCCCGUGGAAUUAGUCGAGGAGCACACAAGUUGGUCUAGACACACGAUUAUAAAAAAUUAAAGAUUUACCUAUGAUCAUGUGGUAUAUUCUUGGUCGCACGCAAAAUACGUCUAUAGGGCAUUUUCUAAGUCUGACGUUAUUUGAUACUAAUAUGGCUCUUCAUUUACGAAGGUACAUGUCUAGAACCUACCAAUUUAUCUUUUUCAGACAUUUCUACUACAUUAGAAUUGCAAUACCAAUGUUGUCGUGUCUUGGUGGCCCCACCUCAAGCAUCCUGAUCUCUUUGUGUUUUGGCUCUCUUUUGGGACACCAUUUACAUAGUUCCAGUAACUAAACAAAAUGAAUCACGCCUUCUUGGAGUUCUAUAUAUAUAGUCACUGCAGAAUAAAGAACAGAGGGAUUUGAGCAGAUGUUUCUGGUUAGUAAAAAAGAUAAAUUGGAGUCUAACAUGCCACUCCAUUCUUGUUCAACUCUUAUGCUUGAAGUUAUCAGAUCACAAUAAUAGACCAGCUUCACUAGUGAGUCUCUAAAUCUUCACAAAAUUAUUGUUGCCCCUUAGGAGGACACCAGUAUGAACUGCCUCUGUGCAGAGAUCUUUUCAAGUAGCAUUUACAUUUUUUUCUGCCUCAAAUCUGCUUAAGUCUGCGUUGUUUUCCUAAGUAUUUUGACUUCUCUUUCUUCACAGUUUGAACAUGAAAGGCCAAUUUAAUUGAAGCAUCUCUUAGUAAAAUCUGGAUUCAUUUUUUUAAUGACCUCACUUAAUUAGCUAGAAAAGAUCUGCCCUAACACUUAAAGAUGACGUGGAUUACCAUACCUGCUGGCAUAUGGUGGAGUAUUUGGAAGGAUAUGAAUAGAAGAUGUGUUGAUGGACACAAGAUCUCAAUCUUGAAAGUCAAAUCUGAUUGUAUUUUUACAGUUUCUUCCUAGUGUAAAAUGGAUAUAAUUGAGGAUGAUGAAACCCUGUUGGCUGUUACAGUUCAUAUAUACUUUUGUGUAGAUAGCAGCCAGGGGUAACCUUUCUUUUGCUCUUUUAUGGAUGUAACCACAGCACUUCCUUAGUGCUAGUUUUGAUAUCAGUUAUACUUUAACAUUUCUUAGUGUUUAUUACUAUUUGUUGCUUCGUUUGUUUUGUAUCCUGUUAUUUUGCAAUCUUAUAUACUUACACUCUGCUGCACUUUUUUUUUUGAUCCGAGUCUUUAUCGGAAACAACCUCCCUACCCCGUAAAGGUAGGAGUAAGGUAUGCAUACAUCAUAUCCUUCCCAUACCCCACUUGUGGGAUUACACUGGUAUGUUGUUGUAUUUCUCCAAAAAAAAAAAAUUGAAAAUCUAGCAUUUCCAGUUGUGUUAUAGUAUUAUAUUGGAUGAACUAUUGUUCUUUUAUACUUGCCAUUCUCAGCCAAAGAAAAAGUAUAUUGGAAAAACUAUUGAAAAUACAUGUAUCAACUGUUGUGUAAAUACAUACGGAAGUAACAUAAGUCAGCUAGUAAGACCAUAUAGCUGUGGCGUGGGUAUCUAGAAUAGUAAUAGGUAUUACUUUUUGAUUAACUUUCCUCAUAGGAACUUUCAAACUCUAUGAGAUAACAUAAAAGCUAAAGCCUUUAAUUUAUUAAUUGCUUUCAAACAUGGAAUAUCUAAUCGGAAAAUGGUAGUAAGAAACAACGAGCCCCAUAUUGCAACCUUGGUUAAUUUGGGAUUCAAGCCUUCAUACUGUCUUGUUAUUGUGUGGUGCAUCUAAGUUUGAUUUUUGAGUUGUACCCAUGAGACUCCACUCUUAUUUAUCUUUGUACAUUAUUUUAUCUCCUAGUGCAGGUGUGUGCAAUGUCUGCAGCAGGUGAAACAUGAAUAUUUUCUUGUGAAGAACAAACUUGAAACCUUGAUGAGGGUAAGUACUCUUCUACAAAUGCUUGGGAUUUCCAAGUCUAAGUACCAUACUGUUGAAGAAAAUGCUACUUAGUACAUGAUGCUUAAAUUUCAAUGAGUCAAGUGUGGGGAUUCUGAUACUCAACCAAUUUAGAUCUUUCACAAAUUAUUUCGCGAUAAAGUUUGACAGGAUGUGUUAUAGGUCAUAGUCAUAGUAUUUGACAAGCAAUACCUAGAGGCUGGUGUUUGAUAAUGAAACAGCCCUCUCAGCAUCUCCUCAUUUGAUUUAACCUUUUCCACUCAAGUAAUGUUGGAGUCCUUAAUUUCCUAGCAAGACAUUUUUUAUGUUUUCUGCUCAUAACUACUUUAAAAAAUAAGUUUUCUUGUCACUUCCUUUUACCUGUUUAAAGCCAGGUUUCUGACAUUGAAUUCUCUUCCAUGAUUAGACUUCAUUAAAAACUUUUUAUUCCCUGAAGUCUUACAUUUUUCCCAAUAAGUUAAAGCUUUUGGCACCUUGUCUUUGACUAUGUCCAAUACAUCAAUAGUUAUUUAAUGAAAAGAUUUUUCUUUUUCUUCCAAAGUCUGUAAAAUCAGCUAAAUUGCAGCUUGUUUAUAAAAUUGCAGCUGGAGAAGCAAAUCUUGGCGGCUGGUGGUAGGAUUCCUGACCUGUCAUAGGUGCUAAUGAUUUGAAAUCCACAUUCUGAGGCAAAGAGAGUAGAGAGAAAAGUUGGCAGUACAGAUGAGUUUCAAGAUUUCAUGAGCUUCUUUGAUUGCUGGAUUCUAAUAGUUGUAGAUGCAAAGAAUUUCCAUGUGAAUAACAGGUCUCCUACAUCAAAAUUCCUUUCACCUUUUAGGUGUUGAACUAUUUAUACUAUUCUAGUUGUUGAACUUUUUUACCCUUCAAUAGUUUAUCUCAAUUCACUUGAUAUGCACUACUGUAGCCAGCCAUUAUUAAGUAGUAGAACUUUUCACCUUGUUACGUAGUAGUAUUAUAUUGUAAAUGACACAUGGAAGUUUGUUUGACUGAUGUGUGUACGUAGUUUCAAUAAAUCAGCUUUCAUAAACAAGUUGUAGCCAACUCGAGUGUCCAAAGGCGGAACCAGACUAGCAGAUUCAGAAUGAAUGAUAUUUUAUUAGAUGUAUAAAAUUUAAAAUCUUUUCGUAUACAUAUACGUGGUUUGAGUGGGAAAACAUCAGAAUUCCCCACAUUGGGUCUCAUCUUGGUGUGUCAUCCAUCUUUUGAAAUCGAGUUAAGCUCAAGGUCCAUUAUCACUCAUUUUAGUUCUUGGUGUUGGACCUCCAUGUUAUGUUAGUACGAGUGUGCAAGAGAUGUCGAUCAGAGCUUCCAACAUUUAUUAUCAAUUUGAUUUUGAAUAAUGUUGACUGAUUUUUGAGAUUGAGUUAAGAUGUGUUGAGUAAUGAAUUCAGUUGCGCUCGCGGUGCCGUAUAGUUGGAUGAAAGAGACGUGAGAUGUGUAAGUUCCAUAAAUGCGCACAUUCUGUUUUGUCUUGCUUUACACUCUGUUUGGUGUCUGUACAUAGUAGUAGUAGUAGGCAGAAUUGGUCAUCUUAAAUUUAAUUUACUGCAAAAACGCCCACGGUUGUUGGGGUUGGUGCAAUCUUAAUUCUUAACACACAUUAUAUAUUUUGAAAAUGAAUGAAGGGUAUGGUAACAUGAAUCAUCAUAUAAUAUGCAACUUUUCGAUACGAGUCAAGCAUCUCUUUUAACAAUCAUCCUCUAUAAUAACACUUCAAUAAAGGGCCAAGUUUUUUUAUUUUCUAAAAUAUAUUUUCAAGUCAUGUUCUCUAUACCAACUUUCAUUUGUUCAUUUAGGUAACACCAUUAUGUAAUGAUGGGAAAAUUAAGUGGGUGGCCUUCGUAUAUAAUACUCCACUACAUUAUAUUUGUUGAAACUUAAAGAUGACUACUCCAUCAAUAACACAACAUUUUCUGAUAGAAAUACUCAUUCACAAUCGACCAAAUGAUUUCCUAUACCUAAAAUCAUCAUACAAAAUAUUAGAAUGUGUUUUCUUCAGAGUUAGUACCUCAGAUGGUCACUUAACUAUGCACUAUUCUCUCAAAAAGUCACUCAACUUUCAAUUUUAACUCAAAAGUCACUAAACUAUGCAUUUCUCUCUCAAUAAGUCACUCAACUUUGAAUUUUAACUCAAAAGUCACUCAAUUAUCCACUCUUCUCUCAGAAAGUCACUCAAUCUAUUUAAUUGUUUUAUUAAUUAAAAUUUGAUGAUAUUAAUUGUUUAUAUAACAAACCAAAAUUUAAAAAAAAUAAAAAAUACCAUUUAAACCAUUUAGUGAUCCACCCACCUAACCCGACCCAUUAAAAAAUAUAAUAUAACCAAUUUUAUUUUACCCUUAAUCCUAAAUUAUUCCCUCUCUUUCUCCUCAACAUAAAUUAUUUACCCGUCUUUCAUUUCUUUUUGAAAAAUAAAAAUUAGAAAUAAGGCAAAGAAACACAUCUAAGUUAUGAUGAAAUUAUCGACUACACACUUGAAUUAUGCAGGUGGUCUAUAAUCCGUUGAACUUAUAAUUUUUCGUAUUUUUUUACCUCUUCAAUUAAUUACCUUAGUAAAGAAAAAAAGGGUACGACACAAUUAGUGUAACACACACUUACAAUCUUAUUGUUUGGUGCAAUCUUAAUAGAAAUGUAUUUGAUCAUCUCCAUAACUGUGUAAACCUUACAGAUAUUCAUGCUCUAGUUGCUGAACUUGUUAUUUAACUGCUCAUAAAAUAGAGGGAAUAAUUUAAGAUUAAGGGCAAAAUAAAAUGGGUCAUAUUAUAUUUUUUAAUGGGUCGGGUUAGGUGGGUGGAUCACUAAAUGAUUUAAAUGAUAUUUUUUAUUUUUUAAAAUUUUGGUUGUUAUAUAAACAAUUAAUAUCAGCAAAUUUUAAUUAAAAAAACAAUUAUAUAGAUUGAGCGACUUUUUGAGGAAAGAGUGGAUAGUUGAGUGACUUUUGAGUUAAAAUUCAAAGCUGAGUGACUUUAUGAGAAAGAAGUGCAUAGUUGAGUGACUUUUGAGUUAAAAUUGAAAGUUGAGUGACUUUCUGAGAGAAUAGUGCAUAGUUGAGUGACCAUCUGAGGUAUUAACUCGUUUUAUUCAUGUAUUCAUUUUAGGGUUCAGGGUUAUAGGACAAAGAUAUUAAGUAAUUUGUAAUUAAUGGACUAUAAAAUCAUAUAUUCCAUUUAUGUACUAUUUAUUAAUUCUCUUAGUUUUUUCAUGCAUGUGUUUUUAAUUCUUCUUAAUGAAAAUUCUAAUUUUGUCAUGGACAUUAAUAUUAUGUGAAAUACACUCUCUUUACGAUACAAAUAAAAAUAGCGGGGUUGAUCAUCAAAGAAAAUAAAUUUGGUAAAGGUAAUAAUCUCUUUGCGAUCAGCAAAAGGAAAUGCAAUAUUGUGUAUGUUACGUAUUUCUUUUUCUUUUUUUCUUGUAAAGCAUAAGCAAUAUANNNNNNNNNNNNNNNNNNNNNNNNNNNNNNNNNNNNNNNNNNNNNNNNNNNNNNNNNNNNNNNNNNNNNNNNNNNNNNNNNNNNNNNNNNNNNNNNNNNNNNNNNNNNNNNNNNNNNNNNNNNNNNNNNNNNNNNNNNNNNNNNNNNNNNNNNNNNNNNNNNNNNNNNNNNNNNNNNNNNNNNNNNNNNNNNNNNNNNNNNNNNNNNNNNNNNNNNNNNNNNNNNNNNNNNNNNNNNNNNNNNNNNNNNNNNNNNNNNNNNNNNNNNNNNNNNNNNNNNNNNNNNNNNNNNNNNNNNNNNNNNNNNNNNNNNNNNNNNNNNNNNNNNNNNNNNNNNNNNNNNNNNNNNNNNNNNNNNNNNNNNNNNNNNNNNNNNNNNNNNNNNNNNNNNNNNNNNNNNNNNNNNNNNNNNNNNNNNNNNNNNNNNNNNNNNNNNNNNNNNNNNNNNNNNNNNNNNNNNNNNNNNNNNNNNNNNNNNNNNNNNNNNNNNNNNNNNNNNNNNNNNNNNNNNNNNNNNNNNNNNNNNNNNNNNNNNNNNNNNNNNNNNNNNNNNNNNNNNNNNNNNNNNNNNNNNNNNNNNNNNNNNNNNNNNNNNNNNNNNNNNNNNNNNNNNNNNNNNNNNNNNNNNNNNNNNNNNNNNNNNNNNNNNNNNNNNNNNNNNNNNNNNNNNNNNNNNNNNNNNNNNNNNNNNNNNNNNNNNNNNNNNNNNNNNNNNNNNNNNNNNNNNNNNNNNNNNNNNNNNNNNNNNNNNNNNNNNNNNNNNNNNNNNNNNNNNNNNNNNNNNNNNNNNNNNNNNNNNNNNNNNNNNNNNNNNNNNNNNNNNNNNNNNNNNNNNNNNNNNNNNNNNNNNNNNNNNNNNNNNNNNNNNNNNNNNNNNNNNNNNNNNNNNNNNNNNNNNNNNNNNNNNNNNNNNNNNNNNNNNNNNNNNNNNNNNNNNNNNNNNNNNNNNNNNNNNNNNNNNNNNNNNNNNNNNNNNNNNNNNNNNNNNNNNNNNNNNNNNNNNNNNNNNNNNNNNNNNNNNNNNNNNNNNNNNNNNNNNNNNNNNNNNNNNNNNNNNNNNNNNNNNNNNNNNNNNNNNNNNNNNNNNNNNNNNNNNNNNNNNNNNNNNNNNNNNNNNNNNNNNNNNNNNNNNNNNNNNNNNNNNNNNNNNNNNNNNNNNNNNNNNNNNNNNNNNNNNNNNNNNNNNNNNNNNNNNNNNNNNNNNNNNNNNNNNNNNNNNNNNNNNNNNNNNNNNNNNNNNNNNNNNNNNNNNNNNNNNNNNNNNNNNNNNNNNNNNNNNNNNNNNNNNNNNNNNNNNNNNNNNNNNNNNNNNNNNNNNNNNNNNNNNNNNNNNNNNNNNNNNNNNNNNNNNNNNNNNNNNNNNNNNNNNNNNNNNNNNNNNNNNNNNNNNNNNNNNNNNNNNNNNNNNNNNNNNNNNNNNNNNNNNNNNNNNNNNNNNNNNNNNNNNNNNNNNNNNNNNNNNNNNNNNNNNNNNNNNNNNNNNNNNNNNNNNNNNNNNNNNNNNNNNNNNNNNNNNNNNNNNNNNNNNNNNNNNNNNNNNNNNNNNNNNNNNNNNNNNNNNNNNNUUUUUAUAUUUAAAAAUUGCGUAAAAAUACUAUAAAUCAUGAUAAUUGACAACAUAAAAUAUUUCAAAAAUGUUGUAUGUGGGUAGUCUUAUUAUGCCUUAAAUAGCGUUAAAGAAAGUACAGGUUUGUGAUAAAAAAAUUUAUUCCUUUAUCCACGCAAACAAUCGCUUCAAAAAUUCGAUUAUUAGCCCCAAAACAUAUCAUUUAUAUUAUUGGGCCCGUGCAUAGCACGGGCAACAUUAUCUAGUGUGUAUAUAUAUAUAUUCGUGAGUAGUGUCUAUUCUUUUUCUCUUCCUUUAUUUCAGUGUGAGUUAUCUGCAAAUCUUGGGCAUCUUUUGGCUUUUGUUAAAAGCAAAUGUCUGAUCAUCUCAAUAAUUAUAGAAUUAGGCAUCAAUUAUUAUUCAAUGACAUAUAUAGUUGCAAAUUGGGACAUAUUCAUCAUGUAAUUAUAUGUAUCAGCCACCAUUUGUUAGCGACCUUUAUACUUUCUUCGUUUUUUUGGGGAAGAAAAAGAGGCUUUUGUUUAAUUUAAGAAUAUUGGAACAAGACGUUUUUACUCUUUUUGUGAUACAAAAAAGAAUCAUUUUGGUAACUACUACUACUUUGCUUUGGCUUUAAACAUUACUUAAAAGGAAAUGGUGGGGAAUGGGAACCAAUAAUAUCAUAACAACUUCUACUCACUGGAGUAUUAUGAAGAGUGAAAGUAUCAUGUCUUGUGAAAAGCAAAUAUGAUUACUCUAUAUAUAAUAAUAUAUAUGUAUAUAUAAUUAACUCAUUAUUAGCCACUUCAUAAUCUUUUUGUUGUCACUCUCAAGUCUCAACCUAUCAACAUUACUCUUUGUCAAAGAAGAUGGAUCCCAAAUUUAAAUUUAAUCAUAAUAUAUUUGAUUUAAGAUCUAUUAUUUAUAUUAAUUUAACAAAUUAUUUAAUGCAUAAUGUUUUUGAGUUCAGAUGAAUCUACAAUUUUAAUACUAACCGUCCAUGUUUGUUAAUUAUUGAACUAUGACUCCCCAGUCUACCAAUCUACAUGUUUGUAUUACCUAAAUGGAUUUUGGAACUCUCUUUAACAAUUAACUUAAUUCAGCACAAAAUAAUAUUGAAAUCACAGUGAAUAUUAAUAUUAAUAUCAAGAGUGAAAUGAUAUCCAAUAUAAUAAAGUGAUAUUGAGUUUUAUGUUUGAACGAAUAUAAUGUAGGUAAAUUAUUAUCCUUAUUUUUAAAGAAUUGUAUAAAUAUAGAGUGUGAGAUAGGUAGAUAAAAGAUUAGAUUAUUACAUACAAAAUUUUAAAUGAGAGUUUUAGAUGGUAAUAUAGAAAAUAAAAUGAUAGGCAAAGGGCAGGAUCUGACGUGGAAGGCCGUAGGGCCCAUUUGGGAUUGGGCCCCAAAGAGUAAAGUCCAUACAUAACAAAGAAAAUAGGAAGAAGAUGAUUGGCAGCUAGCACUGUAUUUUGCUUUUUCCUCCCACAGUUCCUCCGUGUGUGUGUGUGUGUGUGUGUGUGUGUGUGUGUGUGUGUGUGUGUGUGUGUGUGUUGUUCACUCUACCUCUAACUUAUUGCAUUGCCAAUAAAUCACAAUCCUCAAAUUUAUCUGUAUAUUAAUCAUGAGAAAGCUGUGAAUUUAUUAUGUAUCUAUUGAUUUGAUGAAAAUUUAGGCUUGGUGGAGACAUGGAAUAUUAGUUUCAUCUAAUUUGGGUAAACAUCCCAAUUAAAAAUAUAUCCUUUACUUUUAUGGCCACUAUCACUAGAAAAAUAAAUAUCUCUCUUUUUCAGCUUUAAGUAUGACGAUAAGAGCGCAACUAAACAUUUAUUUGGAGGAUAGUGAUAAUAUUACCAUAAAUGUGAAAUAGCCAUCUCAUUAUCCCAAUUUUAUGUUUGGAACUCUACUUCUAGUACUCUAUGCAAAGAGAAAGGAGGCUGUGGAAUUAUGACUAAUUUAAUGUAAAUCAAGUAAGUUUAAGUUGGACAAAUACGUAAAAUCAAAUAGUUCCCAAAUUAAAGUUGACUACACAUGUAACAUUUUGCUAAACAAAGAAUUAAUAUGAAAACUUCUGGAAAGCUAGUCAUUCCGCAGAAAUUUAAGACAUCAAAAUAUUCAAUUGACUAAAAUAAAUUGUAUCUCGCUAGUCCACAAAUUUAUUUAAAUUUCAAUUUUGUUUAUUGAAAACGAAAUAAACAUUUCGUUAAUAGUAAACUUUGUACAAGGAGGUUAAAAGAUAAAUGAGUUAAAAUUGAGUAAUUUCAUUUACACUAGAGGGAUGAAUCAAUAUAGAAAUAUAAUCUACUAGAAGGGAAGGGCAAGAGGAUAAGUUGGAUCUUCAAAGAGCCUUUUUUUUAUAGGCCACAAAGGUAAAUUGUCGCCUUAAUGUGAAAUAACGGAAUAUUUGGAAUUGAAAAGACUAUGUUAUAAUAUGUGCAUAUGCUCUAAUACUUUGAUUGAAGUAGGUGGAUGUGCAACUCAAGAUUGAUUGUUGAACUCCUAAGGAUUAUUAUUAUUAUGGACGUUUCUAGGUGUAAGAAAAUAUUCUCUCUGAUGAAGCCCCUACAAAAUGUCUGAUUGUGUGAUAAACAAGCGUCGAGGCACCUCAUGACCUACCGAGGGCGAUUUCUCCCAAUUUCCCAUGAUCAUAGGAAGUAUCUUCAAUCUUGAUUUCUGUCACGCCCCAAACUCGAGGGCCGCAACUGGCUCCUAAUGUCAAAACUCAAGCCCGAGCCGACCCUGCUGAACAAUUUUCUACUAGCGCAUGGCAGCCACACGCAAUCAAGAAAACAAACAAGUAUAUCUAUAAUAUGUGCAUAUGCUCUAAUACUUUGAUUGAAGUAGGUGGAUGUGCAACUCAAGAUUGAUUGUUGAACUCCUAAGGAUUAUUAUUAUUAUGGACGUUUCUAGGUGUAAGAAAAUAUUCUCUCUGAUGAAGCCCCUACAAAAUGUCUGAUUGUGUGAUAAACAAGCGUCGAGGCACCUCAUGACCUACCGAGGGCGAUUUCUCCCAAUUUCCCAUGAUCAUAGGAAGUAUCUUCAAUCUUGAUUUCUGUCACGCCCCAAACUCGAGGGCCGCAACUGGCUCCUAAUGUCAAAACUCAAGCCCGAGCCGACCCUGCUGAACAAUUUUCUACUAGCGCAUGGCAGCCACACGCAAUCAAGAAAACAAACAAGUAUAUCUAUAAUAUGUGCAUAUGCUCUAAUACUUUGAUUGAAGUAGGUGGAUGUGCAACUCAAGAUUGAUUGUUGAACUCCUAAGGAUUAUUAUUAUUAUGGACGUUUCUAGGUGUAAGAAAAUAUUCUCUCUGAUGAAGCCCCUACAAAAUGUCUGAUUGUGUGAUAAACAAGCGUCGAGGCACCUCAUGACCUACCGAGGGCGAUUUCUCCCAAUUUCCCAUGAUCAUAGGAAGUAUCUUCAAUCUUGAUUUCUGUCACGCCCCAAACUCGAGGGCCGCAACUGGCUCCUAAUGUCAAAACUCAAGCCCGAGCCGACCCUGCUGAACAAUUUUCUACUAGCGCAUGGCAGCCACACGCAAUCAAGAAAACAAACAAGUAUAUCUAUAAUAUGUGCUGGGGCGUCAGUAUAAAAUAAUGUACAGAGUAUGAAAGGCAAUAGACUAUGAUGAGGUAUCCUGAUAUACUGGAAUAAUCUGAUAAAUAAAUCAAGGAUAAGAUAAGUGUACUGACCUGCUCCUAAAUCUAAACUUAUCAAAAAUAAUAAAACAACAACCUAACCAAGCCUCCAUAAGCUCGGCAGGUACAAACAACACACAAGACCACCUACUCAAGGCCCCAUAAGCCCGGAAGGUGCCAAUCAGUCUAUAUACCACUAUCGAUAGUCCCCUAGCCCCGUAUGCAGUCACAUAGCCCUCUUAGGCAUUACUAUAACCCCGUAGGUAAUACAUAGCUCUCUUAGGCAUCAACAUAGCUUAUAGACAACUCAUAGCCCUAAGGGACAGGGCUCCAGCCUACCCAUAAAGAUAUAUACAACUAAAAGGUAACAAACCUCCCAAUUUUGGCAGCUCCGGAGGAAAGGGGCUAGCCAACCGGAUAAAAGUCAAUCCUGCUUCUGAGGAGGUCUACUCGAUCGUCUGUCAGGACCUGCAUGCAUGAAUGCAACGCCCCCAAGGCAAUGGGGCGUCAGUACAAAAUAAUGUACAGAGUAUGAAAGGCAAUAGACUGUGAUGAGGUAUCCUGAUAUACAGGAAUAAUCUGAUAAAUAAAUCAAGGAUAAGAUAAGUGUACUGAUCCGCUCCUAAAAUCUAAACUUAAUCAAAAAAUAAUAAAACAACAACCUAACCAAGCCCACAUAAGAUCGGCAGGUACAAACAGCACACAAAACCACCUACUCAGGCCCCCAUAAGCCCGGAAGGUGCCAAUCAGCCUAUAUACCCCUAUUGGUAGUCCCCUAGCCCCGUAGGCAGUCACAUAGCCCUCUUAGGCAUUACUAUAACCCCGUAGGUAAUACAUAGCUCUCUUAGGCAUCAACAUAGCUUAUAGACAACUCAUAGCCCUAAGAGGCAACAACAUGGCCCUGUAGGAAGCAUAUAGCCUUCUUAGGCGUCAAUAUAGCCAUGUAAGCAACUCAUAGCCCUUCUGGGCAUCAAUAUAGCCCCAUAGGUAACUCAUAGCCCUUUUAGGCAUCCAUAUAGCCCUUCUAGACAUAGAUCACAUUCGUGCAGCUAACCACAAUAGCCCCAAGGGCAACAAUAACAAUCCAAUCACUAAAAGUGAGCAAUUUAGUUAUAAGCAACCUAUACAAAUAGCCUCUAAGUCGUGUCCAACAUAGGGAUGUUACUAACUGAAUAAGAAUCCCGACAAGGAAGGAUUAUAUCAACUCGAGCAACCAACAAUCAACAAUCACGGCUACAAGUAUAUCAAGGACAACAACUCAAAUACAUUGCUUCUAAGUUUUAAGGAAACAUGCCGUAAGUAGGGGAUAGCCUUACCAUACCUUUUUCGAUGAAUUCACAUGUCCUAAUAACUUUAAUCACAACCCCCCUUGAUACUACAACAAGGCAGGAUCAUAAUCAACACAAAAGAAUAGAAGAUACAACGAAAAUUCGAUAAAAGAUAUGUAUUUUCGUCGCAAAUUGCUAUUUACGACUUAUCAAAGGUAGAGUCGAUGAAAGAAGGGUAUUACCUUGAUUAUAAGUUUGUAAUACACCUCAAAACUUUAAAAUAUUCCCAAACCCCUGCUGUCCACACACCAAAGUACGAUAUGCUAGGAAAUUGAUAAAACAAAUUAUACCAUGUUGACAAGCUCAGCGCGUAGAACAACUUUUGUCAAGGACUUAAGUCACGAAAAUCAGUAACUUGGCUUGUCCUAGAAGUGGGUUUUGUAGGUUUUGUGAGUUUUAUGGUUCUUCACUAAGGAAAAUGAAGGAAAAAUGAAAGAAAAGUCGAAGAAGAUGAUAUAUAUAAAGUUUCACCGACCUAGGGGACCCACCUCACCUGCCUGCUUGCGUAGUCUUGCAAAAACACUAAUAUCUCUCCAUUCUGAAGUCGUAUGAACAAAUGGGUUGAUGCGUUGGAAACUAGACUCGUAGACCUUCGAUUUCAUCGGUCGCUGGGACCAUAACUCUUAAUAUUGGGAGAAAACGUCCGAGACAUUUGACCCAAAUUUUAGACAAAUCUUUAAAAAGGAAUUUACGGUAACUUUCGCCAACUUUUAUUUUGCCACUCACCUAACUUCAAAACUUGAGAUACAACACUUGAACACUUAAAAUAUCACAUCAUUCUUAAUUUAUUACCCACCCUCUUAGUUUUUCCACGAAGAUACGAGUCAAUUUAUACGUUUCGAAAAGUCGGGGUGUUACAAUUUCACCACGUUGGUUAGUUGUCAUGAUUCGACUAGUUCCUUUUACUAGCUUGAUCCCAUUUUCCACCAUAGAAAUUUCAAAUAUUUUUAUUUUACUUUAAUCCAAUUAUUGUCCAAACGCAUAGUUGAGAAAUGUUUUAACUAUAUUAGUAGAGAAAACUAUAUUAAUUAAUACAAAGACACAAGAAAUUAAAAACAUACACUAAUAAAGAGAGUAGAAAAUAGAGAUUGAUGAUAGUGCAAGCUCAAAAGUCACGUGGAGCUGGUCUGAAUCUGCUCAAUGCCCCGAACCUGCUGAUCUGUCACUCCAAAGUUAAGGCUCGUGGUAUCCAGGUAGGCUCGUACAACCGUUUGGCCUUAGGAACCUGUUCCCGAUAAACAAAUAAAACACAACAUUAAGUAUAACCAAAAAACAAUAACUCUGUACCUCCUGUCUUGUAAAGAGAAGAAAGUGACCGUAGAACUAUCUAUCUAUCUGCUACUCACUCAAUUCAUCCAUCUUCUUCUUCUCUCCUAAACCAUUAAUUUCUUAUACCAAAUUUGUUUCAGCCAUUACCAAAAAAGCUUUUGCUUUCUUGUGAAGCUACUUUUUUUUUGCCUUUGCUUUUGGUUUCCAUUAAAGACCCCAUUUGAUGACCUGUUGCUUCUCACGGAAAAGAAAACCAAAAAAGUUCCAUUUUUUUUACCUUAUAUAAGCCUGCACUGCCUUUUCUAUCAUUCUUCUCUUCAGCUAUACGGUAAUUAUGAUACCAUUCUUUGUAUUCUUUUUUCUUCUUCUGCAGAAUAGUUUCGCCAUUUUAGACCCAAUUGAUUUCUUAGCUUUACAAGCGAUUCGAAAAGGCUUGGAUGAUUUGCCCGGUUCCAACUAUUUUGCUUCCUGGGAUUUCACUUCUGAGCCGUGUAACUUCGCCGGAGUUUACUGCGAUGGAGAUAAAGUGAUCGCCUUGAAUCUCGGUGAUCCCAGAGCUGGAUCACCGGGUUUGACCGGAAACUUGGAUCCUUCUAUUGGGAAACUCUCUGCUCUUGCUGAGUUCACGGUGGUUCCGGGUCGGAUAACCGGUGCCUUGCCGGAAAGUUUUUCUCAGUUGAAGAGCCUGAGAUUUCUAGGAGUUAGCCGGAACUUUCUCUCCGGUGAUAUUCCGGCGUCAUUAGGCCUGCUCCGGGAGCUACAAACUCUUGAUCUUAGUUUCAAUCAGCUGACCGGGAGUAUCCCUUGGGCUAUUGGAGCUCUUCCGGCAUUGUCCAACAUUAUACUCUGUCACAACCAUUUGUCCGGUUCGAUCCCACCAUUCGUAUCCCAAAGAUUGACCCGUUUAGACCUUAAGCACAACUCACUUUCAGGUACCCUUUUGCCUAAUUCACUUCCUUCAUCGCUUCAAUACUUGUCAUUGUCAUGGAACCAGUUAACCGGUCCAGUAGAUUAUCUGUUGAGUCGGCUGAACCAGUUGAAUUACCUCGAUCUUAGCUUGAACCGGUUCAACGGCUGCAUUCCGGGAAUCUUAUUCACUUUCCCACUCACAAAUCUUCAGCUACAAAGGAAUCUAUUUUCGGGUCCGGUUUUACCCAUUUCAGAGGUGACAAUUCCGACGGUGGACAUUAGCUUUAACAGGUUUUUCGGGGAGAUAUCUCCAUUGUUGUGUAAUGUGGAGAAUUUGUAUCUGAACAAUAACCGGUUCACGGGUCAGGUGCCGGCGGUGUUGGUGGACCGGUUAUUAUCUGCCGGAAUACAAGUUUUAUAUUUACAGCAUAAUUUUCUGACGGGGAUUGAGAUAAAUCCGAGGGUGGAAAUUCCGGUGAGCAGUUCAUUGUGUUUGCAGUAUAAUUGCAUGAUUCCGCCGGUUGAGACGGCUUGUCCGUUGAAAGCCGGGAAGCAGAAGAGUAGGCCUACAAAUCAGUGUGUGGAGUGGAAGGGGCAAAAGAGUGAAAAAACAAACAAUAAUAAUAUUACUACUAUUAUGGCUUAAUUUUUCUAGAUUCUUUCAUUGAUUAAUCCAUUUCAUUUUCCUUCCUGAUUAUGAUGGACUAAGUAAUACUAGUAAAAAAGAGUAAAUGUGCAUAAUAAAGGAGAGAAAAAUAGAGUAAAAGGGUGUACGAGUCAUGGCCAUCCAUCCUAUUGUUUUUCUUUUGUAUUAAGCCAAAACAAUUUUGGCAUUUCUUUUUGUAAUUAGGUAUGUACUAUAAUAAUAUAUUCAAUUACUUGGAUUUACGGAUCUCAAGUUGAAAGAAAUUAUGCCUUUCUCUCCUUUUUACAGUAGUUUUGUUGAUGACAUGCAAUGCUGUUCCUUGUGAUCAAUACUGAUUGUUUUUGUGUACUCAUUGCUUUGAAGAAUUGUCUUUUAUAUGAUUCAAGUUACAAACAACAAACAAGCUAAGAUGGGAUAUUAUGUAGGUUUUCUCUGAUUUUGCAUAAAUUUGAAGCUUGGUGCCUGAGGUGUACUGUAUGCUAUCGAUGUCACCUUUUUCCUGUUUAGAGCAACAAGGAUGCUUUUUCUGGACUUAUGUUUGUUCGGGAUGCUCUUUCAACUGACACACAGACAAAGUAAAGUAUACGUUACAAGUCUACAUACUAAAAAAACAUUAUUUAUUUCCCCUUCUUCCCGUUUGGGUGAAGUUAGAGUUUGAUGGAUUAGUAUAAGUUACAAUACAUUUAAAGGGCAUCAUUAAUACAUUACAUGCACGAUAGGAAUUAAUCAGAGUCACGCAAAGCCAUAAAUGCACCAACUUGAGCUGUAAAUUCCAUAACUAUCUAUCUUUUCAACAAUUAUAUAUGUCACUCAAUUUCAAUUGGAAAAAUAAUAAUAAUGAUGAUCCGAUCUUAAUUAUUUCUCUAUCUGAUACAAGAUUAUUAGCUGGAUGCUUUCUUCUUUUAUCGAUAUCCAAAUUAAAACUUUUCUUCAAAGAACAAGUUUGGGACAUGAGUGUGUUCAGAUUUUAUGAGUGGGCUUUGGUAGUAGUAAUACUUGCAUACAAAUAAAUCCCAACCUGCUUUAUACUCUAGUCCAGUCUAGGAGUAAAAACAUGUACUCCACAGGUAACAGGUUGCCAUGUCAUUGGGCUUUACAUACACGAAUCUAUAUAUGUUUAUAAAGCUGAAUAAAAUCACACUGAUGUGGCAUGCUUCAAUGAUCAGUAUUACUAUUUCUUAAAAUUUUGAUUUUUUUCUCUCAUUUUUUGUUCAAAAACCUUUUAAAAUAAUUAUUCACUUUCCUUAUUAUUAGCCUUUACUACAUUUAACUCUUCCUUCCAAAAGGAAAUACUCCCUCCGUCCACAAUUGUUUGGCAGGUAUACUAAAAAUAGAUGUCCAAGAUUAAUUGUCAAUUUAAACAAUCAAGAAAUAAUUAGUCACUUUUUUUCCAAUUCUUGCUCUUAAUGAUAGUGUAGUUCAAUUGAAAAGUUAUGUGGACUUUUGGUAUUCUUGGUAUAGUAGGGUUAUAUUAGUCAAAUUACACCUUAUAUAAAAAAUUUCCUUGAGGGAUGUGCAUGACCUUACCCUGACAAACAAUUGUAGACAGAGGGAGUAUGUAACAACUAAUUACAUAAUGGAGCAAUUAAUGUGCAUUAUCACGCAUGUUUUCCUAUUAAAUCAUUGCUUCAACCCACGUACUAUCAGUUUUUUGUAAUCCUUAAUCACCUAUAAUUAAUUAGACAAUUCAUUCCCCUAUUUAUUCAUACCUUCUUAGACCUUUUCCUUUGGGGUUUCAUGUAAGUAUUUUUUUCAUAUCUUCUUAUACCUUUUUAGGGGUUUCAUGUGGUUUUUUGUUCUUCUCUUUCAUCUUCAUCCUUUUAUUUUAUCCAUCCUUGAUAGCAUCAUUUUAAACAGGAUAAUUACUAUGAAGCUUUUUUGAUAUGAAGAGCAGAAGAGGAAAGCCAAGAGUUGAUUGUAUCCAUUCUUGAUUUUAUUUUUAACGUAUGUAUAUAUGUUACCAUCCUUUGAAAAGGAUAUUACUAUGAAGCUUUUGAUAUAAGCCAAGAGUUUUAUUAUUAUUAUUAUUAUUUUAUCAAUAUCAAUGUUAUUUAAAUUUGUUUAAAGAUUUUAUUUUAGUUUUAGGAAGUUAAAGUUCUAAUUCUAUUCAAUAUGUCUCUUUCCCUAAAUCCAAAUCUGUAUAGUAUAAGACUAAAGCUAAGUAUACACAAUGUAAUAUUAAAGUGAUGUGACAUCUCUCUAUAUUUAUCAAAUUUAAUUAUGUUUUUAUUUGAAUUUUUUAAAUAUUUACUAUUGUAAUAAAUUGUCAAUGAAAAAGUGUAGAGAAAACUGAACAUUUACAUCAAUAUAUAUACUCCGGUGAUGUGGCGCUCUCUAAGGCCACAAUUCUUUUUACAAUAGUAAAUAUUUUUAAAAAUUCAAAUAAAAUAAUGUGAUGUUUAAAUUUGUAACUGGUAAUGUCUCAAAAACAAAAGAUGGCUUGUGGUUGGUAUGAUUUUGAUGUUAGAUGAGGUUAAGGCUUAAUUUGGACAUGGAUGAUGAUUUUAUAGCUAUGAAAGUAGUUGUGUCGUGUUUUAAAAAAAAAACUCAAACACAUAUAUACACACACGUGUUUAUUCUUUUAUUUUAUUUAUUUGUGUUUUUCUCCUUUAUUUGUUUUUAAAGUUUCACCUUCAUGACUCAUAAGUCAUACAAGAAAUAUAUAUAUUAAAUAUUGGAAUACAUUCUUUUAAUUGUAUAAAGAAUUAUUUAUAUUUUCUUUAAAGAUUCCUCCAUUUUAUUUACAUAAAUUCAUAAUUUAUUAUUUCAUGAGACCCUACUCAAGAUUAUCCUUUUUAUUUCAUAUUUGAAGUUAUAUUUUUCUUAUAUUACUAUUAUAUAUAAAUAAUUUUGGUUAAUAAACACAUUAUUAAAGGAAAAAUCUUUUAAAGAGAAAAGACUCGUAAAUAAUUCAAAAUUGUAAAAUUCAUAAUUUAUUGUUUCAUAAGACCCCUACUCAAGAAUAUACUUUUUAUUUCAUAUUUGAAAUUAUAUUUUUCUUAUAUUACUAUUAUAUAUAAAUAAUUUUGGUUAUUAAACACAUUAUUUAAGGAAAAAUCUUCCAAAGAAUAAAGACCCAUAAAUAAUUUAAAAUUGUAAAAAUCAUAAAAUUUGAGUAGGAAUAAUAAAUUGAACUAAGACUCUUAGUAUAAUUUUUUAGCACUCAAUAUUUCAAAAAAUAUAUAUUUUAUAAAUUUAAUGAGGUAUUUCAAAAUCGCGCGAAGCGCGACCAAAUUCACUAGUAUAUAUAUAUAUGCCAUCCUCGCAAAUGUUACACUCGCUGCCACGUCAAAUUUUAUAAUUUCUUAUAUUCAUUUUCUUUUCUUUUCUUUAUUAAUUAACUUUCUUUAGGGGGCAAUUUAUGCCUUUUCCCUAAUAUAUAUAUAUACACCUCAACUUCAAUUUCUCCAAAAAUAAUAUUCUAUCAUCGAGGAUAUAUAUGUAGAGAUAUUUAUCACAAAUGUAUACCAGAGAUAUUCUUUCAAUCUUUUUAACUUGAACAAUAAAUACAGUUGAAUACUUUUCAUGAAAAAGACAUAAGAAAAUACAAACUUGUGAAAUGAUAUAUUCGGACAAGCAAAAUAAUCCCAUUUUGUCAAAAUUAAUACUAAACAAAAACACCUUUUCAUGACAAUGACUUCUCAGUUUCUUUAAACAUCCAGUUGUUAAUUACUUAUAUCCCUCACAAGUCAUAAGUCACAACAAUAUUGAACCAUGUCUCACACCCUACAUUUUUCCUUUUCCAACAAGAAUAAUUAUAAUUAAAAUGCUCAUCUAUUAAUUAUUUUCCAUUUUAUACUGCUAUCUUGUUUUCUACCUUCAUUUUUUAUUUUCAUUUGAACUUCAACAACAUAUUCUCUUAUUUAGAAGUGAGAGUUGGAAAGGACNNNNNNNNNNNNNNNNNNNNNNNNNNNNNNNNNNNNNNNNNNNNNNNNNNNNNNNNNNNNNNNNNNNNNNNNNNNNNNNNNNNNNNNNNNNNNNNNNNNNGGCCCCGUGCUGGCACGGGGUCCUAUAUCUAGUCUUAUUACAUGGCAAUGCCAUGUUUAAACUCCGUUCUAUGCUAGCUCUAAACAUUUUUUCAAACUAGAUACUAAUAAAUUUUAAAUCGCAACACAUAUUUUAUUAGAUCAAUCCUUAGGUUUCAAAAUAUUUUUUUCAUACAAAAUGAUAUAGAGCAUUAGUGAUUCCAAAAAUUUUACUAACGAAAAUCAAAAUGCAUAUAAGUAAAAAUAAUAAUUUAUUUCGCAUCUUUAAUUUAAAAUCAUAAGAUUUAAAAGUUUUUUUUAAACUCGGUAUCAAGACGAAAUAAGACAAACAAAUUGAGUAUUAAUGUGAGAUCAGUGGCAGAGUCCGGAUCUCCGUAAAGGGGGUUCGAAGUAUAAAGUAGUAAAUUUUUUAUGUAUAUGGAAUACAUGAGGUCAAAAUUAGAUGUAACUUGUUUAAGAUACAUUGUAUCAAAGUGGAUUCACAUGUAUUUGGAUACAAAGAAAAUCUCGCUCACCUCGUUCACCACUGUCCCAUGUACCUAUUAUCCCAUAAACAUGCGAACCACUCCGAAUAAAUACAAAUACAUGUAUCUAAUAUGUAUUUAGUGUGAUUCACAUGUAUUUAAGAUACAUACGAAUCUUGUUCGCCUCUCUCCCUAAUUUUCACAUUGGGUUUUCGUGUUUAAGGAAUUUGAAAGUAGUAAACUAGUCAAAAACAAAAACAUAAUUAGUAAAAAUAUCCAUACUUUAUAAAUAUUAGUAAAAAUGUCAAAAAUAUCAUUAUUUUAAAAAACUUUAUGUAUCCUAAUUUUCUUCCUACUUUAUCUCCCAUUGACACGUUUUCAAUUAAUUAUCUCUCCUAUUUUAUUUUUUUAAAUUCUUCUCUCUCAAAUUUAUCUUUUCAGAUUCUUAAUUCUCUCUCUUAUUUUAAAAAAAAAAUCCCUCUCUCAUCUUGAUCUUUUCAAAUUAUCCUCCAACAUUCAAGUUGCCCAUAUAUCUCUUCCGUAAAUUUUGGUAGUUUUUUUCAGAAAUUAAAUCAACAACAAUCACUUUGAUUAAGGUAUUAAUCUUUAUCCUAUUUUUAGAUUUCUUUUCUGAUUUUAUUUUUGUUUAAAUCUUUAAAGAUUGUUGUUUGUAGUUGAAAUUUCGGUUAGGGUUCACUCUCCAAUGGCUGAAUCCAAGAGGCUUACUAGAUCCUUGGGUAGAUCUUUGCAGGCAAAAGCAUUUUCCUGAGUAAAAUUAGAUUUGUAAGAAAAAAUAUUUAACUUGGCAAGCAUAUAAAUAUAUAAAUUAUGCCAUAAUGUAACUUAUAAACUACAUCACAUAAAAACAAAUUUAUACAAUAAUGUAACUUAUAAAUCAAACCUGACAUAUACAAUAAUAAUUAUGAUUUAAUGAAUACACCAAUUAUGGAGUAAUGAAUACAAAACAAUGAAACAAAAGUGCAUGAGUACAAUGAAUACAUUUAAUAUGUAUCUUUACUUAACUUAGAAAAAAAUCAAAUGGCAUUACUAUUUGUUAAAAAACAAAUACUCCCCAUAUUUUCUUUGUAUUCAAACUAAAAAAAAUUAAAUACCCAAGUCAUUAACAAAUACAGAAUUAUAGAUGUUAACAGUUUUUUGUAUCCAAGUUAAAAAUGUAUGUAUUUACAAUAGUCCUUGCAUCAAGUAAAAAAUAAAUAUUGAAACAUUAAAAACAAAUUUGAACAAAACCGUAUUAUGCAUAUUUCACUGAAGUCUGCCAACAUAUAUGUAUACAAAACAAAUAUUGAACCAUUAAAAAACAAACAGCCGAUCAAAAAAUCUUCAAACAAUCCAUUAACAUUUUUCAUAAUCAACAACCACAAAAAAUUAAACAAAUCCACCAAAACUAAUUUUUCUUAUGUUGUUCACAGUACAUACAAUUUACAAUGAAAACAGAUAAAGUUUACAAUUAUUUACAAACUUUCAUAUCAAAAUUUUAUAAUCACUUUGAAAAAGAUUAAGGAUGAAGCAAUUAACUAAUACAUGGUCCAAUUUGUAUUCAACCAAUUUGAUCGAACUCCUAGUAAUAAAAUCCUUCUCCACAGUUGUUUGUCAAUGAUUUUGUUGUACUAUUUCGUUAAAAUAAUUCUCAACAAACAGAAAAAGAAGAAGAUUUCAAUCAAAAUAUAUUGAAAAUCGAUAACGAUAGAACUCAUCAGCUAUGGAGAAGACCGAUUAGUAUUUAGUUUUGAAAUUUUGAGACUUUUAAGCAAUUGUUCCUUUUUAAAAAAAUUCUCUCCCCUAAAUUUCUCCUUUUUGUUAUUUAACAAUUGUAUUCUUUCAAUUAAAACAAAUAAUAAAAACUUAAAUAAGAUACAUAAUAAAUUAAAAAUUUGACAUUUUUACUAAAUAUUGAAAGUGUUGACAUUGGAUCCUAUUAAAUGUCAAAAUAUUGACAUUUUGAAAAAUUUCUCUUAUGUACAAUUAAUUCAUUUUCUAUAAACACAUAGUAUAUUUUUAAGAAAAUAACAAUAGAGUAUAUCUUUGUUCUGUACUACUAUAACUAAAGCAGACUAUUUAAAUGUAACAUAUUUGUAAUUUCUCUGCAUGUCCGUCCGACUUAUUUUUCUGUGUUUAGAAACAUAGUCCAGUCCUACUUGGAAAAAUACUUACCCGCACAACUAUUUUUCAUCAAGCAAAUAAAAACAAAGAUUGUGCCUUUUAUAACUAUGUAUACUCUUUGAUGUUAAUAAUGAAUUUUUACCAGCAUUUUUAGACGUAUCAUUUGCCUCUGACACAGAGUUUACAUAUUACUGUAGUAUUUUUUUUGUUCCACUGCCAUACAUAAAAAAUACGGUAGUAAGCUUAAAAUUCAAAUUCUAAAGUAGUGAUAUUUUGGCGGCAAUCAAAUGAAAAGUGAAGCGGCAAAACUAAAAUAGAGCAAAUUUAACGAUCCCAGUGAAACUGAAUAUCCAAUAGAAUAACAACACGUUGGCGAUCCGCGUGAAGCCGAAAUGGACUCACCCAUUUCUAUAUAAACCAAUUUUAUUUUUCAACAAGAACAUCAGUCUCUCAUUAUUUCGAAUUCAAAUUGUCGAAAAGGAAAAAAAAAAAUGAGUUCUACAGUUGAAGCAAAGUCCGCUGGUGGUCGAGGAAAGGCCAAAGGUUCAAAAAAAUCAGUGUCCAGAUCUCAAAAGGCAGGUCUCCAAUUCCCUGUUGGCCGUAUUGCUAGGUAUCUGAAGAAGGGUCGUUAUGCUCAGCGUCUUGGCUCUGGUUCACCUAUCUAUCUCUCUGCAGUUCUUGAAUAUCUUGCUGCUGAGGUCCGUCCGUUUUAUUUAGUUUUUGUUUAUUAGUACUCUUCUCGUCUCGUGCUUGGCUGAUGUUUCGAAAUUUCCAGGUUCUAGAGCUUGCUGGGAAUGCAGCUAGAGAUAAUAAGAAGAACAGGAUUAUUCCAAGGCAUAUACAAUUGGCUGUCAGGAAUGAUGAGGAACUUAGCAAGCUGUUGGGGUCGGUGACAAUUGCUAAUGGUGGAGUUCUGCCCAAUAUUCACUCAAAUUUGUUACCCAAGAAGAAUGGCAAGGGGAAAGUGGAAUCUGCAUCUCAAUCUCAAGAGUUUUAAAUGUGAUGUCAGGAUUAAGAGGAAUUGGUUGGAUGUGGUGUUGUUUUUUGAUAUAUGUGAAUGACAUGUUUGCUUCAUUUAUUGAUUUGCUAUUCGAUCAUACAUCAACAAUGAAUUAUGACUUGAUCUAAAAGACUAUUGAAGACGCGCACGGCUGAGCAUUUUCAAUAUUAUAAUUUAUAACAAGUCUAAAAUUGACAUUUAAGAUCUAAGUUGUUACCAAAUAUGAAAAAAAUGUAAUUCCAUUUCCACCAUAUCCCCCUUGCAUUUGGUAGUGGUGUAUUUUGCCCUGGUAUCCAUUUUUCUUUCUUCUGUGAGUGUCUAUUGGAAUUUGGAACAACAACAAAUAAUUCUUAUUGCGGCGAAUGGACAUUGUUAACCGCAAAGUAGGAAAAGGAUUGUCUUUUAGACCGUCUCGUGUUUUUGUUGGCAGGAGGCAACAUAGAUUAAGUAUUUGAGGUAAAUCAUGUCAUCCUCUAUACUAUUAACCACGCAAAUGCAUUUUGUGAUUUGUAUAUAAGCAAGUGAUUCAUUAAUCUCGUUUCAUAUAUAUGUACACAUUAGUUCAUAGUAAAGUUAGCAAUGAGUUCAACAAAGGCUCCAAAUCGACAUCCAGAACUCACAAGGCAUGCCUCCAAUUCCCCGUUUUGUCUAAGCGGGCCCAACGUGUUGGUGCUGGUCCCCCGGUUUAUCUCGCUGCUGUAGUAGAAUAUUUAGCUGCCGAGGUAAUUCAUGGAGUAAUUUAAAAGGUAUAAUCAAAUGGAAUAGUAGUGUUUUUAUAGGUUUUGGAAGUUGCAGCAAGACACAAUAACACAACUUGCGGUGAGAAAUGAUGAGGAUGAGCAAGCAUGUCACCAUUGCAGAUGGAGGUGUUUUACCCUACAUUCACCAGACUUUGUUACCAAACCCAGAGAUGACAUUGCUUGUUAGUUUUCUUUUUCAAACUUAAUUUACGAUUACAUAUUCUAGUGCAAAGCUUGUUAUUGAAUGAUAAUUACAUCUGUUUUUUCCAUUCACUAGUUUGCUUUUUUGCACAAACAAAUAGAUGUUUAAGAAGAAUAAUCAUGUGUGCAUUUAUCAUUCUUGAGCCUAAUUUUCUUGGAAGGGUUUCCAAUGAUAAUGCCAGUCGCGACUUGUCAAUUAAUUAUUUUUCCCUAAUGUACAAUAGAAAUGUCUUUUAACCGAUCCUACAUACAACAUAUUCUAGUUUCAAUAUUUUAUUACAUCAUACUACUGUGAGCGAGCUUCAAAACACUGCAACUGUUAAUUAGAAUUAUAUAUGGUUUCUUCAGCCGAAAAUUUAUGAUAAGACGAUAGAACAAAUAAUAUCCCACCAAAUCAAAACUAAAACAUCUUUUAUGAGAGUCAUACCGGUAAACAAACAUAACAUAUGAAGAAUUUAACUUCAACCAAUUAUAUUAAAGCAAGUAUAAUUUAACAAAAGUAUCCAAACAACACAUUGGUGGUAAAUAUAACAUUAGGAGGAUUUCUGCACUGCAACACAUGUAAUGUCAUCACUGGAUCCUUUGUUGAUGCAGUACCUGAUGACUGUUGGUCUCAUUAAACGGUGAUGCUGCUCAAGAGGCACUAGCCAUGGAUUCUAUAAGGAGCUUGUAACCUUCUGGGACAGCUGACUGUGUAAGCACGCAUUCUGCCAAUGCAGGAACAUCUGCAUUAAUGUCCAGAAACUUGGCCAGCAACAGUAGCAGAUGGAAAUCCGAGAUUCGCUUCACAAAAGAAAGACUCUUUGUUCUAUUGAAAUGAUCCUUCAAUGCAUUCAUGCUCACUGGAAUAAUCCUGUUUUCAAUGGGAAAUGAUGAAGAAAGUGGACCCUGCACAUGAGAUGAGACCAAAUAAGAACAAGCGAUCCAAAUAAAUAUCACCAGGAUGAAAGCAAACGACACAAGACAAAGGGAGAAAGAGGUCGAAGGAACCUCUUAAGCAUCCAUCCAACAAUUUGUAAUGAUGGCACACGCACAUAUGUGCCAAAAAAUAUCAAAAAGGAAAGGAAAAGAAAAAUGAUAAAAUAACAGGUAUCUUCAUGAAACUGUCAAAGGACAUUCAGCAAGGUUUGAUCUAUUCCAAAACCACUAGGCAGGAACCUAUUCCUAAGCCUUUUUGCAUCUCUUCCAGCUCCAGUUUUACAUUAAUAUAUAUAUAUAUAUAUAUAUCAAAACUGAAACUUCCACCAAGUCCUAGACUUUGAAAACUGGUAAAGCUGCCCUAUUCCAAAUCUCGUCGACAUUGGAUGUCACAUACUAGAAUUCUCUUUCAAAAUUAUUUUGGCUUCAAUACAGAAAAGAGAAACAAAAGGAACAUCACCCAGCACUACUGCUUCAUCCUAACUCAAAUUAGGUUGCAUAUUGUUUCUCUCACUAACUAAAUCUUAUCCUAGUUCAUCCAUCAAUUAUAUCAGGUGAUAAAGCGAAGUCACUAUUUUUCUCACUAUAUCCUAAAAGAAACUGAGGAUCACUCAGGCACUCAAACUCCACUGAAGUCAACGAUUGAUGCAACAUUAACAAACACAAACUCCACUGAAGUCAACGAUUGAUGCAACAUUAACAAACACAAACUCCACUGAAGUCAACGAUUGAUGCAACAUUAACAAACACAAACUCCACUGAAGUCAACGAUUGAUGCAACAUUAACAAACACAAACUCCACUGAAGUCAACGAUUGAUGCAACAUUAACAAACACAAACUCCACUGAAGUCAACGAUUGAUGCAACAUUAACAAACACAAACUCCACUGAAGUCAACGAUUGAUGCAACAUUAACAAACACAAACUCCACUGAAGUCAACGAUUGAUGCAACAUUAACAAACACAAACUCCACUGAAGUCAACGAUUGAUGCAACAUUAACAAACACAAACUCCACUGAAGUCAACGAUUGAUGCAACAUUAACAAACACAAACUCCACUGAAGUCAACGAUUGAUGCAACAUUAACAAACACAAACUCCACUGAAGUCAACGAUUGAUGCAACAUUAACAAACACAAACUCCACUGAAGUCAACGAUUGAUGCAACAUUAACAAACACAAACUCCACUGAAGUCAACGAUUGAUGCAACAUUAACAAACACAAACUCCACUGAAGUCAACGAUUGAUGCAACAUUAACAAACACAAACUCCACUGAAGUCAACGAUUGAUGCAACAUUAACAAACACAAACUCCACUGAAGUCAACGAUUGAUGCAACAUUAACAAACACAAACUCCACUGAAGUCAACGAUUGAUGCAACAUUAACAAACACAAACUCCACUGAAGUCAACGAUUGAUGCAACAUUAACAAACACAAACUCCACUGAAGUCAACGAUUGAUGCAACAUUAACAAACACAAACUCCACUGAAGUCAACGAUUGAUGCAACAUUAACAAGAGGCCAUCUGAACAAACAGAGGAAGAAAUUUGGAAUAUUUUGAAUUACAGUUUGGAAUACAUCAAAAUAUGCAAGUUUCAUGUUGAGCACAUACUACCACACCUCAAAGCAAGUGUACUACUCCCUCUGUCCCAAUUAAUGUGGUACCACUUUCAUUUUUAGUCCAUCCCAAAAAGAAUGUAAUAUUUCUAUAAUAAUAGAGAUAAUUUAGACUACAAAUUUCAAAUGUCUUCCUUUUUUCUUAAAAUUCAUGUCAAGUUAAACGGUGCAACAUAAAUUGAGACAGGGUGUACAAGCAUAUUGUAAUCUCUGUCCAAAGUCUCAUGGCAAGACACUUGAAGUAAUUUUACGAAGAACCUCUCACUUGAAAAUAUAUCCCAGCCGGUUAGAACCACAGUCAAUAGCAACAACAGCUAGCACACUGCUGUACUCCAUCACCCACGCUAUGGGUGACAUCAAUACCUCAACCAACUUAUUUAUCACAUGAUUGACAUCAAGCGAGAGGGGAUAUAAUUAGUGAAUGAAAACUGAAUGAAGAAGAAUGUAGAAUAACUCCUCAAUGGAAAGAUUUGAUGCUAUUGUUCCGUGGUAAUUUUCCAGGUCAAUCAUGCUCAAGCCUAAACAUUGAACAGUCCAAUGACCUUAGGGUAAGUUCCCUAAUUUCACACUUGAACCUAUCCCUAGAAAUAUUCUUUUGACAUUACAAAAAUAAGCAUAGAUAAAUGAGUUCAUGUCUGCAGAACCAUGCUUCAUGUGAAGCAAAGAAAGUGGAAAAAAGAAAACAAAGCAGAGUUCUCCCACCGGGGUAACUAAUACAGCUAACAGUAUGAUGACAAGCUGAAAGCAAAUAAGAGAAAAAUAUAUGAUGAAACAUGCUAAAUCACCUACUGAGGGGGAAGGCAAACUACAUUACCCAAAAAUCUUCAAAAGGUUUGCAACUUUAGGAAGUGAACCACCAAAAAGGUUACGAAUCAAAAAGGAUGAGUUAGAUGAUCUAAAAGAUGAGGAAAGUGAUUAGGUCAAUUGAGCUUCCGGAUCCUUCUGAUCUGCCUACUUCUUAUGAUGUUCUCAAACUACACAAGAAACCAUAGAGUAUUAGGUUCUAUCAUCACCGCCUAACAGGUUCUAAUUGUAGGAUGAAGCAUAUGGCAACAAAUGUCUACUUGGGGGCUUUGACCAACAGCCUAUUUGCUAAAACUACCUAAAACAUACAGCUACUGAAAUUAAGCAUGUGUUUUAAUGCCGUAGUAAGGUUUCUCUAUUCUCAGCAGUUCCAACCAGAGACCAUUAAAAAGGCAUCUUUUAAUCAAUACUUAGAUGUUCUACCGCCAAUUCUUACCAAUAGUGUAGUAUUUCUUCUGUUCAGUUCUUUUUGUCACUGCCUUCAUUUUUCUCCUCAUAGUAUGAUUAUAAAGUUACUCACUUUAUGCAAUUUAAGGAAAGCAAACAAAUGUAAUUCAUAAUUAAAUUCAAGCAACUAAUGGACACAAUAUGCAGCACACAAAAAAGAUUCAAAGAAAAAGAUAUGCAAUAAAUCCAACGCACCUGGUGAUCAGCAAUCUUGACAACAACCAAGAAGAAGUCGUUAUCAACUUCUCUUGUGUCCUUGACUCCUACCACCACAUCUUUCUUCAUCUUAGAAAGCUUUGGAUCAAUCUCAUCCUUAACAUCUGUCUCAAACCACCCUUCCUUGAACAAUCUAACACACAUAUCACUCAUCUGAAAAGCCUCAAAAUGUACAUCGGCAGCGCCAUCCUCAUUCACCUCAAGCUUCACUAUAGCGGUCACCCACUCCUUCAAAUCACCCUCCGAAUGUAACUCAGCUGCCUGUAAGACUUCUGCAGUUGACAUUGUGUAAUCCUUCUUAUCCUGACUAAUUGUCUGAGUAAAUAUAAACCCUACUUUCCUCAUCCCUAAUCCAAUAGCUAUAGCAUCCACCAAUUUCUCCUCAUCAGGAUCGCGUAAAAGUAACAAAUUUUCCUCGGUCCCUUGCUGGGGCGGCUCAUAAAUAAAAUCGACUUCCACUUUGCCCUCAGGCGAUACCGUACCAUACAUAAAACCACCCCUUUUGACAGCAAAGGCGAGUGUUUCAUUGACAUAAUGUUGAAAGGCAUUGGCGGCAUCACGAUCGAAGGAAACCAGCUCGCAGUGAGGGUUCUCUUGUCUUGUAACUCGCAUUUGUUUGGCAAUUAGGUCGUCCAUGGUCAUCUUUCUACCGAAUGAACCGGCGGGCUGGACGGCCGGACCGGCAAUGGUGCGUUCACCCUCGUAAGCGAGAUAGAGCAUGGAACCGUGAGUAAGGUUCAAAGAGGAGAUGGGUGUAUGAGGGUUGGCCAUAUCAGUGAAGCGAGACCAAUCAUCUGGGGUUUUAGCGAGCAAAAGGUUCUGAUUUGCAGAUAGGGUUUGAGAUUGAACUGGAACUCGAAGUUGGGAUUCGAUUUGGGACUUGAGUUGGGAAAUUGUGGCAUGUGGGUUGUCAAUUGUGACUCGCUCUAACCCAUCUCUGCUUCUGAUUCUGAUCAUCAUCUUGGCUGGCGACUGACUUAGAUAGAAGAAGAAGAAAAAAAACUUGUUGUUUAUCUUUGUACAGCAAGCAAGAGAGAUUACUAUAAUAUGGUGAUUUUAAUAAAUAUGUAGUGCAUCAGCAAGAGGUGAGAAUCUGUAUGGAAGUUGGACCGACGAAGAAGAAAGGAAGUAGGAACUUAGCUUUGGCUUGUAGAAUCGUCCAUUAAUAUAUAUACUACUCCAUAAACAAAGCAUAAAUUCGUCUCCUAUUCUGUUUCGGAUUUCUAUUUCUAUUCGACCCGUCCUCAUUAGACUUGGGCUCGGACAAGUUUUGGGCUGGACUUUGUAAAUUACUCCUAAUUUGAUUUGGUUGGAAAGAUAAAUUGUCUUUUUUAAAAUUCGGGACAAGUUCAUGUGUCACUUUGUCUUUUCUCUUAAAAAAAUUACGCAUAAUACCAUUUUUAAUAUUUAUACCAUAUAUUUUAAAAGAUUUAAUUAGAUACACAAAUCUCUUAAAUAUGGUAUUGAAUAAUUAUCUUAAAAUUUAAACUCCUUAAUUAUGGUACAUUAGCAAUUCAAAUUAUUUACUCAUUACCCUAAUGUUCACCUCCACCCCCACGUACUUCACAUCCACCCUAUCUCUCUCUCUCUCUUCCUUAACUAAAUCCUGAUAAUCAACAUCAUACAAACUCAUAUUCAUUAUCGUCAUGGUCCAUACAUCUUUUCUAUGAAUUAGUCAUUAACUAGCUUCUUUCAGAUGAUCAAUAUUAUCCGAAAGAAGUUCAAGGUUUCUUCUACAUAACUGUUGUAUCAAUGAGGUAAAUUAUUAUUAAUUUUCAUUAUUCUCAGGUAUCUUGGUUUACAUUCCAUUCAUGUACAUGAAAUAGAGUUUAUAUUGGUGUAAAAUUUGAUUUUAUAAACUUUUGCAAAUUAGAUUUUUGUCAUUGCAGCGUCUUCAUCCGCCAACAUCCAAGCCGAAAAUUUAAGAUACAAAGGAAGAAAUUGAUGAAGAAGAUGAAGUGUACAAUUACAGAAUUAUUAUGAUUUAUGAUUUCAUUAUUUUAGGAACACUUGUUAGAGUUGAUACACAAGGGUCUUGUAAAUCUGUUUGGUUUGUUAAUUAUUCAUCAAUCAAUGAAAUAAGUUACACCCCUUUAAUUCAAAGUAAUAAAUCGUGUAUCUAGACUUUUAAAAUCGAUGGAUACAUGUAUCUCACGAAAAAUGAUACAUGUAUCUCAAGGCCGAAAUAUUCAAAAAUUUAAGAUACAAAAGAAGGAGAUAAUGAAGAAGAUGAAGUUUACAAUUUUAUAAUUACUACUCCCUUUGUCCCAAAUUAUAUGACUCACUUUCCUUUUUAGUGCCACGCCCCGAGCCUACACCCUGGGUGGGACCGGCACUCGGAGACCAUUGCUGGCCCCAAGCGAACCCUUGGCCUGGCUUUCUUAACUCAACGGAAACCUAACUCAACAGAAUAACUUAAUGCCAUGCAAAGACAUAAAACAACUAACUGAUGCAUAACUUGCCAAAAGGCAGCUCGAGUCUCAAAAUAGAAUAUUUACAUAAAUACAUAAAUGAGAGACUCAAUACUGACUGACUGACUGUCUAUGAAGCCUCUACAAUACUGAGAUGGAUGUUGGGACAGGCCCCACAACAUCCUAUUAAAACAAACUUAAGAUCACAAAAUAACUGAGUCCUCUGGAAAGCAAGGAGGCUCACACCUGACUCUGGAAUGCUCAGCUGGAUCAACGGCGUGCUGGAUGCUGAUCCUGGGUACCUGCGUUUGCAUCAUAAUAAGAUGCAUGCCAACUGGCAUCAGUACAUGAAAUGUACGAGUAUGCGAGCUGGAACUAAGCAACAAAGGCUAGCAGGAGAUCUGGAAGACAACUGAAAAAGCUUAACCUGGCUCAACUCAACUCAACCUGACUGACUUCUUUCAAUAUAAGGCAAUUUAAAACAAAUGUGAUAUAAAGAAAGACUGUUUAAAAACCUGCUAUAAACUCUGUGUGUAUACAAAGAUACAAUAAGCCUGAUAUGUAUAUAGAAAUACAAAUGAACUGAUGUAUAUAAAAAUACAAUACUUUUUGUGUAUGAAAAUACAAUAACUGCUGUGGGAGUUUCUCUAAUCGACAACCAUCACAUAAGAGCUAUAGUGAUGAUACAACGAUAGACCUCACGCUGCCAGAGCAUUCUAUUCCCGGCCAAAGGUAUAGGACCUGAACUGCCUAAUGGAUCCACUAGUCUGAUUUGAAAAGGAUUCAUCUAAAAAGUAUGAUCCUUUUCUACCCAUGGUGGCUAACAUAGUUCUAUGGGGGCUAUGGGUUCUUUGAACACUCCCCCAACUCGGUGCUCGAUACUACUCCCAAAAAUGUACUAGCUCUUAUGUUUUUAAAACAUAUGUCUUCCUGCUGAUUGAGAUAAUUACUCAAAAACUAGCCUAAAGGCUCCUUUGGAAAAUCUCAGUUUCCUCUCUUUCUUUAUGAAAACUAGCCCUAAGGCUCUUUUGGAAAUCUCAGUUUCCAACCUUGUUUAAAUGUAAAAACAUUUCUUUAAAACUUAUUUGGGAAUACAUAGUUCCCUAAUAACUUUUGAGAAAUGAACUCAACUUUAAACUCUUGACUCAACUUGAAACUUGAUACCUCUUUCUUAGCUUGAAACUCUAAGCUCUUUACUUGACUUGAAACUAGAGUCUAAAAAUGAAGUUAAAACGUUCAAUAAAGACUCUUGAACAGCUUUAAGAACUUGCUUGACUUGCUUCUUUAACUUUUGAACUUAACUUUUGACUUCUAACUAACUCUCCUUGAAUUGGAUUUAUGGAUUCAAGGUGUUUGAUCACAUGUUACAGAUGAGUCCGGGAGGUUUAAAUGUACCUUAGAGAGUUGGAAACAACCAUACAACAUAGGUACAAUACCAAGGAACAUGCAUGAGAAGGUGGGGAAUGAAUGGGGAAACUCGGCGUCCUUGGCGCUCUGCAAGGCGCGAGCGCCAGACCCAAAACUUCAGAGGGGGCCUGCUGGCGCUCUGAGAGGCACGCCGCCACAAGGGGGAAACUUUAGAAUCCCUUUUGGAGCGCGCUGGCAGGCGCGACGCGUCAAUCCCCUUGCCCAGAAACUCGACUUUUCUCCCUCGUUUUGCCAACUCUAAACAACCCUUGCUUCAACGGCUUCAACCCCAAACACUAAGGAUCAUCAUAUCCCUCAACAUACCAUGGAUUACAACUCAAAACACAACCGGAAACAAGUCCCAAAUCAACAAGAAUCUCAACAUCAAAAUCAACAACAAUACCAACAAUAAUUUCAACAACUUCAACAACUUCAACAACAAAUCCAAUCUUUUCUCAAAUCAUAAAAAUGAGCUUGGUGUGUGGGAGAAAUGAUCAACCCACACAAAGAACUCACAUACCUCAAUAGGGAUCACCCCCGACGAUUUCCACGACGGAAACUUGCUUGAUCACCUCUUUCUCUUCUUCUUCUCCUCUUCUUCUCUUCUUCUUCUCUUCUUCUUCUCUUCUCCUUCUCAAACCCUAGCUCUAACUCUUUUAAAAAUGGAACAAAAAUGAUCCACAAUAAGCCUAACACCACAAUAUAACGCCAAAAUAAAAUAGCUAGGGAAAAGACCAAAAUGCCCUUAAAUUUCCGGACAGAUUUCCCUGCCAACUGCCCAACUUCAAAAGGGAAUAACUCGCUCAUACGAACUCGGAAUUGAGUAAAUUCGGUGGCGUUGGAAAGAUCGUUCCACGAACUUCGCAACCAUAACUGGAACUCCACCUAACUCAUCCUGAGAUAGAAUUUAUGGCUGUUCAAAGUUGGCCAAAAACUCACCUUUUUCCACACUUAGCCAAAUUCCAGAUUUUCAAAUUCCUUCCAAAAUGCCUAUUUCCGAUUCUAAGCCUCUUCAAAGCUAUUUCAAAUUGUCGGAUGUUACAUUUAGUCAGUCCCAAAAAGAAUGACACAUUUCUAUAUAAAGUAACAAUCUAACUAUAAAAUAUCUAUUUUACCAUUAAUGAAAUGAUUUACAGCCACACAAAUUUCUAUCAUUCAUUUUGGACCACAAAUUUUAAAAGGUUUCCUUUCUUUCUUAAACUCCGUGCCGAGUCAAAGUACCUCAUAUAAAAUGGGACGGAGGGAGUAUGAUUUAUGAUUUCAUUAUUUUAGGAAAGCUUGUUAAAGUUGAUAAGCAAGGAUCGUGUAAAUCAAUUUUGAUUGUUAAUUAUUCAUUCAUUAAUCCUUUAAUUAAGGAAAUAAGUUAUACCUCUUUAAUUCAAAGUUAUAAAUCAUGUAUCUUGACUUUUAAAAUUGAUGGAUACAUGUAUCUCGCGAGUAAUGAUACAUGUAUCUCAAUUACUCUUCUAAUUAAGGAAAUCACGAUUUUAAAAGUCGGCAGAUACAUGUAUCUCGCGUAUUCAGACUCGUGUAUCUUAAGCACGAAAUAUGGUACAUAAAGUAAUAUUUAAAACUAUUGGGAAUCUUAGUAAUUAAGACCUAAACUAGUGGGAUUUAUGUAGUUUACCCAAAACUUGUCAUAAAACUUGCAACUUUUGAUAAAAGUCACAAUUCGUCAUAAAACUUGUAUUUUUUUUAUAAAAAUCACAACUCGUCAUAAAAGUCACAAUUCUUCAUUUUCUAUUCACACCUUUAAAAAACCCAACACCAACAAAUUGUUUUAAACCUGUAAAUCUCUUUUUCCAUUAUGUCAUAUCUUUUUGUAAAAUCUAUGCGAAUUCUAAUAAUUAUAGGUCUUUUUAAAUAUCGCCUCUUUAUACAGUUUUUAGAAAUACGUUUGAACGAAUUUUAACUUCUUUGAGCUAAAUAAGGAAAACAAAUAUAUUUUUUUGAAUUAAUUUUAACUGAUUGACUAAAAAGGAAAACAAAUAUUCCUAUUUUGUUUUGAAUCCCCUAAAUUUAUGGCAUUAGUAAUUAUCCUUAAUGUAUUCAAAUUAAUGACAUAUCCGCUUUUUUCUUUUUAUGAUUUUAAAAAAAAAAACGUUUUUUACUAUUAUUUUAAUUUUUUUAAUAAAAUGUUACAACCUGAAAGUUUUUAUUGUUACAACUUGAAAGUUUUAUUAUACUGUCAUAACUUGAAAAUAUUAGUCUUGUAAUUUUAGUAGUAGUAAUACACAUAUGUAUUGAUUUUUUGAAUCACACUCUGGUCAUAUUUCCUAUAAUUCUGUUUAUUGCAAAAAUGUUUGUUAAAAAAAAAAUACAAAGGUAGAUAAAAAAUGUAUAAAGAGGCGAUAUUUAAAAAGACCUAUAAUUAGUGAAAAUUUAAUAAAUGACAUAUACAAGACUAAUAUUUUCAAGUUAUGACAGUAUAAUAAAACUUUCAAGUUGUAACAAUAAAAACUUUCAGGUUGUAACAUUUUAUUAAAAAAAUUAAAAUAAUAGUAAAAAACGUUUUUUUUUAAAAUCAUAAAAAGAAAAAGCGGAUAUGUCAUUAAUUUGAAUACAUUAAGGAUAAUUAAUAAUGCUAUAAAUUUAGGGGAUUCAAAACAAAAUAGGAAUAUUUGUUUUCCUUUUUACUCAAUCAGUUAAAAUUAAAAUACUUAUCCUAACCACUUUUUUGCUUUUUUUUGAAAUUGGAUUUCCGAGUCCUCCUUCCUUGUUGUUCUUCUUGUUGAUUUGUUUUGAAGACUGACCAAUUUCGACAUUUGUUGCUUUUUUUUUUUUUUUUUCUUUUUAAUCUCACUUACGAAAUCUGAAUCCGAAACAAAAUGAGUCACUUCUACAAUUUUCACCUUCCUCUUAUUUCCCUUUUGAUUUGCAUGACUAACUGUUUUCUUUGCUUGACUAAUCUUCGACUGAGAAAAAACAUCUUUUACCGGAAUUUCAUUAUUUGUUGGCAUGCAACACUUAUCUCUAGUUCAAGAGCAGAAACCUUGGCCAACGCCUCUUCUCGAGCUGCCUGCUACCGACAACAAAAGAGUUGAUAGAGAGAACAAAAAAUCAGAAUUCAUAUCUGACAUUCUUUCCUGCACAUAUAAUUUUUAAAACAUGUGCUAAUUUUAAAACAAAUACAGAUCCACUUCUAGUGGGGAACAAGUAAGCAUUCGCUUCUUCCAAUUAUCAAACAUAACAAAAAAUUCAUACAGAAAGGAAAGUAUGUUAUCUUAUUUUUUUCCUUCCACAUCCAUGGGGCUCAAUCGUGAGUUCUGUUGUUUUUUUUUUAAUGAAGAAGACAAACGUUGAAGAUGGUGAGAGAGAAAAAAAUAGUUCUAUGUAAAAGAGGAACGUGGGGGUGGGGAUGUGAAAACUGGAAAAACAAUCUCUAAAAUGGUGUAAGAGAUAAUGUCAAUUGAUUCUCUAUUAAUGUUAUCCCUAAAAUGGUGUAAGAGAUAAUGACAAUUGAUUAUCUUAUUUCUCUUACUUAUUAAUUGUAAGGUAAUUAUAAAAAUAAUAACUAAUUAAUUAAAUCCAAUAAAUUAAAUUAUAUAUUAAAACUAAUAUGUUAAUACUUGUAAUUAAAUUGUUAUAAGUAGUAAUAUAAAAAAAGUACAUCUAAAGAUUGUAAUAUUAAGCCUUAAAUAGAUAUGUGGGGUGAAAUUUUCAUUAAUAAACAAAAAGUAUUUGAAUAGUAAUCAAUAUUUAUCUUGGGAAUAAUAAAAUAAUCAAAAUAAAAAUCAACUAAUUAGGAGAAUAUCAAGGGAAAAAUUUAUCUUGUCAUUACUAUAUUUAUGGAAAAGAUAUUUUGAGUUUGAUCCUUUUGGGUGCACACAGGGUAAAACCUCCACUCCUAUGCAAUAGCUCGCAAACCACAUAGGAGAGGUAACCCGCACUAGGCAAUCCCGGUGUGACGAGCUUGACCCAGAAGGCAAACCCCUUGCUUUUGCUGGCAAGGGGUUUCGAACUUGAGACCUCCAACAUGGAAGUCCCAAGCCCAAACCAUUGGGCCACCCUGAAGGGUACAUUAUAUAAUACAUAUUAGUUAAUAAUAUAUAAUUAAUUAAUUUAUAAAUUAAAACUAAUAUGUUAAUACUUGUAAUUAAAAUGUUAUAAAUAGUAAUAUAAAAAAAGUAGAUCUAAAAGUUGUAAUUACGAGGAUCACUAAACCCCGUUGACUAUAUAGUACAUCUACAACUACUAAUUUUAAUACAAAUAUUUGAUUUGACUAAAUAAAGGUUUACAAAAUAAAGAUAAAAAAAAAAAAAAAACACCUAAUUAUUAGAACGCAAAAAGGGACAUCAGACCUACUUAUCCUCAUGUGUGAACCCAAUUCUAAUGAAAAAAAGGGAAAAAAAGGAAAGAAAGGCGUGCGAAUUAAAUCUGAGCUUAUACUGUCAGAAAAAAAUAGAGAGAAAAAAAUAAUAAGACAUAUAUAUAAUUCGAACUCUCAAGUUUACAAGGACACCUAAUAGUUCUAUGAUUCUUUGAGCAGCACCUGUAGCAUGAAUUCAUGUGAACGGACACACUUCUAUUUAGAAGUAAGUUGUAUGUCUAAGAGACAUUUUUAUAGAAUUGAGGUGAAUUUGAAGUUGAAAUAUGUUUAAAAGCUAUAUUAUGUGAUAUACGAUAGCCCCAAAUAAAUAGGAGCCAAAAGCCCAAAACUGAUUGAGAUGUUGUCAAUGCAUGAUUGACGAUUCUAGUCAAGUUUUUGAUGGUCCCACUUCCAUUAGCUUUGUUGUUAAUAUAGUCUUUUUAUUUGCAUUUUUAGAGAAAUAAAAGGACAAAAGUAGUAAACGAUCAAAUACUUUAUAGAUAGCGAAAGUUGGCAUAACAUUUUGAAUUUGAAAAUGAGCCCAAAACUGUGGGGACCACUUAAUGGCCCAUUCCCAAAGACUUUGGAUUUUACUCUCUUAAUUAGCCCAGCCCAGCCCAGCCCAGCCCGUAAUACAAGAUAAAACUUGUAGCCGUUGUUACUCCUUUUUAAUUCUACUUUUACACUUCUCCUACUUAUACUUGUAUUAACAAGAUUAGGAUUAGGAUUAGCAAAGAAAGAAAGGGGAUUGAUGAUUAUAUAAUUUUGGUUGAAUUUCCAUCUAAAUAGUAUAACGUGGAGUAAUAAGUAGUAAAUCAUAUCAAUAUUCAAAAGAUUUGUUAUUCUGUUAAUUUAUUGUACCUCAAAAAACACAACAAUUAAAUUGUAAAUUGGCCAAUGUUUUUCUUGCAAAUUGGUGUGGUUUAAUAAUUCAUAACUAAACUGCAUUACAUGUGUAAAUAAAGGGACAAAGAUCUCAAAUCAUUAUGGGAAAAGCUGCACAUUGUGCAUUUGGAAUCCACCAACGGUCGGUCUGCAACUAGAAUCUCUCUUUUUUCUAUAAAUCAAACUCUACAAUUCUAGCUCAAAAUAUUAGCAAAAAUAACAUUUCUACUCCCCCAUAAAUAAUGUCCAAGCUAGUGCACGAUUAUUUACUUGUUAACUAUCUAUAUCCUUAACAAAGUGAUUGAUUUAGGCUUCAUACAUGACACUUGUAAAGAAAAGAAAUUAAUUAGAUGUCAUAUUAAAUAAGUAAAGAUCGCAUGAAAUUAUGAAUCAAACCAUAUAUUUUAUAUAUCUAGUUGACAAAAUUAUUUAAUUUGUACUAAUAAUAUAAGUGAAAUGCACACAAUCUAUCUUUUAACUUAUACGUUUCAUCUCAUUGGUCUUUUGAUUUUUAUCUCAUUGAUAAAUAUUUUUUCUUUUAAAGCAUAAUAAGUACACAUUUACCGUACAAAGAUUUAUUGACGGACAAGUAGAUGUCAUUAAUCAUAAAUAUACACCUUGAUUAAUUUAGUUAGUUGAAAAUGUUUGGGUACGUAAUAGUAGUAGGAAUUGAGUGUAGGAGAAUAAUUUACUUCAAAAUCAUAGGUUAAAAAUAAGUUAAGUUAAUUAUAUAUAUAUAGAGUUGCAUUGAUUAGUGAACAAACUUGCUGAAAAGCAGAAAGUGUAGAAAAAGAGUGGCACUAUUGAAAUUGUUAAGUAAUGAAAAGGGCUUUCUUGUCAUCGGACAAGAGAAAUUUGAAACGAGUGGCCGUUUGAACCGCAUUAAAACUUGGUCUCUUGAAUGCUCUUGUAAUUACUAAAAAAAAAAAGAGCAACUCUAUCUAUCUCUUCCAAUUUCACUCCAAACCCAGUUCAUAGAGAGAGAAAGAGAAAGAGAAAUGACGGGGUUGGUAAUGGUGACAAGGGGAGGUGGCUGUGGAAAUGGGAAGAACAGUUCAAAGGCGGCAGCUGCUGAAAUGCAAAAUCAGCAGCAGUUGUCUUUGGUGGAUUUCAUAUUAGCAGCUCUAAGGAAAUCAAUGGUGUCUUGUCGUGUAGAUCGACAAGAAGAUGUUGUUUCUGCUGUGGAAAUAGGGUUCCCCACCAAUGUCCAGCAUCUCACUCAUGUCACUUUCGAUCGAUUUCAUGGCUUUCUGGGUCUUCCUCUUGAGUUUCAAGUUGAAAUCCCAUGUAGAGUACCAAGUGCCAGGUUUCUUCUAAAUCUCAAAACUUUCUUUUCUUGUUUCUGAUUACUAAUGCUUAUGACUGACAUAAAGCUCAGACUUUAAGGACUAAAAAUUGACUUGUCAACUUUUUCAUGUUUAAAAAAGUUUUAUCUCUUUUUUUUCUAUGUGCUCCUUAAAGGAGAGAGAUUAAGUUGUGUGAAUUUGCAAUGUACACUCUGAUUUGUGUAAUAGCUUUUUAGGCUGAGAAGUCUUUAAUUUUACUGUGAAUGCCAAAGCUAAUUGAGGAGUCAAUACUUCCAUAAAUGCAUGUAGUAUCUACUUUCAAAAUCUUUUCCAUUUCCAGGAGGACUGGAACUAGGUCAUUUGAUCCUUUUUGAGGUCCCCUUCCUAUUGUGGAGUGAGUUAUACUUGACCAAUAAAAAAUGAAGGUCUACUAAUUCGUCAUUUUCUAGUUAAUGAUCCUUAAUUACACUGCAUUAAAGUGAGUUGGUUGGCACCUUGAGGGACUAAUAAAUGAUUUGUUUGCAUUUGAGCAGCUAAUUCUUUAUUGCUGUGAAUUACAAGUGUUUUUUUUUUUAGAGAAACUGUAUAGUUUAGGAUGUCAACAGGGAAAAUUUUCAUGCACAAUUUUACAACUCAAGUAGUACCUUUGGAUAAAUAGUGGUAUUUUUGUGACUCAAUACCUGCACUCAUGUUUAGGUAUUUGGUCUCUGGCAUUACAAUGGAAAUACACGAAUCCGAUGAUGACUUGAUUACUUAAAUUUAUUAUCAUACUGAAUAAAGAAAUGGUCAAGUUGCUAAGCUCACCAGCUCGAUAAUUUAAGAAAGGGCCUCCGUUCAGGAACCAGAAUCUAGUGAAUUGAAUUAAGAUAUUCAAGUGGUAUGCAUGGUAAACACAAAGCAAGAAUGAAGAGCAGUCCCGGUUCCUGUUUGUUUACGGGUUUUCUCAUGCUGGUGAUUAUACUGUAUUAGGCAGUCCCAGUUCACUCCCAAAUCAUCUUUCUGUAGCAUUUUGUGUUCUAUUGAAGUUAUUUUUCAGAAACCAAUAGUUGUCAAUUACAAAUUCAAAGCAUAAGUUGAUUUCUGUGUCUAUCUUCCGCAGAGGUCAUUCUUCAGCAAACAAUAGCUGCAGUAAUUUGCUUUUAAAGCUCCAAACCUAUCUAUUCAAUAUAUCCGCUGAAUUUGUAACCAUUUAUUUUGCAGCGUCAGUGUGUUUGGUGUAUCUGCAGAAUCAAUGCAGUGUUCUUAUGAUACAAGGGGCAACAGUGUCCCAACUAUUCUCUUGUUAAUGCAAGAACGGCUAUACUCACAAAAUGGUCUUAAGGUAAAACAAAUUUUAUCUCAUUUCUGAUGGAUGGAAUUUUUGUCCACCAUGUUAUGUUAUUGCCAACAAUUUUCUGACUAAUUAUAUCUGGAUGAACCUUUUAGGCUGAAGGAAUCUUCCGAAUUAACCCAGAGAAUAGCCAGGAGGAGCAUGUAAGGGACCAGCUAAAUAGAGGCAUCGUGCCUGAAGACAUCGAUGUUCAUUGUUUGGCUGGUCUCAUCAAAGCCUGGUUCCGAGAACUGCCAUCAGGUGUGCUUGAUGGGCUUUCACCAGAACAGGUUUUGCAAUGCAACACCGAGGAAGAAUUCGUUGAGCUUGUGAAACAGCUUAAACCAACCGAGACUGCAUUGCUCAACUGGGCAAUUGAUCUUAUGGCUGAUGUUGUUGAACAAGAGGAAUCCAACAAAAUGAAUGCCAGAAAUAUUGCAAUGGUUUUUGCUCCAAACAUGACCCAGGUAAAUGAAUAUAUACUAUAGCAGUUGGUUGUAUAAAGUAUUAACAUUUCUUAUAUUGGUAAGGAGUUGAAGCAUUUCAUUUUUUUUUUCUGGAAUCAGAUGUCUGAUCCAUUAACAGCUCUCAUGCACGCUGUUCAAGUGAUGAACUUGCUGAAGACCCUGAUCAUGAAAACAUUACGAGAGCGUGGAGAAGCAGAAGAUGGAGAUUAUUCACCCAUGUCAUCUCGUUCUUCUGGUAGACAAACUGAUGAGGAAUUCGACUCCCAACAAGAGAUGGACACUAGCUGUGAAUCAGCAGGACCAGCAUCAGAUGAUGACGAUGCUGAUGAGCAACAUCGCUAUAGCUACAGCAGUGAAGAGAGAGAUGAAGUCGAGUCAUUGAGUGAGAUAGAAGAAAGCUUCUUGCGACAGUUGGACGAGAAUGAGCAUGCAAAAAAUGACUUCAGGAAACAGUUGGAAGGAAUUUUGUGCAGAGAAGAUGUUAUUUCCACAACUGCAUCUACCGAAAAUGGAGAUUCUUCUGUUUCAUUUUCUGACAGUAAAAUGGAGACUUCUGGCUUGAGCACUAGCGAUGGUGAAGACUCAAGAUACACUUGUGUUACUCUGGAAGAUAAAGUGGAGUUGAAGAGAUCAAGUGGAAGCAUGGAGGAUGUCGAUAUGGUAGAGGUAAACAUGGUAGAAUCUGCUGUUCCUGUGCAGUAGGUUAAUGACUGCUAUUGAAUCUUGCAAUUUUAGGAGUCGUGGAUUUCUCUGUUGUUAAUGGUCUGACGGUUGUUUAUGUAAAAAGUGUUUGUAGGACAGAAAAUGGUUUGCUUGUGAAUCACUGUGUUCAGCAUUGGCUGAACUCGUGCUUGAUUGAUUUCUUUGUUUUGCUAGCUAGCUAUAAGGAUCUCUAACAUUGACCAACAUCAAUGGUGUACGAAAAAAGGUUUGUUUAUGAAGAUUGAAAAAGAAAGGUGGAUUUGCUUUAUCAGAAAAGCAUAGUCCUUGAUUUCAGAUACUAAUCCUUGACUAAUGAUUUAGUUAACAGAGAAUAAAUAGUAGUGAAAAUGGACCGUUAUCCCUAAUUAAUGAUUUGACAGAGAAUAGUAGUGAACAUUUUUAGCAAGUUCUUUGGACUUUGUUGAAGUGACAAAGAUGUAUUUUAUUCUAAUCAAGUACUCCCUCCGUCCCUAUUUACUUGUCCAUAUUUCCUUUUUUAGUUGUCCAUUUUGACAAAUCAAGAAAGGACAACAAAUUUUUUCCAAUUAUACCCUUAUUUACACUUCUUGAAAAUUGUAAAAGUGUAUGUUGUUUUCCUCCAAUUUAUUUCACUUGAAUUCAAAUAAGUGGUUGUAAAUUUGAAGUGAAAAGUUGUCAUAAGGAUAAAAUUGUAACUUUACUGUGCUAAUCAUUGUUGCCUUAAUCUGUGUGCCAUUUCUAAAGUGGACAACUAAAAAGGGACGGAGGGAGUAAUAGUGAUAGGGAAUCCAAGAAAAUGGAAAUAGUAACUAGUAAUUUUUGUCUUCUCUCACUGUUUAAGUUGCUAUAAAAAUAGAAAAUAUUUGGAUGUGGUUUGAAGUAUUGCUGCUUUACGUGUUUGAUUCUGUCUACCCAUUCUUGCUGCAUGUAAUAAGAAAAACAGUAGGAAGCCACGUCUUUUUGGUUCUUCAACACAACGUUUUUCAACUACAUCAUCAUUAUGAAUGUUAAAGUUGGACAACUAUUAUAAGUUGAAGAUCAUCAAGUGUUGCAAUAGAAGAAAACAAGGAGCUGAAAUUGACUAAGAAGUAAGAAGCGACAGGUUCAUCGUGUUAAGAUAUAAAAAUGAUAUCAUGGAUAAUAAUGACAUUGUGGUGGUGGCUUCUACAACUACAAGUCAAUCUCACGGGACUUGGUGGUGUAAUAACAAUAUGGAAAUUUACUCUAUUUAGCCCCCAUUAGUCCCCUAUGCUAUCACAUAAAGGUGACCAAGUCCAUGUCAAUUGUCAGGCCAACAUCAAAGUUGAUCUCACAUCACCUGGGUAGAAAAUGCACUCCAACUUUGUCCGACUUCAUUACAUCAAUUUGUAGCUUGAGCUAAAGUAAGUGGUGAGCAUAGAUAGAGGUGCACAAGGGAAAACAAACUAUAUACUUAAUGACAAUCAUAUCAAUUAGAAGAAUCAAUGAAUUUACAAAUGUUACAGAUUAUAGUGGUACAAGGGAACUACAAUUAACAUUCAGUUGCUAUGUCACUGCUAAAUGUUUACAAUCACCUCCCACUGGCUGUUAAUGUAGCAACUCCAUAGUGGCUUAAAAUGGGACCCACUGAUGCAAAGAAUCAGUUUCCUUCCACUCAUCACCUUUUAUAUAUAUCAAAAUAAGGUUUGUUCUGUUUAUUUUCUCUUUUAAGCUGAACCUUCAAUUUUUUCCCGUCUAGUUGGAAACCAUUCAUCAUUUUGAUUGCAGAUUGUGCAGCGUCUGGAGAGUCGUAACUUACAAAUCCUGCAGAAACAAGUUCAAUCAUAACAUCAAGACUGAAAUACUCUUUAUGGUUGAUACAUCAGAAAGUCUAAGGUUCAUACCAAAACAUUUACUAACACCACUAGCUUUGUCCACAAAAACUUUGGCACUCAAGACCGUCCCAAAUUCUCGAAAUGUGUUUGCAAGCUCCUGAUCACCAAAUUCUUGAGGAAUGUGGUAAAUAAAUAAAUUAGCACCACCUGGACCUGUAACGACAUGAUUUCUCUUUCAUAAGUAAGCAAAAGUUAAUUACAAGCAAUUCAAGUUAACAUGCACAACUUGUCUAUGUCAACAAGUUGGAAGACUGUCAAUGCUGGGAAAAUAGCUAAUUAAAUAAUGCAAAGACGAAAAAAAUAAUAGCUGAAGCUCUCUACACUCUUUGAUAAUUGCUGAAACUAAUGACAUAAUUGACAAUAAUUUACUUGCAAUUCCAGUGGGUUCAUCAAAAACUAAGCCAAACUAUAUAUCACCAGACACCAGUGAGUCUGAAUAAGUACUUUCUACAUCUCUCACAAAGGCCUUGAGAAGAACUCAGUUAUAUUGCAAAUCUGAUUUCUUCUUCUGUUUCUUCUAUUAGCUGUUACCUUUUAAAAACGGAUAGGUGUAAAAUUACCAUCUCAGAUAUCUGGUAAUCAUUAACAAUAUGGAACAGAAGCUCAGGAAAACAAUAAACCAAGAAAUAAAACAUAGCCUCAUUCAGAUAGAUGCACCGAUCUACUUCAAGUUAACAAGUAUUACUAAGUCUCAAAAUAAAAUUUUGACAACCUUCAACUUGACUCCCUGUAUUUGAACCGGCACUUGAAGAUUCUGCAGAAUGCCUGUUUGCGGUAUAAGGAGGUAGAUAGCCAGUAAUGCCUCCAGGAUAGUGUGUGGGAUAUUGAAGCCCUUGUGCAGCCCUGUAAGCAGAUGCCAGAUAGCUUCCAGGUGACAUGGCAUAAUUUCUUUGGGUAGUUCCAGGUGUUAGACCAGGUGCAACUCCACGUGGAGUACCUCCUUGGUUUAUAGAUGGAACCAUAUUCUGCACUGACGGUUGACGGUACUGCAUGAGCCCAUAUGUCCCAGGAGUCUGCAAAAUAGCAUGUUAACUUGAACUGCCCCUUAAAUUGAUCACUGGAGCAAGAAUGAUAGAAAUGUAAUGAAAAAGAAAUGAACCACAAAAGGAACAUGCAAACUCAAUAUCACUGCCAGAGCAAGGAAACCAAGAAUUUUACUUGACACCCAAAUUUACUGCUGAAUACAAUUCAACCCACCUGAUAAGCAUAGCCAUUAUAUGGCGUCAUAUAACCCAUGGAUAGAGAUCCAUAUAUAGAUGGAUGCUGUCCAGAGUUGGAAGCAUUAGAUGCCUGAGAUAAAGCUUUCUGAGCCCUCCUAGCUUGCCUUUCCCUUUCCGUAUCAGCCCACUUGACUACCAAAGGGACAGUUGCACCCUGAACGGACAGUAUAAUAAGAAAAUUCUAUCUAAACAACCAGCAAAUGUAAGUCUUGGAUGAGUAAAACUUGACAUGAGAAUGUAAAAUUGAUAAAAGGAUUUAAUCAAUGUGCUUAAACCUUCAUUGUGAAUUUUCUUUUGCAAAUAAACGUGUGCAGUUGUAGGUCCCUUAUCCCAUAUAAACUAAAAUUUCAAAUUUUGGAUUACUAGGAAAUGAGAUGCCUAGUGAUUCAGAUCAUCACUACUCUUACAAAUUUUAAGCAAAGUAAUAAAGCCAGAAUCAAAUUUCUGGAAAAUGACUUGGUACAUAGAAAGAAAAUAGGAAAGCAAUAACCAGCACUUACUCAGGUAUCCUAACGAUAAAAACUUCACACAGGGUUAGACUUGGACACUACAAUAAAAUAAUUCUAUGUUUUAAAAUUUUCUCCUAAUUUCCCCAUUUUGAAUUUUAAUUUCUGAACUUGUUAGGUAGGUAUAAGUGAACAUCCACCUCCUGAUCAAUAGGCUUAGGACUAAUAAGUUCCUCUAGAACACAUGACCUUUGAAGGGAUCAAAUACAUAUGUCAUAGCACAAAUUUUGAUUUUGCUUCUUAGAAAUUACUAUUUCAACCUGAAGAAUAAAAAUUUCCAGUAAACUAACAUCCAUCUAUUCAGUCUGGUCUUUAAGGAAGAUGAUAAAAAUGUCUAAAAUGCCUGAAUGCAGUGCCAUGUUGACAUAUCCUAGAAAAGAAAUCAGCAGCUAUUGUCUUUGGAAUCCUCUGAACACAAAGUGUUAGCAUUUAGGCUAUUCUGUUGGCCCUGCUACAAAGAGGCAACUUAUAAGAAGCCACCUCCACUAAUUGACCCCAAUUUAAAGCCAAAACUGGCACUUCCAGGAAUGAGGAGAAUAUAGUUACUCCUACAAGGAGUAAUGAUUACAUAACUAAUGCAACGGACCGAAGGUAACUCAAUAUUUAAAAUAUUUGAACUUACCAAAAAAAUCUGAAUAUUUGACCAUUACUGCAGCUCAAGAGAAUGGAUAAUAACCGGAUCAAUCACUUAACGAAAGUUACACACAAUGCAAAUCUCAAAUACCCACAAAUUUCAAAGGUUUCACAGGAGUGACCUAACAGGCUAACAUGCAGAUAGAAACAAACCUCCAUGAUAUGCUUUCCAUUAAGGGCCUCUACUGCUGCAACUGCUUGCUCUUUUUUCUCAUACUUCAGAAAAGCAUAUCCUAACAGAAAGAAAGACAAAUUUUUGUGAUGAAUUGAUUUUGUUCGCACGAAAAGUUUAAGUGAAAGAUUAUUAGACAAUGUUUGCUGUACCUCUACUAGUUUGCUGAGAACCUCUGAGAAUUUGCAAAUCUGUAAUGGUCCCAUAUUCAGAGAAUAAUGAGGAGACUUUGGGGUCAGAGACAUUCUUUGGCAACAUACCCACAAAAAGCUUGUGCUCUGAAUUUCAGAUUAAGAGAAAUGACAAAAAGAAAGAGAAGGAUAGAAAAAGUUACCAACUAUGCACAGCAUCACAUAAACAAAACUAUGAUAUACAGCAAGGACAACUUUUUCUUUUUGGGUAAGUAUUGUAACAACAGAUUACAAGGUCAAAAAGCUAAGAGGGUAAAGCAAGGAGAAGUAAACAAUGGGAAACUAGAAUCAUGUGAAUCAAAUAACCAUGUAAAAACAAAUACUCCCUCCGUCCACUUUUAUUUGUCAUGUUGCGCUUUUCGAAAGUCAAUUUGACUAAUUUUCAUUUGAUUACAUUAAUUUGAUAUUUUAAACAAAAAAUUUAGAUAUUCAAAAACUAUAUGAAAAGUACUAUAAAUUGCAAUUUUUUGCAUAUCAAUAUGAUUAAAAAAUACAUAGUAAAAUAUUAGUCAAAGUUUUUAUAGUUUGACUCUAAAAAAGGAAACUAUGACAAUUAAAAGUGGACAUAGGUAGUAUCAUAAGACAAGAAUUUAAAUUAUAGUACACCUAGCCUUUCCAACUCGCCAUCAGCAUACUUCACUUGCAACGGACUAGAAGCCUGAAUUGGACACAGAGAAGAGGACACCUUUAUUAUCAUAAGACAUGCAUAUCAUGCCAAUAUAAAAGAGCAGCAAAUCACAAAUAAACUUAAUAAGCUUAAUAUUCAGAAUAGAUAUGCUCUUACAUCCACCCUCUUCUCCUUUUUUUUUCUUUUUUUUUUUGUGAUAAGAGUUGCCAUAGAUUCCCAAAUAUUUUUUGGCAAAUAUUAUUUGGGUGAAAUUUCACCAUGUGUUUGGUCAUUGAUAUUUGGAAAACAUAUUUCACUUUUUUAAAAAUUAUCAAAACUAACCCUAAGUUUGUAUUACAUAGCAAGAUAGAAACGUCAAUGUAACAAGAUUCAUGACUUCCACAACAAGUCAAUUGGAUCUUCGUUGUAGCAAAUAACUAGUGUCCAUGACACUGGAGCAAUGUGGUAGUUCGGGGUGAGUGCAACAAGCAUCAUGCCAUACAUCGUGAAGUAGAUGAAACACAUGACUUUAUUACCCUGAGCCGAUUGUUAGUCAUAAUAAUCAACAACCAUAUCAUCACUUUCAAAUUCACUGAAUAUUUCAUCACUGCUCUGGUGUUCACGUAAAAAAUUAUGUAAUACAGCCCAAACAACUACUAUGUUUGUAAAAAUAUAAAAGUUUGGUGUAGAAUUUGAACUUUUAAAAGCUCCCAAAUAAUGAGAUUUGACCCAAAUACUAGUUUUUUCUAUUAUUUGGGAAUUUGGGUUAUUUGUCAAAAAUAUGUGCCAAAUAAUAGCAAAUUAUAUGGACAAACACUAUUUGCCAAUUUUUUCCCCAAAUUUUACUUGGGAAAUCUAUGGCCAAACGGGUCCUUAGAGAGCGAAAUGAUACUUAGAUGCAUUAAUAUACCAAUGUACCAAUAAUCAAAUACCCUACCACUUCAAUACACUAUGUGAAACUCUGGAUGUGCGACCUGGAAGUAAAUGUGUAAAACUAAAGCAUAAAUACAGCUCAAUAGACCAGUCUGGAACCAUCUGUAUAAAUUCAUCAACUAUGAUUAAAUUUUGGGCGAAACCAUAAUAGCAACACCUUUAGAUUAGCUGCUUUCACCACUAGUAUGUGUUAAGGGUCAUUAGAUGCUCUGACAAAGAUCAACUGCCAAUUGCCUCAGCCAACCAUGAGAUUUUUAAGAAACCAAAUUACUCUAGAGAAGAUGUUAAUCAUACUUUUUUUGAAAAAUAGGUAAGUGAAAUGGACCUUCAACAAUAACAUACCCAGUGUAAUCCCACACAUGGGGUCUUGGGAGGGUAAGAUGUUCAUAGACCUUGCCCCAACCAAUUGUUGGGUAGAGAGGUUGUUUAAAAAAUAAUCUUUUUGCUUGAUGACACAAGAAACUAGCACGGAGUGUUGAAAACUGAAAAGCAUGAAACCUGAUAUUGAUCAGUCCUAGUUCACAAUGUUGCGUGACUCAGAUUAAUUUUCUUUUUCCCCGAGCAUCCCCUUCUCUCCUCCUCCCACCAACACCAAAAAGAAUGGGAAGCUAUUAUCCACAGUAUAGUGCAUCCUUCCUUCUUUUCCAACUUUCUCACAAGCUUCUAUUUUCUCCUAAACAGCUGCUUCAUUUUCCUUAACAGUCUUGUAGCUGCAAUAUACUGUCAGUAAGUGUGCAGCGUACCCCAGACAAGGCUCUGCUAUUAAUGUACAUAUCCUGUAACAGCCUAGGGGAACUAGAUACUAUUACUUUUGCUGCUACUUCUCUCCCAGUCACCCUUAGGCUCUCCUAGCUAAGCUUUCUCUUCAUUGCACACUCUUAUUAUGCACAUUCCACUAGUAGUCUAUAGAAACACGUACUAAGUUGUCUAGUCAGUUAAGACUUCAAGGGAACAAUGAUGUUCUUUUCUGUUUACUACAAUUCAUAAACAUUAGAGGACGGGACGUGCAGCUUGAAUCCAGAAUUGAAGUCUUGGUAAAGACAACUCACCAGGUGGAACAGCCUUUAUCUCCCUAGUUCAGGAGGUUACAGACAUUCUCCAUUAUUACAUCAAGACAGUAGUGUUGGUUAGAAAAACAUCCAAUCACGGUACAUUAUUUUGGCUUCUUACUAUGCUGAAAACAGAUAGUGCUAUUCUAUAUUCCUGGUGUUGAAACAUGAGACAAUGCCAAAACAUUUCUCUUGAGGAUAGUUAAUUAACUAGCUGAAAUCGACAUAGAACUUUACUAUGACUCUAUUGAACAAGAAAGACUAAAUUCAGAAACUUGAACAAAUGGCAGAUUCCACAUAUCUUGUUUAGUUAAUGAAAUAAAGUAUAUCUAAUGCAUGUCCCUGGAUUGAUUGACAACAAUAUAGAAAAAGACUGACUGACCCCAGGAAGCGUCUGUUUAUUGUGACAAGCAGUUAUAGCCUUGUCCGCUUCUUCUCUGGACGGGCAAAUCAGAAAAGAGCACCCUGGAAACAUGCAAAGGGUUUGUUUAGAAAUUCCUUGAAUCGCACAUUGUAAUCAAAGGCGAAAACUGAAGAGUGAACCUCGAGAAGCUCGAGUAGUCUUGUCUUUGAUGAUGUUGACUUGAUCAAUAACUGCGAACUCUUUGAACAUAUCCAGAAGCUGUUGUUCCGUCAUUAGUUUCGGCACUUGACCUACGAACAGCUUCACGCUCUCCUCGCUGUACUCACGCGUCCUCUCCUCCUCCGCCAUUAAUGCCACCAAUCUCUCUCUGAGACUGAAACUGAAGUGUGUGUUGUUCAAUCGUCAAGUCCUGUUUUUAGGAAAUUAGAAAGUUUUUAGAUGGCAAAAAAGGAAUUUCAUUCGUAGUUGGAGAUUACAUAAAUGACCUUGGUUUGGCAAGAAAGUUGGCUUCUGUGACAGUUGAGGAGUCGUGGACGACUUGGAACAACUUGCUUCCCUAAUUAUCUUUUGUUAUACACUACAAAAGUAGAUAGUUAGUAACCAGAUUUUAUCUAAAUUUGUAUAAUAAUUCACCAUGUUUAUAAUAAAUCUAUUCAUUUCGAAAGUUUGGUUUUAUCAAUAAAUUCAAUAUGAAGUUGUGUCAAGGUUAAUACAUAUACAAAUUAAUAGAUGUCUAAAAAAGAUAUCCUAUACUAGUUUUUUCUCACUUUUCCACAGGUUUACGAAGAGAAAAUGGCAUUCUCUGUACUCCAACACCACUUCUCUCUCCCACACAACAUUCACCUUUAUCAAUUUCAUAAUUACGUCCACCUAAAAAUCAUCAGGAACCAGAAUAAAAAAGAGGGGCGUUCCGAGAAUCGAACUCGGGACCUCUCGCACCCAAAGCGAGAAUCAUACCACUAGACCAAACGCCCUCAUUGCUCUCACUCUUUCUAAAUUUGAUUUAAGAAUUCAUAGAUAAAGAAUAACUAUGCCAUUGUUGUAUCCACGUGUCAGUCCAGCUGAACCUGGAUUUACACUGUUUACCUAAUUUGUUUUGAGGGUGUAUUACAAUGUGCCCUAAUUUUAUUGUCAUGGUAUAUAUAUAUAUAUAUAUAUAUUAUUGGGUAGGGAACUUAAUUAGCGCAUGUGUUAACAAAUCCACUAAAUAAUUAGUAUAAAUUUAAAAUUCCCACUACAUUAUAUCUAGAUGACGGAAUUUGAAUUUAAUCCUUUAAGGUUAAAAUCUUGAAUUUGCUUGGUUGGUCGAAUGAAGAAGAAUAUUACUUGUAGGUAGGAUCAAAUAUAUAUGUAGUUGGUUGAAAGGGUAUUUUCCCUUAUUCUGAGAAGACAAAAUAAUUAUGAAGAAGUGAUAUCAAAGUUAGAUUCUGAUUGAGUGGUCGAACUCGAUCAUUAUCAGUUAGCUAGCUUUCUUUCUAUCUUAGGUUCAUAUCGAAAUAUAUAUAUAUUGGAAAUUAUAAUCAUCAAGAUGCGUCAACGAAUUGUUGAACUUUUAUUAAAAUGAAAAAAACGUGUAUAAUGAGAACAUGAGUUGGCACAUGGCUUUCAGAAUUAAGAAACAACUUGUAGUUGUAGUUGUUCGACAAUUUAUACAGAAGGUUGAACUACAUUUCGACAUUAUAUAUAUUCCUUUAACUGCAACAACACCCAUGAAAGUAAUUAUAAUAAUAAAGGCAUGCAUGAAUUCUCUCUAUUGAGUGUAGAUCGAUGUUGUUGUUACUAAAUUAAUUCAGUCUUACUACUAUUAUACUUGUCAGUUCUCUCUCAAUAAAGAAGAUGCUGAGGAUAAGAUCCCUCCUCGCGUAAACCUUUUUUUUCUUUUAUCAACAACUGCUUCAUUAUAUUCAACUAUAAAAUAAUUUUGACUAGCUGCAAUGCAUGGUUUAUGUAUUUAUGAUUUUCUUCUACUACGUAUACUCUAUAUGAUCAAGUUUUAUGGCACAGUCCAUACUAGUUUUUGUUUUCAUUUCCCAUCAAUUAGUAAUCCUCCACAUCAUUGCUUCUUCAAACCUCCAGCUGUAACAAGUUUUCUUAGAAAGGUACUGUGUAUUCAUUUACUUAAAUAAUAUUAUAGUAGAGAGGAUCGGAGUCCAAUCCAACAUUCUUUAUAGGUAAAAUUAUGUUUGUGUAAUAUAAAAAUCCAGGAAACUACAAGCUAGGGAAGGCAGCUCGGCCAAGAAACGGCAUGUCUGAGUAUAGUGGACACUGACCAUCGAUCAAUGUCCGAGGCGUAAUGGCAGGGAUCAAACACACUGCUCGGGUGAUGGCGUUACUGGGAGGACUAGCAUGCACAACCUACUUAUUAAACUACCAAAUCAUGCGUUCAUAGGAAUGAUCAAGUCCAUGACAGAGAAUGGAAUAAGAAUAAUUUCUCCAUUUGCUAUUCCAACACCCUUUUCCUUGGAUGACAUGAAAGACUACUUCCCUGGAGUGGAACCUUGCUAAAAUGCGAGUGAGCAUAUUGUGAACCGCCAAUGCUGCUCUUUUCUUGCCUAGUACGUACGUACGUACUGAAGAUGCCAAUAGUAUAUAUAUAUAUAUUAGUGGCCAAAAUCUGCUGGUAAUUUCAGUUUAAACUUUUCCCAUCAAGUACAAGAACGUUCCACAGAAAUUUAAGAAUGAAUUUCAUUCUCGUUCUUUCAAAUGCAUCAGAGUGCACAAAAAGGGAUUGAUUCAUGAUAGUAUAUAUUAACUAUCAAGGGGAAAGGGAACUGUAUAUAUGAAUCAUGUUCCAAUAAGAGGCCAAUUGUCCAAUUUUGCUCUAAUCAAAUUUGUAUGUCUUAUUUUUAUGAUCUAAAAAUGGACAGCUAACACUGGUGCCAGAUAACAAGUAUAUAUCUCGAAAGAAUGCUCAACUGUUCCAGGCUAGGCAAAUUUUUGUUACUGCUUAUAAACCACCUUUCUGGGAUAAAGACAUGUUUCCUGACAUAAUUACCUUCCUAUUAUUACAAUCAUAGGAAGAAAAAGUAAACUACUUUUACGGUAUUUGAUAUAUCCUUCGUCCCAUGUAAAUCAAUUUGGCAUUUGGAAGCAUCAAUAUGAAUUUCAGAAACCUCUUCUAUUGAGUUGGCAAAUAUGAUCCUGGUUUUAGCUAGCACUGCCUGAUUUCAGAAACUAUAUCUUUCUUCUAAAAGAAUCAAAAUUGCUCAUACACAAUCCUCCGCAUAAAAUCUACUGGUGCUGCAGAAAAACACAAGUAGAAAGAGUUAACACUAUUGCUUUCUAAGAGCACGAUACUUUAAGACAUGAGUAGGUUUUGCUCCUGCUUUAUAGUUCCUCAUUUCCAGGAGUUAUGUUUUUUUCCGUCCUAUUCUCCUAUUCUUUGGUGAUAAAAAGCUAUCAGAUUACAUGAAGUCUUCCGCAGGGAAUUAAAGCAUACUAAUUGGGAGUAAGAAGCCCUUAUGGAAGAGAUUAAGAAUCACCAAAGUUAAGCAUAGCUAAAUUUUGCCCCACUGCUUACUGCAUAAUAGAACUUUAGUUAUGUUCACUGCUGCCCCCAGCCCAGGAUAAAUGGGGCAAAGGAGACAGAAGGUUCUACGACAACAACAACAUACCCAGUGCAUGCACAAAGUGGGGUCUGGGGAGGGUAGAGGGUACGCAAACCUUACUCAGCUCAAGGGGAAAAAUUAACAGUCCAAAGCAGUACAAAAAAAUAAACAACAGACAGAAGGUUCUUAGAAUUUUUAUGUAAAAAAUUAUAGGGAGGAGAGAAAAGCUACCUAAUCCAUUGGUGAACAAUUUAAACUGCCCAAGUGCCUGCCUGACAAACAUCUCAACCCCACUCACCACUGUAGCUCCAACCUCUGUAGCCUCCUGCAAUAACCGUGUAUUUCUAGGUGUGUAAACUGCAUCAAAUACUAGUUCGUAUGAUCUCAAGGCCUCCUGAAACAAUAGCAAAAUUGCGGAAAAGUUCAGAAUGUUUGCAUUUUCUCAUGCAAACAGAGAACAGGUUGCUUUUGUCAAAGACUAUGCAAGAAAGACAACCUUGGAGAUAGGAGUUUGAUCAGACUUUGGCUGCAUGCCCACAGCAGAAGCAUUUGCAAGAAUCAUUCCCUUCUCAGGGCAGAAAUCGUUCAGAUGUUCAUAUGGCAAAGCUUCACAGGAUACUGCUGCAGCCAGAGCUUUUGCUCUCUCUUUUCAAAGACAAAAUUGCAAUAAAUGGAAGGAGACAUAUAAUGAAUAAAGAGCAAAAGAUCACAUAUCCAUAAUCCUUAGGGAGAUAGGAGGUAUUACCAUAUUUGCGGUUGAAUAUUACAACCCUUGCCCCUCUGCUUUUGGCACCAAAAGCAAUAGCUCGCCCUGCACCACCUGCCCCAACUAAUACGAACAAUUUUCCAGCAAUUGGAGAAACAUUUGAUGCACAGCCAUUGGUCUUUUGUCUCUCUGUUUACACACAAAAUUUAACUCCUCGUGUAAUUUGGAUUGAAAAGUUCUUGAAAUGUUUUACGAAGAAGGUUUCAACCUUUUCUUAUGGGAGGGUACAUGCCAAGGAGAUGGGGGGGGGGGGGCUCAANNNNNNNNNNNNNNNNNNNNNNNNNNNNNNNNNNNNNNNNNNNNNNNNNNNNNNNNNNNNNNNNNNNNNNNNNNNNNNNNNNNNNNNNNNNNNNNNNNNNNNNNNNNNNNNNNNNNNNNNNNNNNNNNNNNNNNNNNNNNNNNNNNNNNNNNNNNNNNNNNNNNNNNNNNNNNNNNNNNNNNNNNNNNNNNNNNNNNNNNNNNNNNNNNNNNNNNNNNNNNNNNNNNNNNNNNNNNNNNNNNNNNNNNNNNNNNNNNNNNNNNNNNNNNNNNNNNNNNNNNNNNNNNNNNNNNNNNNNNNNNNNNNNNNNNNNNNNNNNNNNNNNNNNNNNNNNNNNNNNNNNNNNNNNNNNNNNNNNNNNNNNNNNNNNNNNNNNNNNNNNNNNNNNNNNNNNNNNNNNCGCGAGGGGGGGGGGGGGGGGGGGGGACUAAGAUAUUGAAAACAGUGACGGUAGUAUUCUUGUUAUCAAAUAUGUAAUCCAAUUGAAGCCAGUAACUAAGCAAGACUAUCUCUACCUUCUCCUGCAGACACACUAAAUUAUGCUUUAUCAGGUGGGUAGGGGGGAUGGAGAGGAGAGACCAGGCCCAUUUUUAACAAUCAGCAUUGUCUCAAGUAAAAGUUAAAGAUAUGUAAUUAUCAGAAUUCUGGGAAAAAAUGGCCUUGAAAAGAAUUACAUAAUAGACCACUAAACUACAUUGAUUAGGAUUUUCACUUGUACCUUUCUAGUAAGAGUAUUAGAAAAGUUUUAACUUCCAAACGAAGAAUAAGCAGUACCUCUAAGUGCAUCUUCAAUUGCCGUCACACAAGCCUCACAAUCUGUAUUAUAACCAAUGAGCUUGCCGUCAGAAGGCCUCCUUAUAAUUGUGUUUACAGCUCCUAUAGACUGAUUCCGAAGCAUGAUACAGUUAGAAAGUUUAAAAACAAGACAACAAACACUGUAAUAUAAUUUAGCCACAAAAUGUUCUGGAAUGGUUAAACAAAAAGAACUAUUAUGGCAUCUGAACUUUCAAGAUACAGAGCCAAUCUAUAUAACAAAUUCUGCUUCCAUGCAAGGACAAUAGCAUUCUAGUCCAUGUGAACUGCAAUCACAUAAGAAAGAAUUGUCAUGUUGAGAAUAUAUGGAAGAGAAACACAACUUGUUUUCUUUUCAUAAGUUGAUGCUGCUAGACCUAUUUAUUACCCAACCAGGGUAAUAUCUCUACUUAGGCUUCCUUCAACAUUGACCCGUGGUGGACUAAGGCUAGUUAUUCAUUAGUCGAUUCAUGGAAAAUAAAACUGAUAAUAUUGUGCCUAAUAUUCUAGGGUGAUUCAAGCACAUAAAGAAGGUAAGCUUUCGUUUCCUAUGUGUAUAUGCAGGUGGCCUCUGUACACAUAUAUAAACAAAGUUGUCAUUAUAUAAGAAGUAUUGAUGCUGAACUAGCUUCAGCAAAGACAUUCCGAAAAGUUUGUGCUUUUUCGGGUUCUUUAACUCCCAAAACCCGAAGGUAAGUUACACAACAUAUGCACUCAUCAAACAUGGAGCUAAUCAAACCUUAGCAAGUGGAUCAACUUCAUCACAGCAGCGUACUGCUGCUUCCUUAUGUGGGAUACCAACACUACAGGUUCCAUCAAAAGGAAGAAGAUUCUGCGUUAGAUAGUUUUCUACAUGAAGCAAAUAUAAUUUUAGAAAAAACAAUACUUAGUGCAGAAGGAGGUAGCGUACCUGAAACCAGCAUAGUCAUUACAUGAGAAAACGCGAAAAAAUUCCUUGACAUUGUCAACUAGUAGUGGGACAUAUAUUCCAUUGUAUCCUGUAUGCCUAAAGGCAGGGUUGUGCAGAAGGGGGCCCUUGCUAUGGCCAACAGGAUUUGAGAUUACACCAAAAACUCUAGUAUCUGGGUUGACAUAUUGGAGUUUAUAAACCUGUUUAAUGCUGGUCAAAGGAGGCAAGCCAGGGGUGGAUUUGCCUGCCAAAGAUCCACAAACAAAGAAAGCACCGUAUUUUGGACCCAAUAGUUGGCUUAUAAGACCUCUAUCCCCUGCUGCCCUAGCAAUUAGAGGGAGCUGAGAAUGUGUAAGCAUAUGGAAAACUGGUGCAACAUCUGUAAUAUAAGCUACAUCAAUGACAAGUUUGAUGAUAUCUGCUCCUGUGGACUGCAGGUUUAUGAUGGAAUUACAAAGUGCGUCUUUAGUAGGAGGGUUUCCAGCAUUAAUGACAUACGUAGAAGCAAUUAUCUUGCUAUUUGAUCGGCUGCUCAUCAAUUCAGCAACCACUUGAUGGGAAACAACCUAAACAAACAAACAAACAACAACGGAUCGUUACGUAUGGAGAUAUGGAACUAAUUAAUUGUAUUUUAACAGCUUAAUUUAAUAAAUGAUGACCUCAGUGUCGACUUCGACGAACUCAACGUCCAAUUCAACAGCUAAUUUGAGAACUUGGAUACAUGUUUUCUUCCAGUCAGAAUUUAUCGCAGAGUUUGGCCUGACAUAUAUAUAACAGUUUCAAGCUUUUUAGACAAAGUUAGUGGGUGCAUGCAUACUAGUCUGAAUUAAUAUUUGUCGAUAGACAUGGAUGUUACUAAUUAAAAUGAAUACUCUAGUCUGACAAGUCGUAUCUUAUGGUAGGAGUAGCCUAAUUAAUAUCAUCUCUUCCCUAGAUUAGACAUACAUACUAGUGUUCUCUCUCUCCACGAGCACUCUAUGGUUCACCUACCCCACCACCUCAGUCGUUUUCACGUGCCUUGAUAUUAUUUUGUGAGGAAAUUAAGAAUCAAACAAAAAAGGCAAGUACUGACUCAGUCACUCUCCUCCUCACAUCUAUCUCAGCUAAACCCACCCACCCACCCACCAUUUCUGGAUCGAACACACACAAGACUUGAGGUACAUAAUAUAAUUACCUACCUGAAAGAAACGAUGGAUGGUAAACUUCUUUGUUUGAGUAGUAGUUCAAGUUGUGAAAUGUGAGAGAAAGUGAAGUCAUCAAUGCAAAGCUCCACCAGAUCUGCUCCUUCUUCUUUAGCUUUGUGCAUAGAAGCUGCCAUUUCCUCACAGCUUUCACACUCUAGUCUUGUGUACACCACCAAGUCAUGCUUCAAACCCAUAAUAAUGUUCCGAGAGCUACGACUCUCUUAUUCUUAUAUAGGGGACGGAAGACAAUACAUGUGCGCUUAGCAAAUUCUUUUGGUGUUUGAAUGAGUGGUAUGCUAGUAUUAAAAACGGAAAUGGUAAUAUAUAUAUAUAAAAAUGUGGCAACUCUUAAAUAAAAGUAUAAUAGUAAUUGAGCAAGUGAGUUGUCAUCUGUUGUCUUUGUUAGAAAAAGAGAUCCCAAGUUUAUGACAUGUGAAAAAGAACAAAAGACAUAUAGAGGGAGGGAAAAUAGUAUGUAUGAUUGAAACACGAAUUUUAAUCCAAGGGGCCAAAGUUUAUUGUCAUGAUAUCACAAUUAUUGAAUUAGUAAAUUUUCUUUGACAACAAUUUACGAUGUGAUUUUGGAGCCCACUUAUUUUUGUGGUUAUUGUUACAAAUCCCACUUUUCAAAAGGAGUACAAGAGUUAGGUAGGAUGAAGCUAAGGCUGCCACCACCUACCCCUAGUAUUUUGGAAGAUAUUUUUCAAACUAAAUACUCCCUCCGUCCCUAUUUAGUUGUCCAUAUUUCCUCUUUUAGUUGUCCCUAUUUAGUUGUCCAUUUUGACAAAUUAAGAAAGGACAACAAAAUUUUUCCUAUUAUACCCUUAUUUAAAUAAAGUUGUCAUAAAUAAAGUAAAUAAACUUAUUAACUUCCUAGCAUUGAUUAGUUAUCUUGAGUGAAUUUAUUUUGGAAUUGUAAAUUGUAUUAUAAGGGUAAAAUUGUAACUUCACUAUGCUAAUUAUUAUUGCCUUAAUCUGUGUGUCAUUUCUAAAGUGGACAACUAAAUAGGGACGGAGGGAGUAAAAUAUAAAAGAUUAUCAAUGCAUAUAUAAUAAUUAAUAUAUACUAGACAACAAGUUCGAUCCUCCAGCCUCGUGAUAUGAUUGAUACCCAAGUUGAAAAAUUGCUCUGAUGAUCAGAACAACAAUUAAUGUGAUGUCCUACAAAUAUCGAUGGAUCAAAUCAUUUUUAAAAAAAAAAGUGAUAUGCUUAAUAUAAGUAUCUAUUAUAUUCAUGGAAAAGAGCUGAUUCAAUUGACAAGUCGGGAAGAGCUUCCCAAAAUCCUAUCGGAACGACAACAACUCCUGACACAUUCAAGUGCAACAUUAUUUUUAUACUAGAUUCUUAAGGCCCGUGAUACGGGCCCAAUAUAAUUAAUUAUUAAUCGUUAUUUGACAAAUAUUAAAAGGUAUUUCUAUAGCAUUCUGAUCAACAUUAAUUAAUAUUGAUCCUAGGUAAAAAAAUUUAGUAUAAAAAAAUAUCAAAAAAUAACCAUCAAAGAAUAUAGUGCAUUAAAUGGUGUUUCUCCUUCCUUAAUUAAAUAUCUUAAUUUUGAGUUUUGAAUAUGAAAAAAUUUCUUAAUAGGGAGCUCUAUAUCCGAAUGGGCCCUAUUUCAGAGCACAUAAGAAAUAAUUGAACUCCAAUAUAAAUAUCGAAUACUGAAUAAAAAAUAUUAAAUUAAAUUAACCCAGUAAUAUUUUAAAGUAUAAUUGAUAUUAGCUAUGGGUAGAUUCAUUUUUUUAAGUUGUAAAACUCUCAAGUAUAAUAUUCAAUUUAUUUAUUUAUUACUACAAGACACAAAUUUAGUAGGAUUCAGAGGUAAUAUGUCUGUUAGAUUGGAUUAUAUCUUAUAUAAAAAUCAUGAAUCAUUAUGUAUUAUCAUCUUGAAAUCUAUCAUAUUCAUUCCAAUUAAUCUGUCAUAUUUUUCUUUAUAAUCUAUUAAAAAGUAAUGUCCCUUUCUUUUCUUAGUUCCAACUCCACAUAACAUAUUUAAGAUCACAAGAUUAAAAAGCAUUUACUAUAUUUCACAUAUUUAAAAUUUAAAAUCAUAAGAUUCAAAAAUCUUCUUUAAUUUCUUAAACUUCAUGCCAAAUUAAUAUAAAACAAACACAUUGAAACAAAGAGAUUAAUAUUUUUUAUUUAUCACUCAUACAUAAACUUUAGAACUAAGAAGCAUGUUUCACUAUCACAUGAAUUCUAUAUAUGCAUAAUUUAUGUUAAUGAACAUAAUUUUUUUAGCAUGAUACAGAUGUGUUUUUGGUUCUCGUUUUUCAUGCACAAUAACUUAUAGGAACAAGUAUUUUUGUUAUUUUUAUCAGUUUAGUGAAAAAAUUUAAACAAUCUCAAAACAUAAAUGUAUUUUCUCUGUUUUAAAAAAAUCUAUUUAGAAUUAAAUGCUAAAUUAACAUGAUAUUUUUUUAUGACAAGGAAAACCCACAGCCGCUACCCUUUGGGUGCGCACAGGGUAAAACCCACUCCUAUACAAUAGCUCUCAAACCACAUAGGAGAGAUAACCCGCACUAGGCAAGCCCGAUGCGACGAGCUCAACCCAGAAGGCAAACCCCUUACUUUCGCUAGCAAGGGGUUUCGAACUUGAGACCUCCAACAUGGAAGUCCCAAGCCCAACAUGAUAUUUUGAUACAUAUAUCAUUACAUAUCGUAUUGAUUUCCUCAUCCAGAUAUUUUAUCUUAUUUCAAAAUUUAUUCAAAUUUUUUAAAAUUACUAUUAAUCAUUUGCUAUUUUUGUCAUCUCUUUCUAAAUAUUAAUCUACUUAAUUUACUUCUCUAAUUAAUGUAUUGAUUUUUCAUGUGUUCCGAUUCUUAACUUCUUAUUUCAAACAAAAGAAUAGCAAUAUUAAGUAAAUAAAGUAAAUAGUCUACUAUAAUUAAUUAAAUAUUAAUCUGAAUAAUCUUAAAAUUUAAAAUAUUCUAUUAUCAAAAUAUUCUUAUCAUUAAUGUAUGUAAAUUGAACAUGAAGAAUACUUAUUAUUUCUCUUCAAUAUUUGAUUCGCAAAAUUUUAAAACUAUUUAUUUAAAACCAUUUUUAUUUAUUAAUUUUUAUUUUUAUGCUCCCUAAUUAAAAUAUUUUUAUUUUUUAAUACAUUUUAAAUCAUGUUUGUUUCUUUUUAUAUUUAUUUUAGUGCAUAAAAGUGUUAAUGUAAUAUAAAUUGAUUUAAUAAAUGAGUCCCACCAUUUUUAGAUACUACGGCUACUUAUGAUAUUUUUUAUGCUUUUCAUGAUAAAAAGUACACGUGACCAUCAUAAUAAUAACAACUUGGUUGGGUUAUUUGGGAAAUUCAAUAAUUUUGCAGCAGAAAGUACAACUGUUUUAAGCUGAUAAUUUUGGUAAAAUGACAAAAGUGCCCUUGGUCGUCCUCCUCAUCACAUUUCUAUGUAAUAGAAAUUUCAUAUGUCAUCCAUCUUUAAUUUCUGCCUAAUUUUUACUCUAUCCUUGUAAUUUUACUAUACUCUCUUUUUAGUCAUGUGCACAUAUUAAUUAUUCUUGAUAAUUUGAUAUGCAUAUGCCAAUAAUAAUAACUACCUGUCAAUUCUAAGUUAAUACCAUAUUAUUCUGUUUGGAUUCAUUAAUAGUUAAAAUAGUACAUUAUAUAUAUAUAUAGGAGCAAUAAUUGCUACAUAUACUACUAUAAUAGAGUAAUUUUUAUGUUCCAAAAUACUUAGUUGUUAUGUUUCACCUUUUUAGAAUUAAAGGGUUAGUUUGAGAGCUAAGGGGAGAAUAAUCCGUAUUCCUCCUUUAUUAUAAUGAUAAUGAUAAUGGCGUUAUAGUUUAAUGAUUCAAGUGGAAUGAGACGUAUGUUUAAUUAUUUAUAUCUAAUUCUAGGCACACCUUUCUAAGUUCUAAGACCUUCCAUCAAUUAUUGCUUUUAAAUCUUGAAAUGUAGACUCUAGGACAGACAUCCCCUCCCUCCACGUGCCACAAAUCUUCAAAUCCUACCUAUACUCUAUAUGCCAUUCAAUCAUAAACAUUGACGUCAAAACUAACACUUCCUUCCUUUCUAUUUAUAAAAUUAAUAUAUAAAUAAUAGUAUUAUAAUUUAUAUUUUAUUUUUGAGAGUUAUUAACUUUGAAAAUAUGAAUUUGAUCAAUAUAAUUUUUUUUUUUGGAGUAAUUCAGUUCAUUGGUCAAUUUAAUUAAUCAAAAUAAAUUAUUUUUAUUUAUUUAUUGAGAACUUGACGUAAAAAAAAACAUUAAGUAAGAAUACAAUGACAUAUAAAUAAAAGCAAAGAUAUAAUCUUGGUAUUACUAGUUUCUCCUGUCACGUACGUUUUGGAAAACGAGGUGAGUGAGUGAAUCUUAAUUUCAAUGCAGACUGCAGUGCCAAAUGUGAUCCAACAAACAAAUUCCAAAUUGUCCCCAAUCAGUGUAUAUAUUUGACAUCCUCUAUUAUAUUCUAUUUCUCUAAUUAAUUGUCCAUUUUUUCUCUUUUAGUUGUUCCUAAUUAAUUAUCCAUUUUGACAAAUCAAAAAAGGAUAAAAUAUUUUUUCCUAUUAUAUCCUCAAUUAAUUACUUUGAAAAAUGUAUAACUUCUUAAAAGUCUUAAGUUAUUAAUCCAUCCACUUCAUAAUUAAUAGGGGUAAAAUGGUAAAUUCACUAUGCCAAUAAUUAUUUUCAUAAUAGAUAUGUCAAUUCAAAAGUGAACAAUCAAUUAGGGACAGAGGGAGUACAUGUUAUUACAUCACUAUAUUAAUUAUUACUCCCUCCGUUUCAAAAAGAUUGGUCUGGUUUGACUUGACAUGAAGUUUAAGAAAUUAAAGAAGACUUUUGAAUCUUGUGGUCCUAAAUUAAAGUUAUGUCAAAUGUACAAAAUUGCCCUCAAUCUUGUGGUCUUAAACAUGUCACGUGGAAAGCAAAAAGUAAAAUGUUACCAAAAAAGGAAAGAGGUCAUUUUUUUGAAACUGACUAAAAAGGAAAGGAGGUCAUUCUUUGUGAAAUGGAGGGAGUAUCUUUUUAAUAGGUGUGAUAAGUUAAAAAUUUGACAAGUACUUCUUCCAUUCUUAUUUAUAUGUCGUCUUUACUAAAAAUAAAUGUUCUUAAUAUUUGUUAAUUCACAAAAUCAAUGCAUAAAUAACAUUAUUCUUCUUAUUUUACCCUUGUGAGUUAUUAGCAUUUAAAAUAUACAUUUGACCUACAUAGAAAAACUAAUUAAAUAACUCAUGUCCAUUGGUCAAAUUAAUUAAUUAAGGGAUCAUUUGAUGUGAAAGAUAAUACCAAAUAGUCUCGGGAUUAAAUUAUAGUACCACUUAAUUUGUUGUUUGGUUGGCAAGUCCGGGAUAACUUAUCUCGGGAUUAAUAAUUAGUACCGGGAUAAGUUAUCCCUCCCCUUGGGUGGUAUAGUAAUCCUGGGAUAAAAUAGGUAAAUGACAAAAAUGUCUCUUUCAACCAUUUUGUUACAUCACUUUUUACAUUCAUGAAGGACAUAUUUGUAAACAAAUAAAUUGUCCUUAAACUUUAUUAUUUUGAAUACAACAAACCAAACACUCAAAAAAAAAUAAUCCCAUCAUAACUUGAAUUCAAACCAAGCGACCCCUAAGAUUUUAAUUCAUGUUUGUUGAUUGAAAACUUGAUUUAAAAUAGAGAUUUGGUUAGAAACGGAGAGUAUUGCAAUUUAUCUAUCUAUCAUCAUUAAUUCAUUGGCCUGUCCGCCGCUGUCCAUGGCCAUAAAAAAGGCAAGACUACCUCAAAAGAUAUGGAUCAGUUCAAGGUAUUAUUACUCAUUUCAAAUGAAAAGCACCAAGUAGAUACUAAUGAUAAUGAUAAUGGCGUUAGAGUUUAAUGAUUCAAGUGGACGUAUGUUUAAUUAUUUGUAUCUAAUUGUAGGCACACCCUUCUAAGACCUUCCAUCAAUUAUUGCUUUUAAAUCUUGAAAUGAAGAUUGUAGACAGACAUCUCCUCCCUCCACGUGCCACAAAUCUUUAAAUCCUACCUAAUACUACUGUAUAUGCCAUUCAAUCAUAAACAUUAAUUGACGUCGUCUUUACUAAAAUCAAUAUAUAAAUAAUAUUAGCUCAGUUUAACCUUUCAAUCAGUGGCGGUUCACUAAUGAAAAAACUUGUUUUCAAGAUGAUACUCAUAAUAACUUGUUUUGAGAUGACUAACACACAUCUUAACAUACACCAUUGGCUCAUACUUAACAUUCUAAAAAUCAAAUUAUUAAGCCAUAGGCCUUUAUAACCUUCUUCUCCCCCCCAAUAUAAUCCCCUACUAACCUUAUUGGUGUAAUUAUGUUUCUCUUAAUCAUAAUGUACUUACUAUACACUAUAAAAGGAUAAUUCUAAAUGCAAGUCAAAGAAAAAUUUAAGUCUAAGAGUUCCAAACUUUUUAGUGAGGCCAAUCAUGAUUAGUACUGUUCAAGCCGUUGGAUUAUGAGAUUCACUGCUGCAUUUGCUGAUGAGAAUGCUCCAUGAAAGCUUUCUUGAUAGGAUACGGAUUCCAAAUCUCCAGCCAUCGUUAACAGUAUCUCACCUAUGUCACUUUUAUUUUCCAGUAAUGAUCUGUAGAAUGAACUUGCAGCAAUUUUGCUAAUCUCAAUAUUUGUUUCCUCUGGACAAUAUUCAUCAUCCAACCACUUGUUAAGAGCAGUUUGCAACCAUUCAGAUUCCUGUUAAAUGCUACAAGUUCUUGAGCCAUGAAUUUCAAUAGACAAUAUGCUAAUUGUAUACCUUCAGCCUUACUCUGUGCAUAUUUAUGCAGAUCAGAAAUCUCUGCAUUAUUAUUCUAACUGAUAAGGUAGAGGGAGCCAAAAAUAAUAAGCAAGAGAAAGACGUAAAAAGGUUGAACUCAUAUCUAGGAUUAUGAGUUUCAAAACAUGUGCAGACGCAGAAGAAAGGAUCCUGAAUACAAUGCAAUAGGAGAGGAUAUGAAUUAUAUCCCUUUUGCUUCAAUGGGAGUAGAAAGGAUCAUAUCACAGCCAGCUAUAUCAAGAUUUUGCAAGAUGUUUGCAACAUCACAACAUUAGCAAGCCAUUCUGAGAUGGAAAUUCCAUCAUGGAAUACACGCCAAGCUAUAUAGCAUAAGACAACAUCCACAACUUAGGUUCAGCACUAAAGCUAACUGAAAUGGCAUCUUAAAGGUAUUCAGUAAAUAGAUUUUCCACCCUAAAUAAAACUUGCCAGAUCAUUAUUAGAAAAGAAAAGCAGCUCAAUUUAAGGACACCUUAUAGCAUGUGAAGGAAGCCCUACUCCUCUUACAAAUGUUCCCAGGGUAAAAUCAGCUAAGAUAUAUAUUGAAGACACAAACUAAAGAUAAGAUGGACAAAAUAUCAAACUUCAGAGGAAUUUUAAGCAUAUUUUGUUCAAAUCUCAUCUUGGCUCAUCUACUCAAACAAUUGUACCGGCAAAAUCACCACUUGAAAUAGUCGAUAUGCAGGAAGUUAGAAGAGACAGGUUCCCACAAUAUACCUUAUCCUACAGAGCACUUAGGAUUUUAAACCCGACAACCAUGCCACAUAUGUACAAAAGAUCUAAAAUGACAAUUCACCCUCGUGUAAUGGAUAAAGCUAACUGAGCGAGCAUCAAAAGCAAUCACUAAUUGUUUCAUGAUAGAGUGCAAGACCUUUAUAGUUGACUUGCAGAUCAUGUCGUCCUUCUUAGUAAUGACUAUCCUUCAUUAGAUGUAAAACAAAUAUAAUAACUAACAUAUUGCUGAAUGUAAAUGUCUGAACUACCAUUUCAUGCAGUUUGCCUCUCACUAAAUGUCUUGAAGAGAUCUCUCUAAAUUGAUUAAUUUUUGUGAAACACUUUUAGUGAUUGUAAUUAGAAUAUUAAACUUGUUCAAAAAGAACAUACUAAACACGGUUAAGAAGGCAUAAGAAAUGAUUUUUCAAGAAACACUUUGCAUAGUCACAGCAGAGAAGAAUACAGAACUUAUGGAAGAUGAUUUAGGUCAUAAUUCUGUAAUUUCAUAAUGCCUUAGUGUAACACCUCGGAAAUUUGAACUUGGAAUGGAAAAGAGAAAAGGGCAGUCCACGGAGGGGUUCACGGGCCGUGAAGAGGUCCACGACCCAUCACCCAACCUGUGAAAUUGAACCCAGGACUCUGGAAGGUUCACGGACACUUGGAAGGUCUGUGAAGCAUUGCGCGGACUGUGAAGUCAUCCAUGAAAGGAACCCAUCAUCUUUCAUGUUUUGGAUCAACUUCAACUAUCAUAUCUCUCAUCACAUAAUGUAUUAUGUGGCCUAUGACCUAUCAAAUGAAAGGUCUUUGAUUCCUCUUUUCAACGCCACCAAGUUUGCCUCAUUUCGUGUUUGGAGUAAAACGUUAUGUCUGUUUAUGUGAAUCCAUGUUUGGUAGGUGAAGUUUCAUGACCGGCAAUAUGGCCCUUGAAGUGUUUCACGGACCGUGAAGCCUUAAAUGGUCCGUUAAACCUCCCUUUUAAGGCACUUUGACAGUUUUAAAGCUGAGGUCAUUUUGGUCUUUCCCCUAUGCAUUGGGUACUUAUAAUACCUUAGACAGUCCGUGAAGUCGUCCAUGAAAGGGACUCAUCAACUUUUCAGUUUUGGGUCAACUUCAAACGAUCAUAUCUCUCCGCACAAAAUCAAUUAGGUGGCAGGGCAACAUGACGACCCACUGGAUGGGCCGUGAUGCUUUAAACGGCCCGUGAAGUAGUAGACGGCUCAUGAGACUGGCUGUUUUGGGCACAUUUUCAGCUUUAAAAGUUGAGGUCGUUUUGGUCUUUCCCCCUAUGCGUUUGGUACUUAAACUAUGUUGUUUUUACUUCGUCUAAGCCUAAUUAAUUAGUCAAAAACUACCUAAAACAUUCAUUCUCCUAAAAAUCAUCAGAAUUAGAAAGAAAAGAAGAGAAAGAGGCGACAGUUUUCUCUCCAGAACAAGCAGAGCUCUCCUUCAAGUUCAGCCCCUAAAUCCAAAGGAUUUCUCCGUAGUUAUCUUCACCAGAUAUGUGGGAUUUCACUAGUGGGUUCUUCCACCCAUUAGGUCCCUAGAAUUCAGUCAGUUCUUCGGCUUCUCCAUAAAUUGUUUAGACCUAGGGUUCCUAAACCUUAGGGAUUCAUUGUAAUUUAGCUGCUAUAGUUUCUAUAAUAUUAAUUACAUGUUUCUUGGAGAAUUAGUACAGUCCCAUAUAUAAAACUCAGAAACCCUAGCUUGUGUUAAUCAUCUAUAUUUCAUGAAUUAUACUUGCUAGGCAGAUUAGACAGACAAUCAUGCUACAAAAUUUGAAUGCCAUAUCUUUCAGUAUAUGUAUGAUGCAUUCUCAGAUAAUUAUUAGUAUUUUGUUAUUACAGUUACAUUUUUAGCUUUAUAUUCAAUUGGGAGUAAACUUAGCACCAAGAGGACAAAGGAAUGAAGGCUCACCCGUCAGUUUAGGCUGAAACCUUUAGUAGAAAAUCCCUGAGUCCAAGAAUUACGGUGCCACCGUAGGUUUUGAAGGGGUCACCCGUCAGAUUAGGCUUCACACCCUUGGCCCUUGUGGACAUCAGCUAGUGGAUCCACGUCAGACUUGUUCGUACCCUUGGCAAGGUAUGAACACCCUUCCAUCCAAGGUUACAAGUUGGCCCAUAGCUAGCUCAACUUGGGUAUGUCGGUUAAUAAUAUCUCCCACAAUCAGAUUCAUGUUGCAUUGACCAUGUAUUCAAUAUCUAUUUCAGUAUUCAGUUCAACAUGUUACAUUUUCAUGAUUAGUUCUAGGUCAUUGCAUCCAGCUCAGCUUUCAGUUAUGCUUCAGUAUAUCUAUUUCCAUGUUCAGCUUAGCACAUAUUCCGCAUGCUCAGCAUUCAAAGUACUGACACAUACUUUUGUGCUACAUCAUUGUAUGAUGUAGGUUCAGGCGCUCAACAUCCAGACCAUGCUUAGCUCGACUUCCAGUCCGUACACAGCAGAUUCAGUGGUGAGUCCUCAUAGUUCGAAGACAAUAGACAUGCUUUACUUUUGUAUUUACUUUUCAGUUUCAGACUUGUUAGAGUUAGCUGGGGGCAUGUCCCAGCAACUCAGAUCAGUUAAAGCCUUUGAGACAUAGAUUAGAUUCAGCUUGAGUUGUUAGUGUUGUUUUUCGUCAUCACUAUACUUUUCAUAUAUUUUAUAUAUAUUUAGAUAUUUUGGGCUUUUCCCCAUUUCAGAUAUUAAACUGUUUUUAGCUUCCGCAUAGUGCAUGCUUUAAUUGAACUUGUAUAGAUAUGCCAUGCCAUGGGUUAGUUUGGGGUCACUUGACAUUAAGCACCGUGUUGCGUCUAGGGGUAACCUCGGGGAGUGACACUUAGUAUAAGCCUACAACUUUUUGGAUAACACUACGCCCCCAACAUUUUGGUCUAUAAUAUACCAAGCAAUUCAGGAUUUGAGUGACGAAGUAGAGGACUACCAAGAAAACUACAUCGGCAUAUAUGGUUGCUAAAAGCCAGACCCUCUAAACAACAACACUAGAAGGUAACUACCAUUGAUCACAACAAUAUAGGAUCACAAAACAAUCACAAAGAAUUAAGUAAGAAUUACUUUUAUGCUUCUAUAUUCUUUUCGUUUUUUCCUAAAAAAGUUUACCAAUCCAAAAGAAUUUUAAAUUCCAAGACAAUGUGCUGAAGUAAGACCGAAUGCUCUCUUUAUGCACGAACUGCUUGAUCAACCCCACAAAAAUUUGCAAGUUAAGAUCUUUCAACACUCUCUGGAUUUAUAUAUCCUCAAGAUAUAUAAUUGCAUUUUAAUGGGUAAUUCACACACACAACUCCACAAGUCAGUGACCAUCAAAUCCUUCCUACACCCUCGCAGAACCAAGUAACUACAAGAAUUCAGUGCUAAUUAACAGAGGUGGAUCCAUAAGCAUAUGUGUUGGGUUCAUCGGAAUUGAGUACCUUGUAUAUGUGUUAAAGAAGUUGAGUAAAUAAUUACAAAGAUGAGCAUUAAAUUGAUUGGGGAUUUGGUAGAAUAUAAAGUUCAAACUUUGGAUUUGCCUGCUAGCGAAGAAAGGGUUUUGAAUAAAAUUUCGAAACGGGAUGUGUCCAAAAAAGCUACCUAUGACCGAUAUAUGAUAUGUGUUAAAUGAGCAAUUGAGAAAAGAGUAGGUGUUACCUCCAAGGCUUUGGAAGGUUGUAGCCACUGUUGAGGAACCCUAAGAUCUUCAAUUAGCUGCUCAGAGCCAUUGGUUUGAGCAUUUAAAAGCGGGAGUCUUGCUCUAAUUCUAUCGACAGAAAAAAGUAUACAUUGAUGAAGAGAUGGGUGUAUGAUUUCACGACGUGUAAUUGGUUGGAGUUGGACUAAAUUAACAUGAAGUUGUGAGAGGCGAAGACAGUAACAGCCUGAUACUGGAGAGAGCAAUGGCCACGCCAUUUUUCUUCUCUUUGUUUGGAUAAACAACACUGAAAAAGGUUUGGAAAAAAAAUACGAAAACAAACACAUUUUUAUAUUUAAUUUUAAAAUUUAAAAUAUCGUAAAUUAAAUACUAAAACUUUAAGGCACAACGCAAAUAGCUUGCGGGAUUAAAGGGAUAAGGGAAACAGCACAAAAGAAUGGCCGCAAACAGCUGGUUCUCGGUGCUCACCUCCACCGGCGGCUCUCUUACAUCUCACCGUCUCUUUUCAACAUCACUAAGACCCUCUUCUUUCUUCAUUCCUAAAGCUGAUUCCCAAAAUCAAAACCAUAAGAGAAAAGUUCUCAACAAGUCAUCCUCCUCUCCUCCUGAGGUAAAAUUAAUAUUCUACUUGUCAUUCGAUUAUUAUUAUUAUUAUCUUUAUUCAUCCAACCACAAUCGUCGAAUUAGUAUGUCAAUCAAACGCAUUUUGAUUCUUCUUUUCUUGGCCAAAGAUUGCAACUUUUCUAUUGUGUUAGCCCUUAUUUUAUUCUGAAAGUAAAACAAUGUUAUUGAAGUGGAAAAUCUGAUAAAGUAGAGAGUCUACUCAACAAUACGGACAUACAUACUGCACCCAAUCUACUAUACAUACAGCAAACUCAUUGGUGCACCAAAGAGAAACUAACGACAAAAGGAUAAUCCUCAAAUGUACAAAGACAGUUUCAAAUGUAGUCAAGUGGAAUGACGUAACAUGCUGUGCACCUUCUUUUCUGAUAUUAUUUGACCUUUCAAUCUGAUUUUCUGUUUAUAUUGUAAUGGAGUGUUCUCAUUUAUUGGUUGUUUGUCAAUAAUUCUUCCCUGCUUCAUUUUGGUUAGUAAGAAGUAGUCUAACUAAUUAGAUAACAUUCGUAGUGGGUACUGCAGAAUUACACAUAUAUGUAUGUGUUUUUACAUUAUAUAUACACACACAAUUUAAAUUUUUAUAACUAAUUAGAUUACAUUCAUAGCGGCUCUGAUACCAUUAGGCCCAAGGUCUAUUUCAUAGAGGAUAACACCAAUUCAAUUGUUUAUCCGAUGUUGGCUCCCUAUCUUAUAUUGUUCACGCUCUUGUUGUCCAGUCCUAGUGUGCUGGGGGUGUUGAGUCCCAUAUCGGUGGAGUGUGGGUUUUUUGGUCUCCUUAUGUUGUCUUAGGCAGUUCUCACCUCAUGAGCUAGCUUUUUGGGGUUAAGUUAGGCCUAAGGUUCAUUUCUUUAUCAAUGUUGAGUCCCAAAUCAGUGGACUAUGUGUUUCUUUUUGAACAUUUUUUUUUGAACUUUGUGUUUCUUGGUCUCCUUAUAUGGUGUUAGAGAAAUGUUACCUCAUGAACUAGUUUUUGGGAUUGAGUUCCAUUUGUUUGACAUGGUAUUUGAGUAGGAUUCAUCCCAAUUCUCGUUUCUCGAUGUUUGGGCCCCAUAUUAAAUUGUCCAUGAUCCAGAUGUCCAACCAUUGGUGUGAGGUGUAUGUGUGCGUGUGUCACGACCCAAUUAAGGAUCAUGACCGGCGCUAAGGGGGAGAAUCCCAAAGCAAGCCUCACCAGAACUCUACAGAAAAUCGGGCAGAGUUUCCUUUGUUUUUAGGCCUAUCCUGGAUUUUUCCUGUCUCAGAAUUUCACAACACAACUAAUAGCAACUAUAAACCACCAUUUAAUAUCCAUCAAUGAUUAAAUUGUCGCGCAAUAAAACCAAUUCAUCUCCAAAUUUCGNNNNNNNNNNNNNNNNNNNNNNNNNNNNNNNNNNNNNNNNNNNNNNNNNNNNNNNNNNNNNNNNNNNNNNNNNNNNNNNNNNNNNNNNNNNNNNNNNNNNNNNNNNNNNNNNNNNNNNNNNNNNNNNNNNNNNNNNNNNNNNNNNNNNNNNNNNNNNNNNNNNNNNNNNNNNNNNNNNNNNNNNNNNNNNNNNNNNNNNNNNNNNNNNNNNNNNNNNNNNNNNNNNNNNNNNNNNNNNNNNNNNNNNNNNNNNNNNNNNNNNNNNNNNNNNNNNNNNNNNNNNNNNNNNNNNNNNNNNNNNNNNNNNNNNNNNNNNNNNNNNNNNNNNNNNNNNNNNNNNNNNNNNNNNNNNNNNNNNNNNNNNNNNNNNNNNNNNNNNNNNNNNNNNNNNNNNNNNNNNNNNNNNNNNNNNNNNNNNNNNNNNNNNUUAUUCAUAUCAGUAGAUCCCUACUCGAGGGAUAUCAGUAACAGUAUACUAGUUCUACCUUUCCACUAGCAAGGGCUUUAUCAGUAAUCAGAACUACAAGGUGCACCAGGUCUAACGAACCCGCCGUUAGCUACGGGAUUCAUCAAGGUCUACUCCCAUUUAUAUUUUUCUUGUAAUAAGUAAAAACAAUUCAAAAUCGAACAACGCAUUUAAAUCUUAUCAAAUCAUAUCAUUUCAAAGUUUAACAAUCACUUGUCAAAAUACUAUUUCUCAAAUAAGUGUAAAACCUUUUCAAUAUCAGUAAUCAUAUCUUAUACGAAUGAUAUCAUCUCAAAUAAUCUUUUCAGUAUCAUAUCCAGUAAAAGACUUGUCCCACAUGCAAGUUCAAAACAUUCAAUAACACAUUUACUUUAUAAACCAUGUGAAAGUCAUGCAAGUUAUAAAACAUCAAUUGUGGUAAGAUUACUACUCACUGUACUUGUGUUGAGUUACCAAGCUUGCCACUCAAUCACUCCGUACGAAUUCCUUUGGUCAAUCUAUAAUCACAUUCAUAAUAAUUUCGUGUUAACUCCUUCAUUUAGGUAAUUCAUACUACAUUUAAAAAUAAAAUAAAAACUCAGCCCUAGAGGUUUCAUGACUGAUUCGAAAUCUGCCCACUCACUUAAUUAGUGCUUUAAUCACACACAUUAGUCUCUUCUUGGUCAAUUCUCGCUGUAAAAAGAUCAACCUAACCUUACUGCCCAAUUACUCUUAUUGCAUAUAAGCCCAAUACCAAAGUUUAUAGUUCAAAUCAUUGACUAUAUUCACUUGGUUCAUAAGAACGAAAUAAAUUUCCUCUUUUUCUUCCAAACCCAUGUUUCUCAACUUCCCAAUUCCCAAUCUUAUAGUCAUGGAAGAUACAAAUUCAACCUUUAGACUAAGUUAAGAAACUUACCUUCUUCUUGUUCUUCUUCUUCUUCCACCUCUCUCUUUAGUUUGAGAGCUAAGGCUUUCAAUUUAAAUUUAUGUUUCUCCUCGUUCGUUCGCUCACUAUAGAACAAGAAGAGUCCCUUUUUUUUUUUUCUUCUUUUGAUCCCUGAAGUAGCAGCGUUGCUGCUGCUUCUGUUUGGGCUUUCAGCCCUUUUUUUAAAAAAAAAAAUUCUGAUCCUCUUUUUUUAUUUUAAAUGGGAGCUAAAUGACAAUUAUGCCCUUAUUUUAAUAUAGGGUAUUACAGCGUGUGUGAAGAAGACCCACGUCGAUGGUGAAGGGGAUGGGCAGUCUUUUAUAUGGCUUGGGUAAUCCUGACCUCUUGAGCUAGCCUUUGGGGUUGAGUUAAGGCUCAAGGUCCAUUUCAUAAACAAGAGUGACUUUAAUGUUGAAACUUAUAUUUCCUGAAAUUAGAUAAGAAAUGACGAAUGGAGACAAGUCCAGAAAUUUAGGUGAAUGAGAAGGUUACAUCAAUUUUACAGUGCCAAAAAAUGUUUGUGUAUAUUUUUGCUUGUAUUCACUCAUUUAACCUCUUGCAUGCUUUUAAUGAUCCAAAAGAGAUAAUGAAUGUCCCCUGAAAUAGGAAUUAAGAUAAGUUGAAAGCAUAAGUUUGCUGUUUACUGGUUUUGUUACUCGAUGAUAAAGAUUGAAAGAAGUAUUUUGUGAAUCAGACAUCCACACAAGCUUUAAAUAUAACUAUCUCUUACAAUGAAAUCACCUUUUCUUGUUGGUCCUUAAAAAACAUGAUUCAAUUUGAAUUGUUGUUAUCUGCACUGAGUGUUCUUAUGGUUAUGCUCAUUGGAGCAAGUCAUUUUACUUUCUUCCAAUUUAGGGAAAAAGUAUUUCCUUGUUGUUUUUGAACUAAACUUCUAUUAAAUAAGCAAGCCAUGAAUUCAGAAAGUAGCUGGUAAACCGAAGUUUUCACGGAGAUCAAAAAAUGAAGGGCCUUUUGCAAAUGCAGAUGGCAGGAGUAGUACAAGUGAAACAGGACGAUCUCAAUCAGCAGCAAUUAAAUCAUUUGGUCUGCAGAAAAAAGGGAAAGGAAUUCUGUUAGAUUCAAAGGACCAGCAGGUAAGAAACACAACUGCUUCUCUCCUUUUAUUUUGGUGAUUGGCUUAUUUCUUGUCGUUGAGAAAUAUACAGAACAAGGGAAAGGGGGUUAGUCCCGUGACUCUGUGUGGGUGUGGAGGGGGGUGAGGGAAGAAGAACAUGAAAGGCUUGCACUUUUUCACUACAUGGCAAUUCUACAUAGUAAUUUGAGUCCUACAUGGUGUCCUAUGUGUAUUAUGCCACGUAGGACUACUUUUGUUCAACUUUAUAUAAAUUUAAGUGUCUACUUGUGCGCACCCAAAGUUGGAGUGCAUAAAUGUGAAAUGAGGUCAAGUUAAAAGGCACAUAUAUGUAUUAUGCCAAUCAACAAAGAUUGAACACCUCAAAGUUGAGAAUAUUUUAAUUCUGUGAAAACUUAAUCAAGAACCGAUAUGUAACAAAUCAUAAAUAGUAAGCAGCGUCACACAUAUCGUACAUAUUUAACUUAUCAAAGUGUAAGGAGUACCCAUUGAGAAGUGCAUGGAUCAAUAGAUUUAGAUCAUUCCAUCUAAGUUAUGGGAAAAAAUUGAAAUUGGCUUCAUGACAAAUAAGCCGGGGUAUUCUUUUUUUAAAAAAACAAUAAACAAACUAUUUGCUUGGGGUAUUCAUUUUUAAAAAAUAAAAUAAUUUGGGUGAUAAUUAACGAAGGCUUUAUCCAAGAAUUUAAGCUUAUGAACAAAGACUCAUGCCUACUUGUAUGGCCACACCUUAUUUAUCAACCAUUCUGAAGAUACUCACCAGAUACUCUCCCAUUGUUUUUUUUACAACAUCUCCCACAUAAUUAUAUCUCAUUACCAUUGUGUUUACAAAUGCUUGCCAACUGAAUGCAAACAUUGCUGUCAAGUUCUUUGAGUCUAUUAUGUGCCAAAAACUAUUGUUUUCAAUUGUGCUACACCACUGAACCUAAGUUGGUUUUCUUUUCCAGGUAGAAACUGGCAGCAUUCAAGAUGCAGCUUUUCUUAAUGCCGUUGUGAAGGUGAAUAUAUUUUAAUACAUAGCAAUGUUGUAAUUAUGCCAUUUGUUUGGAUGCCUCAUCUUCAAAUCUCAAGGUGAAGGUGUAGAUCAUUUGAAUCAUUAAAUUUUAGCAAAAGGGGAUCCCAGGAAACUAUCAACUUCAGUACUCAUCUUAUCCUUAGUUGCUUAGAAACAGAAAUUCAUGAAAUAACCUCAUGUAUGAUGUAUCCCUAAUGUUUUGAACCAACAGUUGCUCUACUGGGCAUUCGUAAGGUUGUUGUUGUCCCUGUCCCACAUGAAAUUAUUUUCUUAUUGUUUGGUUCUUCCUGUUGAAAGAUAAUAAAAAGUAUACUUCAAUUAUACUUAUGCAGCACUUAGAAUGGUGUACACCCAAUAGAUAGUCUAUCUUACCCAGUUUCAUUUUUGGCAUCAAUAGGUCCGUCAAAAUUGCUUUCAACAUGUCUGCAAGUGCACUUGUGAAUGGCUUUUAAAUGGAUUGCAUGAUAAUUUUAGUAGUGUUUACUCAUUUUCCUCCAUUCCAUGUUGUUUGCUUCAAGGUUUACUGUACACAUACUGCUCCAGAUUAUUCCCUUCCUUGGCAGAAACAAAGACAGUUCACAAGUACUGGAAGGUAUGCUCUUCCUCAUUUCUAUCUACUUAAAAAAUUGUGGGAAAUUUCCUAUGAAGAGUUGUUCUGUAAUGCAAUAUUUACCUUCAGUUUUUUUUUUUUUUUUUUUAAAAAGUAGUUCUGUANNNNNNNNNNNNNNNNNNNNNNNNNNNNNNNNNNNNNNNNNNNNNNNNNNNNNNNNNNNNNNNNNNNNNNNNNNNNNNNNNNNNNNNNNNNNNNNNNNNNNNNNNNNNNNNNNNNNNNNNNNNNNNNNNNNNNNNNNNNNNNNNNNNNNNNNNNNNNNNNNNNNNNNNNNNNNNNNNNNNNNNNNNNNNNNNNNNNNNNNNNNNNNNNNNNNNNNNNNNNNNNNNNNNNNNNNNNNNNNNNNNNNNNNNNNNNNNNNNNNNNNNNNNNNNNNNNNNNNNNNNNUUUUUUUUUUUUUUUUUUGUAAAAAGUAGUUCUGUAAUGCGUUUAUUUUCUGAUAUUGUCUACUAUAUCUGGUAGGCUGAUCCUUUUAAGGUGGGAGGGGGCGGGAUAGCCUACAAGUCUGACUUUAGUUUGAUUCAUACAGUGCUUUCAUGAUUGGUGAUGGGAAGCUCUUGACGAAUGCGCAUUGUGUUGAACAUGAUACACAGGUACCUCUGAGGUUUUAAUCUUCCCUUUAUAAGUAUACAAAUUCUUAUUAUUUAUGCCCCUCUCUCCUCUAAAUUAAAUAAAAGGACGUCUCUAAUAACAAUUUGGUGUCAACCAAUAAUCAGAACAAGUAUAUCAUUAUAAUUUUAGGUUAUUUUAUGAACCUUCAGGUGUGGGUAUACGAAUUUAUCCUUUCCCCUCCCAUUGUGAACAAUGUAUCUUAGUCAUCUAAGACAUGGUCUAUCAAACCAAAGCUGGACGUCCACACUGACCCGAGAAAACAUGCAUUACUACAUUUACGGAAAAAAAAAUCAUUUUAUUUGUACUUUCUUUAAAGGGCGAAGGAGGUCAGAUUUUUUUCUUUUUCUUUUAUUUCAUAAAUGAUUAAUAACAGCUUGGGAUGAGUAUAGAGAAAAGGUAAAUUUGAACUUUGUCAUCCAUAUAUUAAUGGCUUUGCAAUAUGCCAUCCACAGUUUUAGGAUCGGACUCCACGUCCAACUAUUGAAAUUUAUUUCACUGUCAUCCUGACCCUUUCACCGGUGAAAACCUAGUGGGAAGGCAAGACUAACGAUUUGUGGUCAAUUUUUUCCAAAUUAUCUGGACAAGGCUGUAUGACUUCCCAGAUAGGAAACUAGAAACAGAAAGGUAAGUGCAGCUCGUUUACCCUCAUUUUUGUUGUUUUUUUACUAGAAAAAUGUGGAUAGCAAAGUGAAGGGCUGAAGGCUUAGAAACUUUGGACGGCAUUCUGCAAAAUAAAAAAAAGGAGGAUAGAAAAUGCAUCUUUUCCUUCAAAGAAACAUAAUUUUGAUUAUCUAGCUCAUAUCUGAUCCAACCUUACCCAUAAAGAAUUGAUCACCGGCAGUCCAUAUUAGCUAAUCCAAGUCCAUUUUGUUCACUAAUCAAUCCAUUGUGUUUUUGGGAUAAUAUCUAUCUCCACAUUACCACCUGCACUUUUAUGACACACUCAUCUCAAGUGUAUACAUAGUGGCCAACUUUGUAUUCAGUAUUCACUAUUGUUGAAGACCUGCUAUUUAGGUUGUCUUCUAUCACCCAAAUGAGUAACUACAUUUUCUACUCCAUCUGCCUUUCAAAUGCUGGUUUUUAGCUUAAUUAAUAUUUUUGGUGGCAGGUCAAAGUGAAGAAAAGGGGAGAUGACACAAAAUAUGUUGCCAAGGUAUGGUUUUCAUGAUAAGUUUUAAAUGCCUGCAUCACUUAGAAAUCAUUCUAGUAUUAUAAAUAGUAGUUUUAAGGGUGCAACUAUGGUGAGGUAGGUUGACAACUUAGACCAAAGUAACCUAAUUAUGUGGUGCUUAAUUCUCAUCAUGUAUGACAUGUAGGUUCUAGCUAGAGGGGUAGCGUGUGACAUAGCUUUGCUAUCCGUGGAAAGCAAGGAAUUCUGGGAGGGAGCUGAGCCCCUUAGUUUUGGACGGUUGCCUCGUCUGCAGGUACUUCUCAUUUGUCAAUUCCAUUUUUUAAAAAGCUGUCCCAUGGGUAACUUUAUAUAUGCUUUUUUCCCUGAAGACGUACUUUCUCAUUUUCAUGUUGGUCUAAAUUUGCCAAAGAAAUUAGGAUAAGCCAACAACACCCUUUGCAAGUGUUCAUACUGAAUAAAGUUCCCACCUAUCUAAUUGAUGUCUGCUUGCUAUAUUAGUCAAUUGCACGUGAUCUUGGAUAAAUUAAGUUUGUGGAUGUCCUAUCCUUGAGUCGAGAUUUGUCUAUGAUAUGUAUGAUUAUGUGAAUUCUUUAAUUGUAUGGCAGCUUCGCAUUUGAUAGUAAGCUUCUACGGUUGAUAUCCAAGUAAAUGCUUAGCUAUUUCUUCAGUGGGAUUAUACCUUCAAAGAAAGAAUAUUAUAUUUAUUCUACAUUUGUUCUCAGGGAAAAUACAACAACAUAGCCAGUAUAGUCACACACGUGGGGUCUGAGGAGGGUAAAGUCUACACAGACCUUACCUCUACCUUGUCAACCUCUCACACCUUCUUACUGGGGCGUCUGUGCAUCUCCUCCAUGCCCAAACCAUCUCAGUCUAGCCUCCCGCAUCUUGUCCGCCACAGAGGCCAUUUCCACCUUGGCCCGAAUAUCUUUAUUUCCAACCAUAUCUCUUCUAGUAAGCCCGCACAUCCAUCUUAACAUACUUAUUUCCGCAACUGUCAUCUUCUGGACAUGAGAGUUCUUGACUAGCCAACACUCCACCCCAUACAACAAAUCAGUCUAACUACUUUUCUGUAGAACUUAUGUUUUAAGUCUUAUUGGCAACUUUUUAUCACAUAAGACGCCAAAUGCUAGCCUCCAUUUCAACCUCCCCGCACCAGUGCGAUGUAUGCCAUCUUCGUCAAUCUCCCCAUUGCCUUGGAUAAUAGCCCCUAGGUACUUGAAACUCCCUUUCUUGGAGAUGACUUGACAAUCCAACCUCACUUCCACGUUAGCUACACGAUGCACUUCACUGAACUUGCUUAGUCUUAAACCUUUAGGGGUCGUUUGGUGUGAGGGAUAAGAAUAAAUAGUCAUGGGAUAAAAAAAUAGUCCUGGGAUAAUAUUUUGGUUUCUUGUUUGGUUGUCAUGUUUGGGAUAACUGAUACGCUCAAAUUACACCUCCUUACAGAAGUAUAAGCGAUCGUUAUCAAGUAAAGAACCCAACUUGUAGGUUGGGAUCGAUCCCACGAGGAAAAUGGUUUAGACUUUACUUUAACUAACAAUUAUAUUCAAUUAGUCAAGUUAUUUCCAGAAACAGAUAAUAAAAUGGGGGUUGUGUUUGUGUAAAACAAAUAGCAAGAACUUAAUAAGUAAUCAAUAAUCAAACUCAACUUAGGUUGUUAUCAAGAUAAGAGAAAUAACUAGGGUAUACGUGUUCCCCACAAUCUCAUAACGCAGCAAUCCUAGUAACANNNNNNNNNNNNNNNNNNNNNNNNNNNNNNNNNNNNNNNNNNNNNNNNNNNNNNNNNNNNNNNNNNNNNNNNNNNNNNNNNNNNNNNNNNNNNNNNNNNNNNNNNNNNNNNNNNNNNNNNNNNNNNNNNNNNNNNNNNNNNNNNNNNNNNNNNNNNNNNNNNNNNNNNNNNNNNNNNNNNNNNNNNNNNNNNNNNNNNNNNNNNNNNNNNNNNNNNNNNNNNNNNNNNNNNNNNNNNNNNNNNNNNNNNNNNNNNNNNNNNNNNNNNNNNNNNNNNNNNNNNNNNNNNNNNNNNNNNNNNNNNNNNNNNNNNNNNNNNNNNNNNNNNNNNNNNNNNNNNNNNNNNNNNNNNNNNNNNNNNNNNNNNNNNNNNNNNNNNNNNNNNNNNNNNNNNNNNNNNNNNNNNNNNNNNNNNNNNNNNNNNNNNNNNNNNNNNNNNNNNNNNNNNNNNNNNNNNNNNNNNNNNNNNNNNNNNNNNNNNNNNNNNNNNNNNNNNNNNNNNNNNNNNNNNNNNNNNNNNNNNNNNNNNNCCCCAAAAAUGAGGUUUACAUGCCCUAUUUAUAGAAAACAACUCCUAAAUAAAAAGGGAAACAAAUUAAGGAAAGUUUUGUUCAGGUACGCGUCUUCGAUCCACGAGACUGACUUACGGACCGUCGAUGGAUCUACGGUCCGUAAGUCCCUUCCGUCACUCGGGACUUAGAAAAUAUUUAGACAUCCAAAACUCAGCUUCUCUGAAGCAAACGACGGACCAGCAACACGGACCGUAGAUCGACCUACGGUCCGUCAAUCCCCUCCGUAGCUCCAUACUUAGAAUCUUCAAAAAUCAGGUACUGGAACCCUCGCAGUAUCACUCUACGGAUCAACAGUACGGUCCGUAGAUCAGUCUACGGACCGUCAAUGGGCGUCGUGGUUCCACACUUGGUCAGAUUUCCCUGAUUUAUCCUCACUAUCAUGCCUGCUGAUCUACGGUCAUAACCUACGGACCGUGGAUGGAUCUACGGUCCGUAGAUCACCUCCGUGGAUGCCCUUUUUUUGCAAUUCCUUCAGCUGUCUCUACACAUCCGCACCUGAACGUCUUUCCUGCAAAACAUGGUAAAAACACAUCAAAACCAAUAUAAAAAGGCCUUAGACACACACAACUAGUAAGUGAAACAUAUUAGAAAUACCGUAAACUCACGGUAUAUCAAUAACUUAUCCCACCAUUUAUACCAUAGUGAUGGGAUAAGUUAUCCCUGGAUAACUAAUCCUAGGAUAACCUGUUCCCAACCAAACGACCCCUUAGAUUCUAGGGUCUGUCUCCACACCCCCAUCUUGUCGUUAAUCCAGCUACGCGUCUCGUCAAUCAAUACAAUAUCAUUGACAAAUAACAUGCACCAAGACACAUGCCCUUGAAUGUGUUGCAUCAGAAAAUCCAUCACCAAAGCUAAUAAAAACGGGCUAAGAGUCGAUCCCUGAUGCAACCCCAUCACAACUGGAAUGUGACUGGAUUCUCCUCUCACUGCCCUCAUCCGGAUCUUAGCUCCAUCAUACAUGUCCUUAAUAUCUCUAAUGUACAUGAUUGGAACACCUCUGGUUCCAAACAUCCUCGUAGAACCUCUGUCAGAACUAAUUGUAAGUUUUUUCUAGGUCAAUGAACACCAAAUGCAAGUCCUUUUUCCUAUCCCUAUACUGCCCCGCCAAUGGCUUCCGUAGUCGAUCAAGCGUUCAAAUGCUGCUGUCUUUGCCGCCGUCACUGAUUUUCAAUAAAAAUCUUCGAAAGAAAUUUGGGGAAGAGCCAAUUUUGGACUUAUGAUCACUAUAACAUAAUCUUGUUACCUUUUUGUUUGUCAUUUGAUGUUUGUAGAACCUCUGUUACUACAUAUUUUGUGUUGCUGGCGUAAUUUCUAUUUUCCAUGACCAUGACAUAUUAAAGAACCCUUAUCUCUUGCCAAAUCUGAUGAAACACAUAUAGCUUAUAUAUUAAGCUGGUCCUUUUCCUUUUGCAGGAUGCUGUAACUGUGGUUGGCUAUCCACUUGGAGGAGAUACAAUCUCUGUGACAAAGGGGGUGGUGUCAAGAAUUGAGGUUUGUUUAUGUUCACCUCUCAUAGUAUUAGUUUAUUCCUUAGCUGAAAAUGACAGACCUGUAGAUGUUUUUACCUACCUUAAGAAUUUAGAUAGUGCUCUUUGACCAAUGCGGUCCUUUGUCUUUUCCUAGGUAUACUAUAACUUCUUGUUCUCGUUUACUGAUGAAUGGUAUUGUUCUCAUCAUGUCAUGAUCUAUUCAAUAUCAAAGGGUAUUGAUUGCUACAACUUAGAUUAAUAAAUGGAUAGUGUUAGGAAAAGAAACUUGCUUAUCAUGCACGAUAGUCACAACCUUGGCCAAUGCAUGAACUGUUUACAGUUAUAAUGUCUAAUUUUGUAGAUUCUCUUGCCAAAAACAGGAACCUAUACUUAAAGGGGGUUUAUCCACUAUUAAUCAGGGGGAAAAAGGACAAAUAUAUCCCUGAACUAUCGUAAAUAGUAUGCAGAUACCCUCCGUCAUACUUUUGGGACAUUGGUGCCCCUGCUGUCCAAAAACUAGAGCAUAUAUGUCCUUCACUCUAACGGAAGACUAAAUAGGGACAUGUGGCACAAUCUUAUCCGUCGAUAAAUGUCGGAUCGGUGGAUAAGAUUAUGACACGUGUAUGUCCGUUAGUAUAAAGGGUAUAUAUGCUCUANNNNNNNNNNNNNNNNNNNNNNNNNNNNNNNNNNNNNNNNNNNNNNNNNNNNNNNNNNNNNNNNNNNNNNNNNNNNNNNNNNNNNNNNNNNNNNNNNNNNNNNNNNNNNNNNNNNNNNNNNNNNNNNNNNNNNNNNNNNNNNNNNNNNNNNNNNNNNNNNNNNNNNNNNNNNNNNNNNNNNNNNNNNNNNNNNNNNNNNNNNNNNNNNNNNNNNNNNNNNNNNNNNNNNNNNNNNNNNNNNNNNNNNNNNNNNNNNNNNNNNNNNNNNNNNNNNNNNNNNNNNNNNNNNNNNNNNNNNNNNNNNNNNNNNNNNNNNNNNNNNNNNNNNNNNNNNNNNNNNNNNNNNNNNNNNNNNNNNNNNNNNNNNNNNNNNNNNNNNNNNNNNNNNNNNNNNNNNNNNNNNNNNNNNNNNNNNNNNNNNNNNNNNNNNNNNNNNNNNNNNNNNNNNNNNNNNNNNNNNNNNNNNNNNNNNNNNNNNNNNNNNNNNNNNNNNNNNNNNNNNNNNNNNNNNNNNNNNNNNNNNNNNNNNNNNNNNNNNNNNNNNNNNNNNNNNNNNNNNNNNNNNNNNNNNNNNNNNNNNNNNNNNNNNNNNNNNNNNNNNNNNNNNNNNNNNNNNNNNNNGGCAGGGGCACCAAUGUCCCAAAAGUAUGACGGAGGGUAUUUACAUAUCAUUUACGAUAGUUCAGGGAUAUAUUUGUCCUUUUUCCCUUAAUCAGGUUUCAUGAUCCUAAAUUAAAAUAACAAUUGCAUAACCUAGUCAAUGUGAAUAUUGAUCUUCCAUCAGUGACCUGCAAUUAAGCAUGUUGAUUUGCCUUAACGAAAUGCGAGGUACUUUUAUAGAGACAUUAUUCUUUGUUAUUGUUAUUGUUAUCGUUAUUGUUUUUCUUUGUUUUGUUACAUUCAAACCCAUUUACACCCUUAUUAUUCCCACUUUUUAAGGUUGUGGCUACAGUUAAGAGUAUUGAAGCAUAUAGUUGUUCGCUUGAAUUCCAGUCAGUUUAUAUGUUGGAGAACAGUUGAUUAUCACAACUAGACAAUCUUCUGUUUGCUACUAGUGAUAGAUACAGCCUGAUUUUGAUUUCCCAGAUAUUGAUUAAAAGUGCUAACUCAUAGGUUGGUCUUCAUCAAUAGGUUACAUCAUAUGCUCAUGGAUCAUCUGAGCUGCUGGGCAUUCAAAUAGAUGCAGCAAUAAAUCCUGGUAAAUGGAUGUUGAAAUAAGACCGUUACUAUAAUCAGCCCGUAGAAAUUUACUCUUAUCGAUCUUGUAUUAGAACUUAUCCAUGUUUACAUACUCGGAUCUAUAGUUGUAUUUUUUCUUGCUUUAAUAUAGUUGCUGCUACUAAUUGCAAGACUUUUAGGUAAUAGUGGUGGUCCUGCAUUCAAUGAUGUUGGAGAUUGCAUUGGAGUUGCAUUUCAGGUAGUUGCUUGUCAGAUUUGGAUAAUGGUUAUUCAUGUGACCAGAUUCUUGCUUCUUUGGGCUUGCCACUUUAGAUUACACAGAGUCCUCUCUUUUAGGGAACUUCUGUAAUGCAACUAGUUUGAAAUGAUUACUUAAUCACAUAAUUGAAGUAGUUUAUUUUAUCGCUGCUGUUAUCUUCAUCUGUUUUAAAAGACAUUCUGAUGCUAAUUUAAGAGCUCGCCCCAAGGCAAACCAUAAUACUAUCGCUUGGGCCAACUAGGGGUGGUAACAUGCUUAUGGUCAUGAGCUCUAUCAACAGUUCUUCAAAUCACUUUUUGUAUUUGACACUUCUUUUUUUAUUUUGCUUGAUCUAUUUACUGAAUGAGUUCAAUAACUCCUCAGGGUAUAAAAUGUUUUCUAGUGCAUUUGCCUUAAAAACCAUGAUGAUCAGCAUACUGUUCUUCCACUAUGUUUGACAAAGUUAUGAUCUUCUUCAAGAAUCUCAUGUUAUUUGUUUUUUACUUUAUGUGUUGCUUUCAUAUUGGUAUUGCUGACCCAACAACUUCUUUAGGUUUACAGAUCCGAUGAUGCUGAAAAUAUUGGCUAUGUAAUACCUACUACAGUUGUAUCUCAUUUUUUGGAAGACUACGAGAAGAAUGGGAAGUAUUGUGGUGAGUCUGUCUCCUUUUCUGGAAGUAUCUGCUCAUUCAGGCCACCUAAAUGGCUAGGGAUUUGCAAACAGUCUGUUUUGUUUCCAGCUACACAGUUUAACGAAGAUUACUUAUUUCUUGGAUUAGAUUAUGACAACUGACUGAUCUCUGAGAUUAGCUUCAUUUCAAUCUGUUUGGUCCAAAUUCCAUAUAUGUUUUUAAUCUACAUCAAGCUUGGAUUUCUUAAGUUCGAUUUUGUUGCUGGAAAAAUCAAUUAAUAUGCAAAUGUAGACUAAAUAAAGCGUACUUUUGAAUUGCAUGUUAUAGAAAAUACUCAGUUCUAAACUUCAAACAUGUGCUUAUUUUGAAUCUAACCAACUGACCACUCCACCUGCUCCUAUUUCAUUUGCCAAUCAAGUAAUUUUGUUGUUGCCUGUUGGCUUGUCAUGAUGUCUAUCUGUUAUUGUGUAAUGAUAAUGCUUGAUGGGAGAGGGAUUAAGAGAAACAUUUAACUCCAGACGGUGGUUGGGUUUGCUAAUGAGAAGGCGGCUGGACGAAUGGAAACUUCACUGAGCAGCUCAGCCUGUGACCUGAAGGCAUAUGUGGAAGAAGCACGUACACCACUUGGUUCUGUGAAAGGAAAAAGGAGAGUAUAAGGUGUUUCUGAAAUAACUAAAAAAUUGGCAUUAUUAAUGUGUUUAAGAGUCGUGGAAAUAAGGGGUUGGCUGCACAGGGGCUCAUGGAUUUUUGUUGGUGCCUAAGAAUUUUGCUUAUUUUAUUUGCUUCCCUGCUAUCCUUAAUCACAAUAUUGACUUAUGCUUUCAGGCUUUCCUUGUCUUGGGGUGUUGUUGCAAAAAUUGGAGAAUCCAGCGCUACGUGCCUGCUUAAAAGUGCCAUCUAACGAGGUCUGUUUAUGUCCUAUACAGAAUGAAAGUCCUUCAUCUGCUCUUCAGAGUGAUAGUCUUUCUCUGUAUAGUUCAUCAACCCCCCCCCCCCCCCCCCCCCCCCCCCCGCCCCGCGCCGCCCCCCCCCCCCCCCCCCCCCCCCCCCCCCCCCCCCCCCCCCCCCCCCCCCCCCCCCCCCCCCCCCCCCCCCCCCCCCCCCCCCCCCCCCCCCCCCCCCCCCCCCCCCCCCCCCCCCCCCCCCCCCCCCCCCCCCCCCCCCCCCCCCCCC